UUUUGGCUCGGAAGUAAGAAAACCAUUGCUGUUUCUACGGAACUCUUCAUUCCUUUUCCUCAAACCGAAUUUCAACUUGCAGGUGCUCAUAUGUGGAACCUACCUGUCGACAUCUGAAAGCUUUUCUUCCCCGAGCAAAUUCGUCCUACUUUUUUCGUUCCAAAGCUGCUUGUGGUAAUUUUGGGCAGCUGCCAUUAAAAAACUUGCCCGAAGCUUACUCUCGUUAGCUUCAACGGAGACACCUUCAGUGAGCUGUUCUGUUCCAGGUAGCUACAAGAAAAUCGGACACACGGCUUGCGCAGGGGGCAGGUGGUCUUCUUCCUCUCGCUGUGCUUCCAAUAAGCUCAUUUAAUUGGCUUUGUGCUAUAGAAAUUGGCAGAGAGGUGCGCUUUGUUUAGCAGAUCCCCAUUUUUUUUAUUGGAGGUAAAUAAUGAAUUUGGUACACUUCCGUACGAAUUAGGGCUGAAUUUUUAACUUGGAAAUUUUGGCUUUCUAUUACAAUUCCUGCAGCUAAGCUAUGAACAAUUGGUGUAUUUUGAUAACUGGAACGCAGAUAAAUCUUGUCAACUUGGGUUUAUGGCAUCAGUACCAAUUUACGUAGCUAAUCGCAUUUGAGUAAUUGAACUUUAAUUGUUAUUGUUGCUGCUUCUAUUCUGUGCGAUGGUGGUGAUUAGGUGUUUCUCAUGGAUAUACUCUCCGGCAGCUUGUUUUUCAAAAUGCUCAGCGUGUUUUUGUUUUUUGUGUGGUUCCAUUUGUUUGCUUCAGCGUGUUUUUCAAAAUGCUCAGCGUGUUUACUUCAUCCGAGACAACGUACCAAUGAUAUGUUCUUCAAUGAAGAAGUAGCGCUCGGUGCCUUAGCAGAUGCCGGGGAUCCAGGGACUUCGUUCAGGGCAGUCAAAAUUUCGAUACGUCGCAGCGGGGCAUACAUAACUACUAACUAGAACGAAAAUCGGCGGCAAUACUCUAUUGUUACGAUACCACUUCAUUCUGCACCUCGCCAGAAUUUUCACUCUUUUACGUUACAAGUCCUUUCGUUACAUUAUUACAUAGUAGAAUGGUUUUUCACAUGAAUAAAUCAAGAAAUUAAUGCGAUCCUUGGAUGCAUAUGCCAGAGCACAUGGCUUCCAAGUCUUUGCAGACAAAUCCAUAACGCAAACAUAUUAAUAAUGAAUGAAUUCAACAGCACACCACCUCACUCAUAAUAAUAAUAGACUGAGGAGGCCCUCUUGAAAGCUAUUCCUUCCUGAGUUAAUUACUACCUCUGCUGAAACUAUGGUCCACCUUUAUAGUAGUACACCAUAGUACCCCGUGUAAUGCCAAAAAAAAAAAAAAAAAUCCAUCCUAUCUGCCAAUCGGACUAACUAAGCUUGUCAAAUUCUUGAAAAUAGACAACGAAUUUUGUUGCCCAUCCUAGCCAUGUGGAAUAGCUCAGGCAUUUGCCAGCAUUCUUACAAUUUGCCAAGCUGACACUGAAACUUCCACAUGCUCGCCAGGCUUCUUGGGAAAAAAAGUUUUUUUUUUCCCUCAGCCAUUCUAUAACCGUUACAAAAGGGUGGCGAUCCAAUUCGAGGCAAAAGUGUCGAUCGAGCUGGCAAGUAGUAUUUCCUUUUUCUGAGUUCAUAGUACGGAAGAGAUAAAUCCAAAACAAUUAAACAAAGCACCAGUGCAUUUGCAAAGUAAGCGGUCCUCUUCUUUUUGAGUCACAAGGCUACUUAGAACCUUUUUAUCUUACAGAGAAAUAGAGGAGGAGGAGGGAGCAUGUACAUUUUUUCGCAAAAUCCUAUUAAAUUAGGAGUACAUGGGGUCUGAGCUAGAAGAAAGUUAGAAAUGUACUGGUAGUACUUAUGUUAUGUGGGUGUCACAGGACUAUUCCUUAGAUUCUGUAGUGACUGGUGAGUGAAGCUGUGAAGCUGAGUUUGCCCCACUCUGCAUUCAGGCAAUAAAGUGCACCUGUUUCAAUGUAAUUAAUAUUUUACUGGUAAAAAUGUUUUACAAAUGUUGCUGCCCAUAUGCCGUUGUUUUUAACAAUGCAGAGCAGAUGCAGUGCAACUAUUUUAACUGGUACCAUGUCUAUUGAGUGGAUCUGAACUUCCCUUCAUCCCAGCCUCAGCUCUGCGGAUCUCAAAAAUCCAUACUUUCAAGGUCUUAUUCUCUGCAGUCUGCACAUUUCCUCUGUGUAUUCAGAUAAGUCGAGCAGUGAUCAAUCUAAGUAUCUUGGGCCAAUUAAUAGCGACAGCGCCUUCUUCCCAUUUCUUGUGUUGGCACUUUUUCCAGCGACCGAGUUUGUCUUUUCAUCGAGAUUUCUUUGGUUUGUGCCCUUUUGGCUGAUCAAUUUUGCCUCUUUUUCAUCUUCUUACCAAUAUGUCUUGUUCAGCGACUGAGGAGUCAAAGGCUUGAUUGAAGGAUUAGUUGCAUUUUUGUUCGUGGGAAAGAUGGCGCCUUUCUUUCUGCUGAUUGGAAAGUUCAGCUAGAAAGGUUUUUGGCGAAGAAUAAGAGGAGAAGUCAAUGGAGGAUAAGGGCUGUUUGAACUAUGGAAGAGCACAAGAGCUAUCUGGGAGCAGUGCUGCUGUGAGUUUUGAGUUUCACAAAGGGAAUGGUGCGAAUCGCUCUUCACAUCAUCGAAUGGCCUUUGGAAAGCCGACUCCUCUGAAAUGGGACGAUGCACAAAAGUGGCUGGGUAAUCAUCUUUCAAGAGGUGGAGAGAAAAACCAGUCAAAGUCCACCCCCCGCAAUUCAAAUGCUGACGACAGAAGAUUGAUAGCUCCGGUACCAAAGGAGGAGUACCUGAGCAGCGAGGAUGAAGGAGGAAAUGCUUUUUCUGGUAUUCCAAGUAGUGUCCACUAUGAAGUAGAAACAAAGGAUAUGGACUGUGAUGAAUCGGUCUGGAGAAUCAAUAAGCCAUCAACUGGAUCCGUUUCGGUUGUUCGAUCAAUAUGCGUGAGGGAUAUGGGAACAGAAAUGACUCCUGCCGCAAGCCAAGAGCCUUCAAGAACGGCCACCCCUCUUAAAUCCACAACUCCAGCGGCAAGAAGCCCAAUAACCUCAGGAUCCUCAACCCCAUUAAGGUAUCAAAAUGGAUUCCAGAUCUCUGAAGACGGUCAGACUCAGACAGGUAUAACAUCUGCUGAGCACAGGGGAGAGGCUGGCAGGGGCAAUGGAUCAUCAACAAGCCGAUUUGCGCGAGAAGGAGAAGAACUGAAUGCUGCAAAUAUGAGUGAGAGCCGUUCAGAUCAACCUCAAAGGCUAAAUCCUCUGGAAACCAGGGCAAUGGCUUGGGAUGAGGCUGAACGAGCCAAGUACUUGGCAAGGUAAUAUAAAUAAGCAGCUUCGUAAAAGUUAUGCACCACAGAACUGCUAUUUUCCUCGAUGAGACGGCAUUGUACAGCUUUUGAUAGUAUGGUUGUGCAGGUAUAAGCGCGAAGAGGUGAAGAUACAAGCUUGGGAAAAUCACGAGAAAAGGAAAGCUGAGAUGGAAAUGCGAAGGAUGGAGGUACCACCCCCUCGCCCACACCAUAUUGCCAUGUUCUUGUCUGUUACUAGUUCGAAACUAUCAAAAACAGAUUUGUCAAGGUCUGCUUCGAUGAAAUACAUAAAGCCCUAAACCAAAUGAUGAGUCCAUAAUUAGAUGUUAAGAGGCUAGACAAACACAUUUUGAAAAAAUCAUGAAAAUGUCCAGCUUAAAUUGCAAAUGUCACCGGGCAUUUAGAGCUGAUAACAUACUGAUUUUAGUCUGGACGCAGAACCAUGACUACAGUGUCUAUCAUCGUUCGAGUUAGGAAAGUGAAGAGUGUGACGCAUAUAUAUAUAUAUAUAUAUAUAUAUAUUUUUAGAAAAUGUCUGCAGAAGGAUAAAUAAAUAAAGGGCUUGAGAAUUUAUCGACUGAAAUGGGAUGAUUUAUGAUACAAACGCCUAUCUUUCUUAGACAAAUACGACGGUAGUUCGUUACAUUCAAUUAUCAAAUUUGCAGGUGAAGGCUGAACGCCUGAAGUCUCGAGCACAAGAGAAGUACACGAACAAACUCGCUGCAACUAAGAGAAUAGCAGAGGAAAAGCGAGCAAAUGCAGAAUCCAAGCUAAAUGAGAAAGCUGUGAAGACUUCCGAAAGGGCAGAUUACAUAAGGAGAACUGGCCAUAUGCCUUCUUCCUUCUCUUUCAAGCUGCCUUCCUUCUGCUGGUAGAAAGUAGCAAAAUGCUCACCGUUGCUGCGUUUCUUCAGGCCUUGCAACGUUCGUCCAUUUUAAGCACAGAAGCCAUAGAUUUGAUUACCACCUCUCGUGGCUGCUGAACAAUGUUACCUUCUGCUAUUUGUGGCCAUCAAUAUGAUCCUUGUUCCAGCAAGGGUUCAAGACUAAUGGUUUCAUUUAGCGAAAAGGCUUCCAUUUGUUCACAUAAUUAGCUGUUUCUUUGUAUGGAAGCUCAUUUUGCGCCUGAGAUAAUUGAUGAUAUUUCAUUGAUCAGAUUUUUGCUACAGGAAUUUUGCUACUGUGUGGUUUUUUGUUUGGCGGUGCAUAAUUCCAAACUAACUGGAUGCUUUAUGCCUAUUCAUCAUAAGAGGAAAAACUUACUUGGGCGUACAAGUUCUUUCAAAUUCAUGCUUUGCAAUAAUUUGCAUACAAUAUACAGCGUCUCGUUUCACAUGCUCACCAAACUGGACACCAAUUGAGCGAGUGAAUGAGAAUUCAUAUCACUGAUACAGCAGCUAAAACAAUCAGCCCCCACUUUAGGUUUGUGCAAACUCACUGGUGACGCUUGGUUCGUGCUGUUCCGCUAGAAUAAAAAUACAAAAUGUUAAAUAACAAAAUCGACAAUAGUUAUAAUAAUAAUAAUAAUAAAAUUAACUAUAAUAAAAUAGUUAAAAUAAUAAUAUAAUAAUUGAACGGUGAAAUAAAAAUAUGUAAUUCUAGUUUUAUAAUCAUUGUAAAAAAUAUAAUAACUAUCUCGAAAUAUAUCCAUCAAUCUCUUGGCAUAGCUUGAAGUAUCUAAUGAAAAUCAUUGCAUUCUAGUACAUAUGUGUAUAGAAGUUCUUAAAAAUUGGUAAUUGGGCACUUAGCGAAUGAUAAUUUUUAAAAUUAACAUUAGUUUUAUACUUUUUCAUAAAUUAUUCACACUUGCCUAGUUUCGCAAUUAAUCAAGAAAACUGAUGCAUUCCAACGGGCUACUACAAUACACCUGUCAACCAAUAAGUUUCACUGUCAAGACCAAUUCCAUCCGUGGUUCGUGCUGGGCCUCAGUCGGGCUCAGCCCAAUCCGUACUUGAUGAGCGAUCUUUAGAGGGCCCAUGCUCCGCGCCUUUACUGGGGCAGAAAAAUGAAGUAAGAAAAAACUUGAGGGGCUUAUUGAGCAAUUUUAUACUCAUUAAAAAAAAUAGCAAGAAUUUCAAAGGCAUCCACAUAAUUUUAACGCUCGCGAUAGCACUAAAAUAGGCCUCUUUCGUCCGCGGUAGCGAAGUCGGCUUCGCCUUCGUUUCUGCGAACCUGCGAUAGAACCAUUAUUACGCUCUCUCUCUCUAGAAGCAGCCUCGCUCGUAGCCGCUGCUACUCAUUAAUCUCUUUCUGUCUCUCUCCAAUCCGAUUGAAUCCAUCGGACUCGGUUCGUUGGUAAGCCCUUCGAAUCUCAAUAAUUGUCGGGAGGGAGUAUAUCAUAUUAAUUUCUAGGGUUUUCUAUCGUCAGCUAUUGUUCGAUUUCGGGCUUUUAUUUCUAGUUUAUUAACAAAGAUUGAAGAAAAAAAUAAUUGUUGGCCCUACGCGAUUUACUUUCGGCCUUGAACUUGUUUCUCGUAUCAAGAUCUGUACUUUGAUUGUCUCGCUUUAUAGAUUGAAAUCUUGUGGGGUAGAAUUAGGGGAAAUUGGGGAAGGAGGUCUUCUGUUUGUUUUGAUGAAAUUUGCUGAAAUUAGGCUUAGGGUUUUCUCUUAAACCCCGGUUUAGGCGAGUUUAGCAGGUGAAUUGAAUUUUUUGGCUGUAUCAGAGGGAUAAACUCGGUUAUAGAUUUAUGGCGGCUGGAAGACAUGGGGGUUAUAGGGACAAUGAGUUCAGGGAUCGUGAGUCUGACUUUGAGGUAGCCAGGAGGGAAAUUGGCUAUUCAAAAGGUGAUUAUGAUCGGAUGAGGAAUGGUGUGGGGGACUAUGAUAGGGGGAAUAGGGCUCAAAAUCAUGAUGGUCGAGAUAGGGGUAGAGUUAGGCAGAAGGAUAUUAAGGAGAGGGAGUUCACUAAUGGUGGGUAUCGGUCUGCCUCAAGUAGGAGUGACUCGGGCAGUAGUGGUGGUGGUAGUGCUGGUCUGGGGCCAAAGAGGUAUGGUUUUUGCAUGAGGCCCGUGGACAGAGAACCUGGGGAAUUGUCCAGUGAAAGUGGGUCUGAUGGGGCUAUUGAUUCUGAAGCGCAUAAGAAGGAUGGUGGUGAGCUUAAGAAGUCAGAAAAUGGAAAGAGAAAAUUUUCACCCAUCAUUUGGGAUAGAGAUGGAGAUGGCAAAAAAGUGACUAGAAUUGUUAAGGCGAGGACUUCCCCAGCAGCAGCUGCUCUUCCCCCUCAGCUACCCACGCCUACUUCUGGCACCAUGUCACCUGAUCGCAACCCUGAUAGUCGUCAACAUAUUUCACCUAGUAAAGAUAUAGUGGUUCAGAAUUCUGGGCUGUCACCGAAAAAGGUUACUGAGGACCUCACUUCUCAAAUAAAUGUUGCUUCUGACUCUCCAAUUGGUUUAUCUCCUUCAGCUCCUGAGGCAGAGGAAGAGGAAGCUCACUGGGGUAAAAAUGAGGGAGCAGUGACAGUGGAUGAUGAUUACUAUAUGCCAGCACGUAAUAUAAAAUCCUCUCGCUGGGCAAAUGAGGCUGAAUCAUCAGCUGAUGAAGGUGAAAUUUCUGAUGAUGAGGAGAUGGUUAAAUUGAAGAAGAAGAAGAAAUCUGUUAAUGAAUCUACUGACACAAGGGGACAGAGGAAAUCGGUAACUCCAGAGCUCGGGGAACUGAGGAGAGAAGGUUCAGUGGGAAAUAGGGUCAGGUCUUCUGAUGAACGCGUUAGAUCCUUUAGUGGAGAUAGUGAUCCUGAUGAAUUGGACAGGAAUGAGUACAUGGAGGUUGAUGAAGAUCGCACUUAUGGUGGAACCAGUGGUAGCAAUGCGGAUACUGGUUCUGAUGAUGAACACAACUCCCACGGGACACCAGAACAUGCAGUUCCUCCACCAAGGGCCGUGAACAUGCUUCAGGGUUGUAGAAGUGUUGAUGAGUUUGAGAGGCUGAACAAAAUAGAUGAAGGCACAUAUGGUGUAGUUUAUAGAGCUAGGGAUAAGAGAACAGGAGAAAUAGUUGCUCUGAAGAAGGUCAAGAUGGAUAAAGAAAGAGAAGGGUUCCCUUUGACCUCUUUGAGGGAAAUAAACAUUCUUCUUUCUUUUCAUCACCCAUCAAUUGUAGAUGUCAAGGAAGUAGUUGUAGGGAGCAGUUUGGACAGCAUUUUUAUGGUAAUGGAGUACAUGGAACAUGAUCUGAAGGGGUUAAUGGAGACAAUGAAACAACCGUUUAGCCAGAGUGAAGUUAAGUGCCUCAUGCUUCAGCUUUUUGAGGGUGUUAAGUAUCUGCACGAUAACUGGGUUUUGCACAGAGAUUUAAAGACAUCAAAUAUACUUCUAAAUAAUUGUGGUGAGUUGAAGAUCUGUGACUUUGGAUUAGCACGUCAAUAUGGAAGCCCUUUGAAACCAUAUACUCACUUGGUGGUUACUUUGUGGUACAGGUGAGCGUAGUUUUAUGCACUAUUGUCUUUUUUAGUUGAGAUAAUUAAAAUCUUUUACCUGGUUCAUUUUUGAUGUAUUAUUUGGUUUUUGUCAAAAUAGUAUUGAGUGCUUUAAUUGCAAAUCCUAUGCUAGUGCCUUUCUAUUACAAGAAUCUAGAGUGAUCACCUGGGCCUUACUGCGAUUUUUUUUUUACUGUUAAUGUUGUUUCUUCUAUGAAUGUAAGUCAUGUCAAUUUAGUUUGGUUACCCAGAAUGCGCCAAUGAUAAUCUCUACUUUAGAAACUGCAUUUUGUUAUUUUUUCUGGUGCAACAGAAUUGUAUGUUGUAGCAUCUUGCUCUUAGGUGGCCAAAUUUUCAUUUUCUAUGUGGCACUAUCUUGAUAUUAGACCAAAAAAAAUUUGAAACUUGAGCAGCUAGCUGGAAUAUGUGUCUCUUUCCUUUUCAUUUGUAGGUCUUGUGAUUGUGUAUUUUAUUUUUGCUAAUUUUGGAAAAUAAAAAUAAACGACCGAAUGACAGAAUAUUUAAUGUUUUUCAAGGGCGCCUGAACUGCUUCUAGGAGCUAAGCAGUACUCUACAGCGAUUGACAUGUGGUCCUUGGGUUGUAUUAUGGCCGAGCUGUUAGCGAAGCAGCCACUAUUCAAUGGGAAAACAGAAGUUGAUCAACUCGACAAGGUUAACAUUUUGACAACUUUCAUCUGUAAUGUUACUGUAGAUUUUUGUAUGGAUUCCAAGCUAAUUUUCUUUUCUGUGGCCUUAAAGAUCAUUGUCGUUUUGUUUUGCAGAUAUUCAAAAUCCUUGGUACACCUAAUGACACAAUCUGGCCUGGGUUUUCAAAGCUUCCUGGGGUCAGGGUUAACUUUGUCAAGCAUCAGUAAGUAUCUAUUUCGUGUUUAUCAUAGUUCGAUGCAAAUCGACUGUAUAAUUUAUGGUUUUCAUGUUUCCUACUGUUUUCCCAGGCUUCCAGCUUUGGGUGAUUCUGGUCUGGCUUUCUGUCCUUCGUUGGCGACAGUUUCAGUUCCCAAAUAUAUGUCAUGUUUCUAUUAACUGGUGCUUUGUUCAUUUCAGGUAUAAUCAACUGCGUUCCAAAUUUCCAGCUACAUCCUUCAGAGGAUCGCCGGUACUCUCUGAUGCUGGAUUUGACUUAUUGAACAGGCUUCUGACUUACGACCCUGAGAAGGUAUGUCAUUGUAAGGUGUGAUACUGUUUGUAGAUCAUGAUUGUAACUAUUUAAAGUUUGGAAGACGUUUUUUCUGAUUCUUGUCUUUGGACAGCGAAUAACUGCUGAGGAUGCUCUUAGCCAUCCUUGGUUUUCUGAAGUUCCUCUACCCAAGUCGAAAGAAUUUAUGCCUACUUUUCCUGCUCAGCAUGCUCAAGACAGGUACUUUAGCCGUCCUCUGUUUGUUACUUAAUUUGUUCAUUUGUUGGAUUAAUGAAUUAAUGUUUUAUUGCUUCUUUGUAGACGUUUGCGAAGAGCCAUGAAGAGCCCAGAUCCCUUGGAAGAGCAGCGCAGGAAGGAGUUGCAACAAGGGGAACUAGGAACUAGUGGUUUGUUUGGUUAAGGGAAGUCAUUAGUGCCUUGAAGUUCAAUUUAUGCUUCAGUUCUGUUCUCGUGAUUGAUGUGGUUGAGGUGAGGAUGUAUUGAGAGGAAGUUAUUGUUAGAAGAUCAUUCGUGCUGUUUUUUAGCAGGCACCCUUGAUGAAGUAGAUGGAGAAUCAAUUCUUUGUCUAAGCUUUUGAAUCAGAUGUGGUGGGGAGCUCUGGUGUAAUGAAAAUUCCUUCUUUGACACUGCUUGCAUGCCAAGGUGUGGCAUAGUGCCUUUCUUAUUAAGAAACAGUUUCAGUUGAAACUUGUGUAUGUAACAUAUUUUCUGUUGAUACAUUGUAACAAUUUUCAUGAAAUUUGUUUUGAAUUUCAGAACGAUAUAGUGUUUAUUCUUAAUCUUUGUUCUUUGUUUUAUCAAUUUUAAUUUUCAUCCUGGUCUUUGCAAGAGACACUGGUGUAACGCGGAGCAGGCUUUCUUAGCUUUUGAUUGACGAAGAAAUGACAGAAAGUAUUGCGCUUUGGAGGUAAUGUUAAGUCUGAAUACAUGGGUGUAAUGAAGGAUCAGAAAUUUGCUCUCUGUCGAUAUGGGAUGUCCUUUGUGCCAUUGUUAUGUUAGGCCACAUGCUAGCCUCUUAGAAUUACAUGCUUUCUCUGGUAAUCCUGUGAGAAAGUGCCAUAUCUCAUCUUUCCAAUCUGGAGCUCUCGGCUACAUAACCUGACAUAGUAUAAUCGGAGGAUCAGUUGUCUAUUAAUUAUGCCAUUUUGAUUGAAGAAAAUUGCACCAUUCCCAUAUGAAGGUUCUGGUAAUUAAGUUUAAUUUGUUUAAUGGAUGUGUUUAAUUUUUGUUUAUAAUGAUAUUAUCUGAGGAGAUGCAAUUUUAGAUUCUAAAUGGUUUGGCAUUUGAUACAGCAAGUGUAAAUGUGAAGACGUUAUUCUCAUAGUGCUACUACGUGUAAUUUUGGUGUUUCUUAGCGGGAUUUUGUUCUAUUCUUUUUGUAUUUCUCAUUUUAAGUUUUUUAUUUGAAAGGAUAUUUAGAGACCGUUUGGAUGUGAUGCAUGCAGAAACUUCAGUUUCCAGCUAAUUGAGUUGCCUAGGUCAUUCUUGUGAAUUGCGAAUUGUUUAUAAUUAGGAAGAAGCUAAUAGAUUUUUGUUUAUGUUAAUAUUGGCAUAGACCUUCAUCUAUGUUCCUUCCCUUGAGACUUCAAAUCACAAACAUGCCAACAAGCGUUACUUUGAUAAACGUGUGGCUUUUAUGCUGUGUGGCCACCUAGAGAAGAUGUUUUUCUUGAAAUACUGUUGUAAUCCCACGUUUAUCCUUGAUACCAAGGCAGAAGAAGAGCAACAUGGGUUGUAACUAGAUUUUACUAUUCAUGGCUCUACUAUGGAUGGGCAGCUCAUUGUAUCAAGAAUUUUGCGACAGAGUGGUUUUUUUUUUUUUUAAUUUAUAUGUGCUAGUUGCCAUAUUUCUGGGAAUGUAGGUGUUUACUGUGUAUUUUAAUUGUACAACCAAGAUGUUUUACUGUGUUUUUUUUUAUUUAUAUGUGCUAGUUGCCAUAUUUCUGGGAAUGUAGGUGUUUACUGUGUGUGUUAAUUGUACAACCCAGAUGAGUUUUAUUUUUAAUUUUAUUUUUUCAAUUUUUUUUGGGCUUUAUGGUGUUAUUGAGCCUUUAACGUCUUCAUCUUUGGACUUAUUUGACAUUCAUGUGCAAAUGUUACUGCAGUAUCAAGGCAGGCAGGUUGGGGGAGUUUACCUGUACAACCUGGCAUAUAGAUUUUCAAAUUAUUUUUCCAUUCUUCAGAUAUUCUUUUUCUCUUCUUCAAAGCUCUGUGGAGGUACCUUGCAGCCUUUAUUUACUCUAAUAUUUGUAGUCUUUUUUACCCUAAUAUUUGUAGCUGCUUAAUUUUUUUAAAACUAUCGUGCUGUGUAUGGCAUUAUGUAUUUGACAUAUAAUGAGCACCAUAGAACUUUUUGAAGAUUCUUUAAUAUUUGAACCUAUUUUUUGUUUUCAGGAAAAAAUCUGUAACAUAGAGUUGAGAUACCUUAAGUUUUGCUCUCUGGCUUUGAAUUUUCAAAUUUGAGUUUUGCAUCCAGGUUUUAUGAAUUGCCAUUCAUCUAGAAUUCUGUGCAAGAAAUGGUUAGCUGUGUUUGCAUAUUGUGGAUUGGUUGGGGUUUUUUUUUUAUAAUUCAAGUGAUGAUACAGAAUCCAACUGUUUGUUGCUAAGAUGUUACAGAUGCUGGGAGGUUUACCUACUGAUUGGUUCAUGAUAUGUUUGUUUUGACUGGCUACUAGCUUAAUUUUUUUGGUACGCCUGGUGAGAUUAGAAGAAUGUACAGUUAAGGUUGAUGAGAAUGUGUGUGGGCAAACUAAAUGGCUAGCACAUUUACAUCCAAUCAUUUUCAAAUGUCAUACUGGGAUCUUUUUACUUCUAUAACCUGUAGUUUUGAAUUCUUGACAUAUGGUUCUGGAGUUUAAUCACCAAUGAUUUGUUCUUAGGUGUGACGUGAUUGUGUCUCUCUCUAGUAUUCCACUAUUUAUGCCUGAUAUUGUUUGCCUGUUAGUUCAACAGAUCAUAAUGUGACCAAUGCUCCAAUUUUGUGCUACUGCAUUGUCCUUAUGUUUUCCAGCAAGAGGUCUUUCUCAAGUCUUAUAAAUUAUAAGUGGGUCUUGUUAUUUGCCUUGUAGGAUAACUGGUGGAUUUAAGGUGCUAUUCUUCUUAUGAACUGAGACAGUCUUGACUUAGAGCCUGCUGACAACUUGGGGGUGCUUAGUAUUUUAAGAGUGAAGGGGCAGUAUUGAGUUAGAGCCGCUACCAACUUGGGGGUGCUAUAUUUUAGCAGUGGAAGGUAUGGAUAACGUCAUUAGCUGGGAAGAAGAGAUGAAUACUUGGAUCAUUAGAAAGUUGUAGUGCGACGCUGGUUGUCUGUCACAAGGAGCAUAUCCUGAGGUGUCAACUUCUAGUUAAUAAACUGCAUUUUUAUAUGUUAUGUGUGGUAAAAUUCCUUGUCUCAUUGUUUUUCAUAGAUGCAGCGAGGAGAGAACUUAUUAUCAUAGAUGUGCUUGCUUCUGGUUUUGGAUACUUUUGGUUCUCUUAGCUUUUGCUUCUCAAAAGUGUUUCAAGGUAAUUUUCAUAGUUGGAAAAAAGUAACUAACAGAGAUUGAAUGCAAAGGUUGAUCAGUGUAGGUUCAAUAAUGAAUGUAGUGCAGGAUAUGGGUGAGAGAGAUUCUUGAUGAAGUUGAGGGACCGUUUACCAUCGUUAGGUAUGUGUCUUCAUUGGCAGCUUCUUUCCUUGUGUAUCUUUCAUCCUAUUCUUGUAAUUCUGCUGUUCAUCAUGCAAGUGUUAGUGUAAGGAUGCAAGGAUGUUUACUAGAAAAAUCUGGAGCUUCUUGGGCUUUUUAUUGUUUGGUGCAACGUGAGAUCUGCUGAAUGGAUUUUUCCUUUGCGUAUUUUUACCUACCUGACCCGUUUAGUAUUUCUAGCUUCUAGUGGCCUAUAUAUGGUAAAUUGUUUGUAUGAAUUAAUUUAUGGCAACGUAGGGUAGUUUGAAAUAAUCAGUGUGUGUUGGAUAUUUGGAAGAUCACGAGGUAGCAGAGGCAUUAUCUGAAUCUAGACUCUACGCAUGGGGUUUGCGUUCCAACUGCUUGACCAUCAUUGGCCUGCAUUUGCUGUAGAAUUACAGGUGUCGUUUAAGCCUAGCUUGUAUAUUUCCUUUCCCCGGGUUUGCCUUCUAGACGUUGACUGAUUAUCAUGUUGAAUUUUGUGGAAGGUGAUGGAGCGAGACCAGCACUGUCGCUUAAGCACCCUCAUCAGAGAGAGAUUGUUGCUUGAACAUGAGCAUCUUCCCUUCCAUUCAAGGAUUGUGUGCUGUCCCAUUUGUGAAUACGGUUAAUAUUAAAUCUGUCAUAAAAGGUAAAAUAAUUUCCCGAAAAAAUGCUGUUCCAAUUAACCAUACGCACUGAUUUAUGUUUUCUAUUAUAGUACAAGUCGAAGUCAAUGACACUUCAUAACUUUCCUGUUAUUAUUAUUAUUAUAUUUUUUUUGGGGGUCCUUUUCCAAUGUCUUUUACUAUAAUGAUUUACAUGUAAUCUUAACCAAAGAAGCGACAGUGAAUGCUUUAAGAACAAAUUGCAAAUGAUGAACGGAGCCCGUCAAAUUGCAAAUUUCCUUGUGUGAUGGGCGCCCUGCGAAGAUGCUCUUUGCAUGCCUGUAGCAGGCCCGAACAGAGAAUGGAGUGUAGCGGGAUAUAGGCGCUGCCCCAGGGAAGAUGGCCGACGACUUUGGAUCGCAAUUACGAUUUUGAUGCGCCACUUUGCCGCGGCGGGUGAUUACUGUGAAGUGAAAACUACGGUCUUUCCAAGCACGAAGAGCACGAGCGACAGUUGAAUGAAGAAAAUGGUGUUGAUCAGUCCCCUGUCAACCGUCCAUCCAAAAACCGUAAUUCCCCCGGGGUUGGACUGCAAAUAUGUCACUGUAGAAUCAAAAAAAAUUAAUGAGCGUACGUGACAAUUCAGGAUUAAGAUACCAGUUAGAAAGGCUCAAGCAAAGAACACACUCGAUGAUCAAGCCUGGUUGCACUGAAAGAAACUGUUUUACAUAUCCUACCACUUCAAAGUUCUGUGUGCGUGCGGUGGUUUGCCUGUGUUGAGGGUAUGUUGUUUGGUAGGAGAAGUCAUUCUUAGUUUUUUAAUGAACAGCAAUUGCCAAGCAAAAGCACUUAGAAUCUGUCUUUUUGCGCAUUUAUCUUGUGUUUUCAUUCUUUAAUAAAAAGAAACAGAUUGAAGAGAUGAAUCCCUUCCAGAGCAAGAGGUGAACAAACAGCAGUGGUAGAAGGAGAAAAAAUCGAUAACAUACUCUGCUGUAUUUUCUCGAUAAUUCUCUCUUAGUUUCGGAUAACAUGCUCAUAAUCAGAUUCCCUUUCUUGUCUGAAGCAUAUGCUACAACGAAAUACCCUUUCACAACUCUUGGCAUAUUGAUUAAGGUGGGCGGGUAUAAAGCUAAGAAAAUGUAAUUCUGCUGUUACUCGACUUAUUUACUCGUAUUCUUCAUACUAGGGAAAAGCCUUUAUAAUGGAGCCAGAAAAAUCAUGUAAAAUUCAUCUAUUUGGGCAUCCGGUCUAUACUGAGAAUAGAAUAUUAAUAGAGUCUGGAUUAUAUAACAUUCUGUCCAAUGAACGAUUCUUUUCAUCCUCAGCAGAUUUCUAUGUCAUAUAAACAAGCUCAAGAAAGGCAGCUUAAUUAAAAGAAAGGGCUAACUUAAGGUAUAUACCUCAGAGGAAGGUAAUAUAGAAUAAAUAAAACCAAAAAACAGGAUUUGAUCCGCGUACCUAGGGCUUGCCUCUUGUGGUAUGAAGAUGCAUAAGAAGAGAGUGGUGUACUUUGACUGGUCGGGACAAAUUCCAAAGACUCCAAAUCACUUUCUGAGUAGCUUGUGUAGAGAGAACCUAUCAUAUGAUCCACCUCCAGGCUUCCAGUGCUGCUAGCAAUCCUGAAUUGAGAUGCAUCAGUAGGAGUGCAUGUCCUUAAAGCAUGCCACUGACCAGCUAGCGAUCCAAUUCCUUGGGCUCUGUGGGAUAUUUUUGCAGCUGCGUUCAAGCAAAGAGUUAUUCCAGCUACUUGGACGAUGGAAGAGACCUAAUAACCAGAGAAAAAAACUUAACCUUAAAUUGUCAGCGUCAUACUCUCAACUACACAACAAUAGAACGGGAGAGGUGCACAUAGAGGAAAAAGCUGAGAUGUGCUGCUGACAAAGCAUAGAGAUAUCCAUCUUAAUCUCAACUCAAACCAAAUUAAAAGUAGUCCAUGAAUAUCUACAUAGACUUUAAACCUGCAAAUAUUGGCAACGGAGUCCAAAUCUCUGUUUCAGGAAAUUAAGCACACUAAUUUGUUCUAAUGAUAUCAAUCAGCAAUUCUUAAUUUUACCAAGGGUUCCAAUUUUAUUCUAGAGAACUCCCGUCCGGCAUUCAAAUCCAUGGACAAACAAUUGAGACAAUAAACAAAACAGCAAUUGCGAGUGAUGAUGAAGUCCAAACUUACAGCAAAAUCACCUCCAUUAAUGAAUGAGAUGAUUCCAGUAUACCCAGUAGUUUGGAAUAGAGUCACAAACUGGCUUACAGUGACAAUCAAGAACACCAGAAUAAGAUAGAUCCUAAAUCUGUGGCUUAUUUUUGAUAGAUAAUGCCGCAGACGAAUAUGCUCUUUUAUUAAUAUUAAAACAUCAGAUUGCCUUUCCAAGAGCUUCCCAUAGUCAUCGAAGUGUAUAAUCUGUAAAUUGCAGACCAGAUAGAACAAUAUGCAGGAGCACAGAAAGAUUAUUGUCACAUAGGUUGAGGAUAAAACAAAUGCUAGUAAAAUAACGACAGUUUGCCACCAUAAUUCAUGAUGCACGUAUAACAUGCGGAUGACUUCACGAGCAGUCUUAAGAAUGAAGCAUGGCAGUACCCAUAACACCAGCAACCGGACAGAUUCCUGCACAUAGAGAUACCCCCAUGAGUCCUAUACUGUGGCAGUCGUAUUACAACACGUGCCAAAUAUCGAAAGUUUUACAUAGAUCAAUUGUUCAGAGGUAAAAGACUACUCAAGUCCAAAAUAGAAAAACUUAGAGCGACCAAAUAUAUCAAGAGAAGCAAUAUAUUGAAGCAAAACUCGUGAAGGAAACGGACACACCAGUAUAUGCUGGGAUAAUUCCCAAUGAUAUAGUAGAAGAAGCAUCCACUCUUUUAAAACAUCAGUCGUAGUGUGUUUCAAAGAAACCAAAUAAUACGUACAAUAGAAACUUAAACUUUUUUCCAUUCCAAGCCAAACAUUUCCGCUUGCACAGAAAGAUUCUUUGCCAUUGAUCCCAAGAAUAUAAGCGGACGGCAGAAAGUAAAUAUGUUCACCAAAAUUUACUCAGCAAACUUCUGCAACUUAUUCCUUGAUAUAAAGCAAUUAAUUUAAAAGAUUGACUCUUUUUUUUUUUUCAGGUUAUGAACCAGCUUAAUAGCUCAUCUAGUACUCUUUAUUUUGGAUGCAUUGUUAUCUUUCUUGUAGAAACACAAGCAGCAUAUAAAGAACACAAAGAAAGAUCAGAACCAUAACCACCCUGCAUAUCGUGCAAUUUAUAAAGUCCAAUUAGAAAGAUACUCACAGAGAUCUUCUGAAUAUAUUGGUCACUGAACCUCUCCACAUGACCAGUAUACCUAUCAACAAAUAGAAACUUCCUAAUGCCAUACUUCCGCAAAUUGUGGGACACACAAAUAAGAGAGGCAGCUGCCAAACUAGCCUGAGAAGCCACAAUAUCCAGCUCAAAACUUUUAAUUUGGCCCUUCUCACAACCGGGACAAUUAGAAAGUUGAAGAAUAACCACCGGAAGGAAAAAACCAAUGAGCAGGAAAACCAUCCAAGACAGUCCGACACUCAAGAUUGAAUUUUGUUUGAAGCCCAGAAGAGCGAGGAACGAGUCUAAUGUUUUAAGGGUCUUGUCAAGAGGAGUGUAGGCCUCUUGAUCUUCUUCCGUAGUUUCUUGAUUUUGGGAUUGUUGAGUUUGUUCUACCUUGAGCAGGGGAGUCUGGUCUUGCAGCUGCCGUGAAUGUGAUUCCUCCUCUGGGACGUCCGCUACUUGUAUAUGAGUUUCAGCCAUUGAUCCAAAAACGUACUAACUUUUACACUAGGCAACUUAAAAAAGGGAAUAGUGAAAAAGAGGGCUUGAAUCAGUAUUUAGUGAGAAAUGUUCGAUCAUAAGAGUAUUUGGAAAAGAAGAAAUGUGAUGAUUAAUCGAAACUGACAGAUCAUCUGAUCGCCGUUUUAUCCGAGUAAAAUAGUCUAUGGGUAACAGUUCCAACCACAUUCGUCUAUUUUGAGGCGUAUUGACACUUUUGACCAUUUUGGGCUACCGGCUGUCUUGCAAGAAACUGUACGACUAUUUAAAAUGUUGAAAUUAGAAAAGUGGUGGUAAAUGAUAGAGAUGACAGGCUUGUCGGAUGAAGAUAUUCUCGUAGGAGAUUCGAGAGAGUUGUAGGGAGUUUAGUAAUUAAAAAUAUGACAUUUGUUUAGCUAGACAACUAUGUAGAAUUACCAAACCAUGCUGCACAAUUCGAGUAGAAUUUUGUGAAAGGCGCCCUUCAAAAACAGUAUGCAUCGACACAUAAGUUGGUCAAGUGAAAAUGAAGUAGCCAAUGAUUGGACACAGGAAAUAAGCUAUCACUUGCCUCAAGACAAAAUGCACUUUUCUUUUAAUACAUAAAUUGAGACUUGUACACUAAACCUAUUUGAUAUACAAAUAUUGGCCUAGUAAUGUAUAUAGUGUGAGUAGUUAGACAGGCAAAUUUGAAUCGUUAGCAGACUGCAAACCUUGGAGCAUGAGAGUUGAGCUUCAACUUGCAAAGGAGAAAGGCAUUUUGGAGUCUUUUGACUCUAAAGUUUGCACCAGCGGACCAUCUGAACAAGAAGUAACUCCCCAUGUAUUGGCAAUGGCAGCAGAUUGCAAGACUCAGUCACAACGUAUCCACGUCCCUUUCCAACAUUCCUGCGGAGAAGAAAACAGGCGUGCGGAUUUCCUGACAAAUCUCGGCGUUCAAUCAAAAUACAUCUGUGACUUCUUGUGAUCAACAGCCUGUUGGACUAAGGCCCUUACUCUUUGCAGACAUUUUAGGGUGCUGCAGUUACCUAUUUUAUGUUUAUGUAAAUAUUUGAUACUUUCUAUUAUUUCUACCCAAAAAAAAAAAAGGGAUCUGUAAGAAGUGACUGGGGGAUCCCUGCCUCCCGGCCCUCGUGGAUUCUCCAUUUGUCGUCUCCAUCGCUGACUUAAACUCCCCAUCACUCCCCAGCUCAGUAUCCAACCAUCAAACUACUGAAACUAGAGAAUAUUCUAAAUCACCGCUCAUCGACUCCAAAUAUCCUACUGCUAUAACAAAAAUGGUCAAAGCAAAUCCAAAUUCUCCUCCUCCUCAACCACCAUUAUUUGCCGCCAUCUUCCGUUGACCUCAGAAGCGGUUUCUGUUCCGAAGCUAGAAUCUACCACAGCCUUAUGUUCUGUUUGAUAAAACUGAAUCUGAAUUCUGAAAUCUGAAUACUGAAAUACUAAUUAAUUUGCUGAAUUUUAAACACUGAAAAGAAAUAUGUGAAUGCCUGAAUUUUAAUGCUAAACCUAUUUAUAUUGUUUGAUAAAUAUUUAUAACUGAAUGCUUAAUAAGUUAAAUUUGAUAAUUUUGCCCUUAUAUCUUUUCAUCCAAAAAAGAAAUAGAACCUAUAAUUUAAUUAGUUAAAAAUGUUAGGUGUGAAAGUGACAAUAUUUAUUUUUAAAUCAAAUUAAUAUAAAAGAUGAAUUAUAUUAUAUGAGGAGUACGGAGAAGAAGUAAAAGUUAUUUAAAAGAGACAAAAGAGAAAUAGAAAAUUAUUAAAUAGAGAAUAUUAGAUUGUUUAAUUAUAUAAGAAUUUUGACUAUAAUUAAUAAAUAAGGGUAAAUUUGAUAAAUAAGAUAAGAUAGUUGAAAUAAUUCUAUUGAUUCUUAUCAGAAUUAAACAUUUGAUUAGGAUUCUUGUGCUGAAAAAAAUAUAUACAAGUUCAGUACUACCUAACAAUUUCAGCAAAUAAAUUUUCAUUUAUCAAACAUUCAAAUCAUCUUAAUAUCUAAAAAAAUUCAAAUUUAACGCUUUUUUGUGUUAUCAAACGUAACCUUAGACCCCGUUUUUCCUUUCCCCUAUAACGACCCCUCUCUCCUUCACGCCCUACAUCUUUACUUUUCUCCACCACCAUCCACCCACCUCCACCGCCGUUGCACUCCUAGUCCUAGACACCACCAACCACCGCCUUCUUCUCCACUCCCAACUCCAAUCCCGCGUCAAAUCCUUAGCUUCUUCUCUCCAUCAUGAAUUUGGGCUCUCCAGAGGGGAUGCGGCCUUCAUUCUCUCAACUAAUUCGUCCCAAAUUCCCAUUCUUUAUAUCUCUCUGUUCCUCCAAUUCACAUAUCUCAAUUUGACACGGCUGCGAUUCUCUACUCGUCGGGGACUGCCGGACACUUUAAAGGAGAUCGACGAGAAAGACUCCGUCUGUGACCAUGUGUACGGUGCCUUACUUCCACGUUUAUGGGUUUCUGCUGUGUUUCAAAGAGGUGGCUUUGGGUGGGACCCUGGUGACGGUUCGAUUGAAUUGAUGGUGAGAAAGGUGGAGGAGUUUAAGGUUACGCAGUUGGCGUUGGCGCAGCCGGCGGCGGUGGCGAUGGUUAACAAUGCUGACGUUGCCAGAAAGUAUGACCUGAGGUCCUUAGAGUUGAUGCUCUGUGGCGGAGCUCCGCUGGCCAAUUCGGUGGUGGACAGGUUUAAGAGUGACUUCCCAAGUAUGCCCAUAGUCCAGUUUAGUUACGGACUCGUAGAAUUGCAGGCUUAUAGCCUUGCCCAAUAAUCCAUGCCAUUAUGGAUUUAUGGUUAUGUAAUGGCAAUUUCUCAGGCACCAAAGCAACAAGUUUCCAAAAAGACAAUAUAGGUAUUUUCUUAUAGUAAAAUGCUGAUCUGGUAAGCGUUUAAAAGACCCUGAUAUGGCAAUGAUGUAGUGGAGACUAUGGCUUUAGGCAUAUGGACUUACUUACAGAAACGACAGGUGGAGCUACUCGAACCGUGGGUCCAGAUGAAAGCCGGGUACCGGGUUCAGUAGGACGUCUGCUCUCAGAUUGCCAAACUAAAAUUGUUGCUCUCAGUAGGACGUCUGCCUCCUCUCGCGAAAGGCGAACUGUGGAUCAGAGGGCCUACCAUAACGAAGUGUGAGUGUUUGCCAUUUUACCCGUCAAUUUCGUGCCAAACAAGUGGCCCUUUUGUUGUCUGGAUUGAAUCUCACGCAUAAAUGUAGAUGGUAUAUGGGGUGAAUUGUGGUUUGCAAAAAGGGGUAGCUCAAUUUGGUGCAGGAUAUAUGGCUGAAAAAGAAGCAACAGCUGCAAUGUUGGACCCUGAGGGAUGGCUAAGAACUAGUGACAUUUGCUAUUUUGAUCAUGAAGGCUUCCUAUUCUAUGUGGAAAGGAUGAAGGACUUUAAUUAAGUACAAGGCUUACCAGGUUUCUUCCACAUUUGCCAUUCUCAGUUCCUGAGCUUACAAAUGCACAAAGCAAAUUCAUGGAAUCCGCUAUUCUAUUUCUGCCUGAGAAAAACUUGUUUGCUCGUCGACCAAUGACCAUCCCGUCUUUGUGCAUGAUAUCAGGUUGCUCCGGCAGAGCUGGAAAACCUGCUGCUUUCGCAUCCCGAGAUCACUGAUGCUGCUGGGAUCCCGUAUGUUUGUUCAGCCUUCUUUUGCUUAUGUCUUAAGCGGAGUACUGUCUCAGUAGCAUCCAUGUUGAAGUCCCCUACUGUUAAUCUUACAGGUUUCCCUCAUGACGAAGCAGGCCAAAUACCCGUGGCUUUUGUAGUGAGAAAAUCAGGAAGCCUGAUUAAUGAGUUGAAGAUUAUAGGCUUUGUUGCCAAAUGGGCAUGCACCAAAAAUUACCUAUUCCGGAUUAAAGAGUGCAGAAUCGAAUCAGAUCAUUAUUACAGACACAGCAGAAUAGGAACAGUUGCUUUGAGUUGUGAGCACAAGCACAUUUGUUGUCCUUCUUGUCAUUUCAUUCCUACUCAUUAUUGGAUUUGCCUCUACGUUGCUUCAUACAAGAAGAAAGUUGUUUUUCCUUGACUCAAUACCCAAAAUUGCUCCUGGUAAGGUGCUGAAAAAGGAAUUGAUCAAGCUCGCAACAUCAGUUGCUGCUUCCAAGUUAUCGCGUCAUUUGUCAUCUGGCAACGACGUUGCUGUAAUAUAUCAUACAUAAAUAAAUGCAACUGCCAAGGGAAGAAAGAAUUAUUUGCUCAGUGGUGACUUCAACAAUUACAAGAGUAGAUUAACUCCUGCUUUAAACAGAUGUAAACAAUUGCCUACUUAGUGUCAACAAUGCAGUGUACUGCGUAAUGAUGAAUGCCGCACUUCAAACAAUUGCCUACUUAGUGUCAACAAUCCAGUGGACUGCGUAAUGAUGAAUGCCGAACUUCUUCUCCACAUGGAAAGUUAUCGUUUUUCUGGUUCUGUCAGCAGAGGGGAAAAAGAGAACAGCUACAAAUCUUCGUUAUAUGACGGCUACAAUCAAUUGAUCAUUAUGCUGAAUGACGUUCAAAUUCUUAAUAACCUUCAGCGAGCUGAAGGUGCUAACUACAACAUUUUGACUUGAGUCCCUAAAAUCAAUCAAUAAUACUAUGACAAGUUACACAGGAGCGAUUAUUGUGAAGUAGAUGCCUCCAAACCCAAAAGCUCGAUCCUGACUGAAAGAAGCACCAAAAGAUUCACUAAAGCUACAAGCUGGGAAACCUCCUAGAUAGAAAUGCUGUUGGGAAUACCACGACCAGUUACUCCUGGACCGGAAGAGGGUAGAAGCAGUUCAUAUGGAGGAAUACCAGCACCGCUUCGGUUUUUCAGAGCUAUAUUCCUGUUUCUUUCAUUUAUUGUCCGUUCUAUGUCCUCUAGUUUGGCUGAGAAGUUCUCAAAUAACUUCAGAACUUCAGGAUCCUUUAUUGAAGUACUUUGGACAUUGUGCAACUGGUGCAGGUACUCUUCAUCUGGAGAAUGAGUUGACAAGGUGUCCUGAACCGCCAUAAUUUUGGUGGCCUGGAGUUGAGUGGGCAAAGAUGACAGAAAAGUAUGCACAGGGUUGAGAAGAAACUUCUCAUAGGCGGGAUCACCUUCUCCUGGGAUGAGUUUUCGCAUCAGGGUUGGGCGGUUAGGUACAUACCCUCCAAAUGGAUACUGUCCAAAAUUUAUAGCUGCAUGCUGACCUGAAGCAACCCAAAUCAUAAUAGUUAAAAUACUAGACAGGUCUUCCUUGGUCCCGAGGUUAGGCCACCAAGUCUCGUCUCUUUUAUCGAAGUGGCCCUUGUUCUUAAUCUCAUUCCACCAGGCUUGGAGCUCAACAUCAGAAGUGAUGGAACUGGGAUCAGAAUAAUAGUGAUCCACAUAGGACGCUACCAAUUCUUUGAUGGCAGACCAAAUAAGAAGUCCAUCUGCUGCAUAAGGAUAGUCUUCAAUCGCAAGUUUCACACCACAUGGCAUUGAAGGAUCCUCCACAGCCAUGCCCCUGAAAUUCACAUGAAUUAUAAAACAGAAUGUGACGAACUAUAUGCAGAAUAGGAUGAAGAUGGAAAACUUUUUGAAGUUGGAGAGAUGGACAGAAAGGCAUGGCAUGCAUAAAGACCGACCUCCUAACUAAAUCUGCUGGCAAUGCUUCCGUGUCAAAUCGCCACAAGCUCUUAUAAGCUGCAGAGCUUAUUUCCAUGGAAUACUUUCCUGGACUAAAACAAGCUUCAAUUAUUCCACCUCCAUUUAUUAGACCUUGUCUGGCAAGGGCAUUAAUUUCCAGUGUGUAGCGCAUAUGAGGAUGAAGCAAUUUGUAUAUUGGAUGCAUGGAGCUGAGCUGCCUAUGGGUGGCUAUUAUGUAAGGCUCCAUACAGGCAUGAGUCCUCAACCUGAAGUUCCAUUAUAGCAACAUUAGAUCCAUCUUGGCACGUUGGAAAAAAGAUAACAUUCAAAUCAAAUCUCACAUUCGGUAAUCCUGUAAUUACAUAUGGCGAAGCAUUCUCCAACAUUUAUUAGAGUUCCAGGAAAUUUUAGUGUUGAAUGCCUCAACUCAAAUCAACAAAAGUCUUGGUCCAUAUGAUCCUACAUAAGUGAAUGGCGAACUGAAUAAUCUAAGAAGAAAGUGGUUGAAGAACUUCAUAUUGAUGGCCACAAAAAUAUUUUCCCACAUAAGAAUUUCUGAAACAUUUAAAGAUAAGAAAUUUCUCUUACCAAUGGUUUACUAAUUGAUGGAUGCCAGCAUCAUUUGAGCAAACAUGCGCUUUAGCUUGCUUCCAGAUCCAAUGAGUGGUAGCAUCGUGGCCAUGGACAAAGACAUGCUUCUUUCUUGGUGAAUUAGAUGAGGGAGGGAGAGAAAGCUCAAUUAUGAUUGGCCUUAAAAUGCCAGUAGGAGUGUAGAAAAAAAUGGUUCUGGAGGCAUAAGCUUUUCUACCAGGCAAUGAGUUCAUCCCCUCAAUAAAAGGCAGAAGCAUAUCAUGAUAGUCAAGUAUGAAGAGUCUCUUGUCCUCUAGGGCCUGUGACAUGCAAGCCAAUGUAAGCUAGAACAACUUUCUGAAGUAAAUACUAGUGACAGGUUUUAGAAAAGCUACGGAAUUUUGUUUUGGUACCUUCUCAACAGACAUUCCAAACAGCUCUUGUUCGAUUAAUUCCCUAGUAAUUGCAGACUCUGGGGGGCCAUAAACUGCAGGAUCCAGUUUGCUCAGAAUUGGCAGUUCCUGUAGAUUAGACGCAUCAUAAGUGAACCAAGAACUGACAAGAUUUACUCAGAAAGGUCUUAGAACUAUAGAAAUGCUACCUUGAGUAGUUCAAUAUUAACAGGAUUAACACCUGCCAGUGCCUGUCUUGCAAACUCAUUGUCACGUAACCAUGCAAAUCGGUCCCCUGCAAACAGAAAUAGCAUAAUAUCCAAAACAAAAAGUUACUUGAAUAGAGUCUCCAGGAAAGCAUACUACAGAUUUUCAACAGAAUCAUUGAAAUGGCAGACUGAAUUCUACAACCAAAUAUAUUCAUGAAGCAAGGGGUGAGAAGGAUACAUAAGAUAAAGAAGAAAUGGUAAGACUCGUACGUUUUAUAACAGCUGGAAUUUCAUACUUCAGCAAUCUUCCACCAACUGUAAAAACUUGAUUCAUCAAAUUGGUUAGAAACUGAUUCUUUAUGACAUCUUUUUGGUCUUCAUCUUUCAAUAAAACACCAUCAUUGUAAAGCUUGUCUAUCUCUGAAAAACAAGUGAAGGGGUUGUCUGAACUUGACAAGGUAGACGAAAUCAAUGGUAUCAGGUUGUGCAACAGAGCUUUCAACCUUCCAGCUGAGAAUGUAUUUUGCUUGAUCUCCUCAAAGGCUUCAUCUCGAGGAACAUAGAUUGGAUGAGGUUUCUCAAUCCUACUUUCACUCAAAGGAUCUGUUUUAAGUGUCAUACAAUAAACUCGCCAAAAUUAAAUAUUGCUGAAAAACUAAAGCCAAAAAUUUGGUCAUCGCAAUGUAUAAAGUACCUUUCUUAGUUGGGCGUCUGCCAGUUCGACACCGCCUAGGAUAAGGCUGCUCAUUGCCACCUAAGGAGGGCCUAGCUAGUUCAUCACUCUUAUCAGGAUUACCCAAAUCAUUGUAAGGAGCAUAAUCAUAUAUUCUUUCAUGCAUUUUCCUCUCGCCUUUACCAUUACCACGAAUACUCAGCAAGUCUUCACGACGAAGAUCCUUAAUGCCAUCAGGUGUUUGAGAUGGCAAGUAUGCCUGUCAGGCAAACAUGCACUGGACUUGUCAAACCUAUACUAGUUAUUUCAGCCAUAGACAUAAUCUUGACAAUAAGUUGCAAACCUGAUUUUUGAAGAUGAUUCUACUCUCAGGAUUAUCUUUUCGAGAAUGGAUCCAUGUAUUUGCUGGAAAGAAUUGAGGCUCUUGACUAAAAUUAUGCACAACAAUCUCCACCAAGUAGAACUCUUUAUCAAGGAAAUUCGUAAUGAGAAUAGCUCCGGGACGCCCAAAAUCAUUUGGCACCCUAAAAUUUGCAGCGUAUUCAACAACGAAUGGAUGGUUCGAUGGCUUAGGAAAUCCCCUAACAUAAGACUCAGCGCUCUUUCCUGACCUGGUAACUAUAAGGCCACAGAAAAAGAAAAGUUCAAUACUUCUGAGUACUAACUCCAUAGAGAUAGCAUAAAGGAAGCACAUUUAUCAAUAUGAAACAACAUAAUUCAUCUUUUAAUGGUUCAUUUUGAUAUUUUAAUUUGAUCUCAUUCAGAAUCCACGAAAACCAAAAGAAAUGCAUCGCACUCGAACUUCUUAAGAGCACCACCCCCCCUCCCCAAAAAAAAAGGCAAAUGCAAAAGAAAAAUAGAAAAGAACGAAAAGGGAGAGACAAAAACUCAGCCCUCUCGUGUUUUGUACCAUACCACCUUGGCUAUAUUUGAGGGAAGAUUGCGUACAGUUGGACACACCUCACUAGCAGUAGCAAAAAAAAGUCUGUGACCCUUUAAUUUUCCUAAGGUUUCUCUUAUCAUAGACACAGAGACUCAGCAAGAUAACGAACUAUAUAUAUUCUUAGGUUUGAAGAACAAAAGUUUUUAUCAAGCAAGAACUAAGCUUACUGGGAUCAAUAUCUUCACUGAUGAGCUGAAGUAAGAUUCCUCUACCAAUCCCGUUCAUGAAAGAUUCCCACUGAUCUUCCAACUUGUCGGUGAUAUUCUCCUUCAUCUUCCUCCUUAUGGUGACCGCUGCCCUGACCUCCAUGCCUCCACUUACUGAAGAAGAAGCCAACGGCCCAUUACUUCCUUGCGACUUCUCCACCAGCUUUGCACCCUCACUGCUGAUCACUGUUCUUAUGGAUUGGUGCUUUGACUGGACCGUUGACUGGAAACCAGGAACAUUAUUGGCGUUUUGUCUAGUAAACCCGCCAAUCUUUCGACCUCCUCCGGUGAUCGUCUCCGAUCGACGGACGGUGGGGAAAUGUUGGAUGGUUGAGGAGCUUAGCGUACUUGGGCUUGGUUGAGCUGUAAACAUCGCUGGAAAUGGUUUUUAGUCAAUUGGUGAGUGAAGCAUGUGACUAGAAAGUAGGAAGUGUAGAACCAGAAGGCAGAAAUACUAGCAAGAAAUAGAUAGGAAAAAAAUGCUCUUGUACUUGAUCCUGUAAGUAGUAGCAAUUAGUAGUAAUUAAUUUGUGGUAGUAAUUUUAACUUGUUAAUUAAUUGCUUUCUCCAAGUAGAUAAGAGCUUUUAAUGCUUUGAGCCCAAGGUCUAACGUAGGACAAAGGUUUGGCAGUCGGCACCAACCACCCACCCACCGAGGUAAGAUCCUGGUCAACGGAUUAAGGCAGUAAUGGUGGAGUAAAAAUAAAAUACUACUACUACUAGUGCAUGGAUAUUAAUUAGGCUUCUACUUUUGUUGUCUUUCGUCUAGAAUUCUUUUUCAUAUUGGUGGGCUAGGAAAUAAGGAAGAGGGAUUGAUGAUCCUCGAACCAUGUUUUGAUUUUUUAAAAGGAAUUCAAUUAUGUACUCCGUUUUCAGCAGUUUUUCUCAAUAGCCAUUGUGAAUGUGUUCCUCAACCAAAAAAAAAAAAAAAAAAGGCCAUUGAAAAUGCGUAAUCCUUGACCGCAGAUGUAUUGAAAGGAACUAGCAUGCAUCGCCGUAUAUUUUACUGCUACUGCAACUAAAAAUGAUCAGCUGAAGGACUAGAAAGACAGGUGGUGGAUGCUAUAAUUAAAAGGUACUGUCAAAUUUUUCAUUUUUGUGUGGCAUGAGAUGUGGUUGGACGGGAGAGGGAGGGUCUCGGCCGGGAAAGAAUUAGAUUAGUAACACACUAACACCUCAGCUCUCUUUCUUGGAUUGGGAAAGAGCUUCAAUUUUCAAUUCAAACUUUGGAUACGGAUGAAUGGUACAUUAUGGCAUCAGAGAGCUGCAACUUGGAGCAGGGCUGGGGAAUGGGGAGGGGUUGUUGGUUGAAGAUGGCUCUAUGACACGUUAAGGCACUUGGGACGUGUUUUUUUUUUUUUUUUUCAAGUGAAAGGUUUUGAAUCGAAACGUUCUAUUUAGAUUCUGCCUUCCUUAUCAUUUAACAAAAUUUUUUUUAUUUGUUCAUUUUUUUUUCUUAUUAUAUGUAUAAUAUUUGUGUCCAGGACAUGAUCGAUUAUUUCACGAGUAAAUUUUAUUUUUUGUUUCCAUUAAAUGUCUAAUUGUGUGCUGCAUUCAUAUGAACAAGAUUAGAAGUGAAUUGUUUAAUUGCAUGAAAAAAAAUAUUGACAUGUGAAUUUUGUAAGGUCAAGAGAGGUACGUAUAAUAUUUGUUUUUAGGUAUAAAAACUUUUUAUUCAUCUAUUUUAGUUAGUUUACUUUAUUUUAUGCCCAUUUCGAAGCCAGCUGCUCAUUCAAGGCUGUGGCUUUUUUUUUUUUUUUUUUUAAAUUAUAUUCAUGCAACAUAAAAUAAGGAAAAUGCUGUCUGCAACAAUUUCUUUAUAUCAACAAGGGCCAUGUGACACGCAUGGCCACCUUAGGAUGUUCAGCAUUUCUUUUUUUCAUUAUUAUGAAGUGGAACACCAAGUUCUGACAAUCGUAACCUCUUUGUAAUAUAAUAAUAUGGAUAUCUGCAGUCUUACGUGGAUCUUGAGCAUUCGCAUGUUGUAAUGUGAAACAAAAAUGCCAUCUUUAAAUUAAUUUCGUACAGCUGUUCAGCAAGUACGAUUUGUCUAAUUAAAAAUAUUGAACAUGAUAAUAAUGGAAAGGGUAAACGGCACGCAAGUCACCAAAUUAUUGUGAAUUUCACGUUUUAAUCACUAAAACUUUUUGAUGUAGUCAAAAAUGAUCAUUCAACUGCUAAAACCUUGCCUCCCAUCAACGUGCCUCAAUACGAGGAGUGUUCUAAAUUCAUGCGGGUGAGUGGUACAUCCGUCUGGUCAGAUGGUGGUUAAGUCCCCGUCAGGUUCCCCCGACUCAAUUGAUCCACUCCCUAGAGUCGCUUCCCUUAAAAAGUAAGUCCCUCUCUUAGGAGUAGGAGUAGGCUAGGCUAGGCUAGACUAGGUUAGAAGUUGCUGCUAGUAAAAAAAAAAAACUACUAAAAUAUUCACAUCACAACUCAUAAAAACACCAAAUUAUUUUUGUACUACCAGAAGAAUUUUUGCAUUGGACAAAUCGUUGAUUAAAGUCCCUUUAUGAAGGCACAAACCGGAAGAGGGGUAGGAACGGUUGCAUGCCAGUUCAUGGCUAAGAUUUGAUCAAAAAAAUUAUACAGUUUAAAAUUCAUCUUGCACCUCGUUUUUAAUGACAUAUGUGAGACUCAUAAAAUUUUGUUAUCAUAUUAUUAAAAGUAAGUUACAUCACGUGCAAAUAAACUUACGUCGUGUGUAAAAAUGCACAUAAUCUUCAAGAACGAUUGCGCCUGCAACUGUUGCUGCCCCUGAUCGAAACAAACCCGCCCACCCGAAUGGACCGACCUCCUUUUCUUCAUUUUGCUAUAGGACAAGGGCAAUAAUACAAGACGUUGCAGGUCUCCAAUUCACCAUCAUGUGUAAUCGACAAGUAAUGAUUAAUAAAAGACAAGUGAGAAAGACGACCGCCAUGCCCUAAACCUAAUGAGGUUGAAGGAGUCUUCUCAACUCAACAUUAUGAUCAGCAACAUUACUGGACUCCAUCAACGUGUGUCACCCUCGCUCAAAGCCAUUGUGGAGAAUAAAAGUGACAGCCCCCCUAGCCCACCGAGAACAUUUAUGGGAUGCAUCAAAGGAUAUGGGUUCUAACGGUUUUCAGGAAAAUCGUUCGAACUAAUUUUGUAUAAAAUAUACAGGAUAUAACUUUAAAUACAUACGAUAUAAUUCACUUUUAAUAAAUUAUUGAAAUUAUAAAACAAAAUUUUAUAAAUUCACAUAUAAUGUGAAAAAUGAUGUACAAUAUAUAAUAUAGAUCUUAUUAUUAUUAUUAUUUUUUUGCCAAAGUUUGGCCAUGAACAUUCAACCCCCUUCAACCGUUCCUAUCCUGCACCAAAGAUCAUCCUAUGAUAUCCUCUAGUUUUGUACUACCAGAAUUGCUUUUAGGCGAGUGUGUGUGUGUGUGUGUUUUGCAAAUACCCCUUCCACUGCGGGGCCAACAAGCACUACAAACGUUUGCAUCCAAGCAUCAAUUCGGCUACACCACUCCAGUGGAAAGUGUUGUCAUCUUUACGCACAUUCUUGAGCUACGUUUGAUAGACUGCAAGGUAGAUUAGUGGGAAGUAUAUUAAACAACAUUUAAAAAAAAAAAAAAUCAAUUGUCAAAUGUUUGAUGACACUUUCCCAAAUGUUAGUGUUUUGGGACGAAAUUGCCGUCAAAUAAGAGACAUUGACAGAAAAAGUAGAAAUUUCUUUUGUGACGCACAAAUGGUUGCCAUACUCGCACCUAUUAUUGACGGCGUUGUCCAUCAUAAAGCUACCCCAACCCCCCCCCCCCCCCCCCCAAACCAAAAAAAACCUCCAAAAAGUUUGGCCUACGAUCAAAUCUUUAGUAAACAAAAAGCCCUGCAUUUUCCACGUUACAUACAUUCUUGGCUAGACAACAUCAAGCACAUGUAUGGCAAUUGAAUCAUAGUAAACUCCGACUCCCAGAGUUGGAUCGGCAGAAAAAAAAAAAAAAAAAAACACGUUUCUUUCCGUGUACAUACAGGAGUGAUAAUCGAAAGUCAAAGUUUUGUUUGAUACCAAAUUUUUGGCAGCAAAGAGGAUUUAUUUUUGUUUCCUAUGACUCUGGUAAAUCAUUAUAGCUGAAAUGACUAAGCUAUAGACUGUAGAACAUAAAAUGAGUACAGCAUAGUUGUUAUUUUGUUGAAGAUGGCAAAAACUCCUAGAAGAGAAAAUAAUUCCGAGAAAGAGGAACAGUUUUAGCAGGUGGGCAUGUCAGGUUUACACCAUCAGCUGUCACUAUGUAGGUCUCUGGAUCGACUUUGAUAUCUGGAAGGGCAUCAUUGAGCUUCAUGUCAAGUUUCGUGAGCCUCCGGACGCCACUUACAGCUUUCACCCUCUUCUUCAGUCCAUACUGGUCUUUUACUCCGCAAUCUAGAGCUGCCUGAUUGCCCCAGAACAAUAUAGGGGUUAACAUGCAUAUAACAAAAUGGAGUAGACGAAAGAUGGUGGUAAAAAUAUGUACCUUGCUAACAAAAGCAAUUGAGUUGUCACUUCCAGCCUUGCCAAAUGCUCCAAACAUUGGCCUCAUCAUGACCUGUAACAAGUUCUUGUUAAUGCAACAAACAGAACGAGUUCUAUCAUAGCGGAGAAACUUGAACAAAAUCCCUGCAUUAACAAGGCUUUGAAAUAUAUCAUGGAAGGGCACUCAAGGUUAAUUUGAAUUUUCACCGACUAAUACUCCUUCAGGCACAUAACAUGAAAAGUAAAUUACUUUAUGACGCCGUACCAGACAUAUAGAUCUGAAAAGCUAAGACAUACAUAUCAGUACAAAAGAUGGUGAUGAUAUAUGUUUACCGGUUCAGGAGUUGGAAUGCUGGCAUUUGGAUCCCCCAUAUUAGACCAAGCAAUUGUGCCACCUUUGAUCACCAUUUCUGGUUUUGCCCCAAAGAAGGAAGGCUUCCAAACAACAAGGUCAGCAAAUUUCCCCACCUGCACCACAUUAAUAUCAUCACAUUACCAAUAUCACAAGAAUAGAAAUGCCGAAACCAAAACCUCAAAUUGAUCAAUGAGCUGAUAUCUUCAAACCACCGAGACAGAGAUGCACUGCUAGUGGCUCUUGCCAACUUCUGAUCAAAGGAAAUGCAAUUUGUUGCCAACCUUAGGUCAUGUUUCCUGUCUGGAAGUUGGUAGGUGAUAUCCCUCACAACUCGUUAAUUACAAUGUCUACUGUUUACAUUGUAAAGCCUCAAACUGAUUUUUCCAUAGAAGAUCCAAUAUAGUCCAGAACUUCCACAAAAGUUACCUAUCAAACUUCCUCAUAAAUCCUAAACACAUUGCCCUUAGAAUCCUGUACCUAUGGCAGUUAAAAUGAAAAAUUUCACACGAAGUGAAAUGUCAAAGGCUUGUGAUCCUGCAGACAAAAGCCAAUUACUGCAGAUAACAGAUUCUCACCCUCUAAGAGCUUGAUGUUUUCCAUUGCCUUUAGAUUCUCUGUUAUAUCAUUCACUCAAAAGCUCAUUAAAAAGCUCAACAUUUUUACACUCAACUAUUCUACAGAACUAAUACAGUCACCAUACCUCAACUGAUCCAACAUGCUCAGAAAAUCCAUUUGCUACUGCAGGAUUUAUGGUGUAUUUGGCGAUGUAUCUUUUGAUCCGCAAAUUGUCAUUGUUUGAUUUGUUACCCUCAAGGGAUCCUCUUAAUAACUUCAUUUUGUGUGCAGUUUGCCAUGUCCUGCUAAUUACCUGCAAAAAAAGUUUGGCAUAAGACAAGUAUCAAAAUCCAAAAGAUGUCUAUGGCAAACAAAUAGCUAAGGAACUCCACGAUGCAGUCUGAGAAAGCUAAGUCUCUGUAGUUAGUCCCAAGCCUAAAUUAAGCUCCUUAAACUGAAGCAAUUGCAUUUCCACUAAGAAAGAAAAGCUAAAAAGAUUUUUCAGCUUUAUACUUUUACUUUGUCUCAUGGUUUUUAUCUUAUCUUCAUAACCAAGUGAAGAUAACCAAGUGAGAGAGCAAGAAGACUGUAUAGGGAGAUGAUGCAUCAAUCUUGUAAAUUCCAGGCCGGAAUUCUGAAAACAUCCAUGAAAACAGGUUUUCACCACAGAGUUCAGAGACAGACACACACUCACACAUAUAUGUAUACGUAUAUCAUUCAUUUUUUAUGACGUUACUAAACCCAGAUGGCAGUGCUGGUAGCACAACUUUACAUACGAACAUAUGAGACUAGAAGAAACUAUAACCUAAUUGCUGAAAUGAGGCACUAGAUUAUGAGCCCAAGUGUUUGUCUUGAGGUGGACGCUUUUUACAUCAGUUCUAAUCCAACAAAAGAGAACACAGAUCAUAUAAUGAGAAGGCAUUUAAUGAAUAGAACCGUUAAAAAUGUUCAGACUACAAUAGGGAGAAGCUGAGUGAGAACCUCAGCUAUACGACCCAUAGCUUGUGAAUCAGAUGAUAUAAUGCUAAUAGCCCCCAUAUCAUGCAAAAUAUCUUCCGCAGCUAUUGUUUCUGCACGAAUUCGUGAUUCAGCAAAAGCAACAUCCUCUGGAAUAUCCUUAUCAAGGUGAUGGCAAACCAUCUGUACAUAGAACCAUUUUUUAGAAAUCAAUUAUGUACUACAUCCUUUUCCUGUCAAAGAAUCACUCUUUUCAAAGUUUGUUUAUAUUAUUGUUAUUUUCCUUACCAGCAUAUCUAGGUGUUCAUCAACAGUAUUUGAUGUGUAAGGACGUGUUGGAUUAGUUGAUGAAGGAAGAACAUUCUUGACACCACACACUUUGAUAAUAUCAGGCGCAUGUCCUCCACCAGCACCUUCACUGCACAAAAUUGAGACAUCCAUAGGUGAUUAUGCAAAAAUGCAUUAUUUCCUUAAUUAUUCUUAACUAAAGAGAGCCAAUGUGCCCCAAUCAAAAGCUUAUACCUGUGGUAAGUAUGAAUUGUUCUAUCUUUAAAAGCAGCAAUUGAGUGCUCCACAAAACCAGACUCAUUCAAUGUGUCAGUGUGGAUAUUCACCUGUCAAGUUGCAUAAAUAGUGAUUAGAAGUUCAAUAACUAGCCUAAAGAAGAGUCGGUUACCUGAAUGUCAUGUUGCUCGGCAACAGUCAAACAAUUGUCUAUUGCAGCAGGAGUAGUUCCCCAAUCCUCAUGAAGCUUUAAACCCAUUGCUCCAGCCUUGAUUAUUUCAUGUAGGCCAUCUGCCUUUGCACUAUUUCCCUAAAGUUUCAAGACCAAAUCACGAAAUGAAUGAGAUAAGCACGAACAUUCUCCUACUUGGAACAAGAUGACAUGCAUAAUCAAUGCGUCAUCUGAAGAGAACUGACAAAGAACACGCACUUUUCCUGUGAAACCAAAAUUAAGAGGUAAAUCAUCUGUUGAUUGCAACAUUAAUUUCAUAUGUGAUGCCGCUGGUGUACAAGUUGUUGCACGUGUCCCAUCUGCAGGUCCUGUUCCACCUCCUACCAAUGUUGUGAUACCUACAAGCAUGGUAGAGAGUUGUACCCAACACAUGUUAGAACCAUGCUCCUCCUCUCUAAGGACAAAAAUGUAUAGAUGAUCUAACUCUAUUGAGUUUUGCUUCUCUUAGGACUAGCUUUUAACAUUCAGAACAGCAAUUAUAACAACAGAGUAUACAUAAAGCCGUGGAUGCCAAUUGCCAAAGCAGUAUCUGCAUAUAAUCAAAAUCAAAUUAAAGCAGAUACAAUAUUACAGAAGACGUCGAUGUCCAAUUUGAUACACUUCUACACUGAAUGGUAGGAUUGAAUAGAAGGUUUAAUGUAAUGCAUAAAAACCUUUGUAUUUAUGGCAAAAAUCCUGAUCAUUGAACUUAGCUUUACUCAAUCUACAGUUGCUGCAAUUGUCAUGAUUUUAUUGUCAAAGUUAGAUAAACACAAUAAGUGCACAUGAUAACAAAGAUCCUGUAAACUUUAAUUAACAGUAGUGGUGGUAAAAGCAGUCAAGAACAUCCUUUCUACACCACCAAGAGAGACAAAGAAGAAAAUGAGAGUUUAAAGUUCUUCGAUCAUGUUAAAAGUAUUUAAUUCCAGUACCUUAUCAGUUGACCAAAAUAAAAAGAUUAGUUUAUCAUGGCUUGAAAUCAAGUGUAAAGUGCAUCACUACUACAAGUGAGCAGAUUUUUCUUUUUCUUUUUCUUUUUUUUAUAAAAGGUAAAACAGAAUUGUGAACAUUUAUCUCUCUAACAAGAAAAGAAACUGAUUCUCAUGGAACUAGAGCAGAAAAGGCAACAAAAACAAAAUUUCAUCAAUAAUAGUCACAAUUUCUUAAGAGCAACAUAAACACAUUUUUGUUAAGCACAAGCAGCACAUCAUCAUGAAUAGAAACAAAGACUUCUCAUAACUAUGAUUUUCUAGGAUAUUCAAUAAGCACUAUGAAAGGUUUCCCAAGGAUGUUCUGAGAAUAUAGCUCCCAAAUUUCCAAAUGAUGAACACAUAUAUGGAAUCUGUAGUAAGCUACCUUGUAAUUGUCAUCAUUGAUCUUAUCUCGCACAUUUACAUAAUUUCAAAACUUGGAGAAAAUAAUCAGGCGGGGUAGAAAAUGUAUAUUCUCUUACUGACACUUUUUUUACGGCAUCCAGAAGAAUUAUUAGCAUACAGUACCCAUCUGGACAUUAAAACUUCAGUAAUCUACCAGGUGAAACAAGAGGUCUACAUCAACUUUAUCAGAGGUAUUAAUAUAACAGGCAUGAAAAAGCAAAAUAAAGUCAUAAAACUUUAAGCUGUUUGGCUCUCGUAUUCAUCAUCAUUUGUUUAAUACUGAAUUCAUCAAAGUGAAACAGUUGAAUUUGCUUAAAGUUGCGUAAAUCUCACCACUUGAUAUUGCCUCAAAAGCCAGCUGAGGGCAUAUAAAAUGCACAUGACAAUCUAUAGCUCCAGCUGUUACAAUAAAUCCUUCACCAGCAAUAACUUCAGUAUUAACCUGAUCCAACAAAGAAAAAUGUUAAGUCUUCAAACUUAAAAAGGUAAUUACACCUUGAACAACACUGCAAAGAGAACAGCUUGAACUCACCCCAAUAAUCAUCUCUGGAUACACUCCAUGCAUGAUAUCUGGGUUGCCUGCUUUCCCUAGUGAUGCUAUGAAACCAUCUUUAAUUCCGAUGUCAGCCUUAAUAAUACCGGAGUAGUCAAUAAUUACUGCAUUUGUUAUGACAGUAUCCAAACAGUCAAUGGCUGCAUAACCACAAGCCUGUCCCAUUCCAUCUCGCAGAACUUUGCCACCACCAAAUACACACUCAUCACCAUAAACAGAAAAAUCUCUCUCUAUUUCUGCAAAUAAAUCAGUGUCACCAAGCCUAAUUUUAUCACCAAUUGUGGGCCCAUACAUGUUGGCAUAGGUCUCAUGUGAUAGUUCAUAAGAAAAAGGGGAUCCUUCUUCAAUGACACCUUCACUGCAAAACCAGUUCAAUUUUCAAAAUAAGCCAUCUUUACUACUUCUAACAAUCUCCACGGAUUGCAAUUACUCAAAUCAAGAAAUUCAGAGAACAAGGAAAUUUUAUCAGGCAUCCUAUUCAAGCAGCAUAACUCAGGCAAGCAAAAAAACUUUGUCCAAAGCAGAGUGAUAUUUGAAAAGACAAAUGAAACUUGGGAAGCUGCCCAGACCUCGAAUUUGGUUCUUCAAGAUGCUUACAUGCUCUCUCUUGUAUGGCAUCCAUCAAUGGUGUCAUAUUGGCAUUAUGAACUGGACCAUCAGCAAUUCCAUUUCCUCCCCUAAUAACUUGUUUACCUUCUAUUCUGACAAGGGUAACAGUUUUUGUGUCUCCUGGCUAGCAAAAUAGAAAACUUUUUGUUAUAAACUUGCUAAAUUUGGACACAAGUUUCAAAAAUGACACAAAUUACAUGACAAUCAGCAUUACACACACGACAAACAUGAUGACAAUAACGAAUGCAUAAAGAUGAAUAAACUGAAGAAUAUACAAGUGGAAAGAAGUUCUCCACAAAUCAUUGGCACAAAUACAGUCAUUGAAGAUUGAAAACAAGAACUGCUCUCCAUCAUGUGCCUGAUGGAGAAAUGAAGCAAAUAACUCUUGCCUAGCAGCAUAGACAGGUCUCACUAUAUAUCAAGAAGCACUAAUUUGGAGUCAAUCAUAGAAAGUCAAUCUUAAGGUAGCUUUAAGAAAACCAUCUGGAGUUCCUUACACUCUGAAAAUAACACUUUUUAUGUAGACUAGAUAUCAGCCAUGGGGCUAACUCAUAUCAAAGAUUAACAUAUGUGCUUGUAGAGUCUCAUGCUGCAACUUCAAUGGAAAUAUCAGAAACAGUCAUUUCAAUUCUAACAGAAUCAAAACAUUUAACCUCAAAUCUAGUAGCUGUCCCUGCUGGUAUGUUCAACCGCAUUGCAUAGGCUUUCAUUCGGUCGAAAGCCAAAUAGGGGUUUGCCUCAAUAAAGUGAUAGUGGCUUCCAACCUGGAAAUUCAAGAACCACCAACUUUGUCAAUAUUUCUUCAUUAACUUCAAGUGUCAUUGCAACACUCUAGCAGCAUUUCUUGAUAUAGAAAGAAAAGCUUAAAGUAAUGAAGACAUGAUGUUGAAGGAUAGAUAUGGUCACAUCAUCCAUACAAUAGCUAGAAAUUCUCCAGAGAUUGGGUAUGUAUGUAUGUAUGUAUGUAUGUAUCUAUAUAUAUAUAUAUGCUUAAGCUAACACCUGAAUCGGCCUGUCUCCAGUGUUAGUGACUUGAAGCUUAACUGCUCUCCUCCCAGGGUUGAGUAUAAUGGAUCCACCUCCAAAGAUGAUCUCACCAGGGAUUUUACCAGCUUCUACAGGAGGAAACUUGUCCAAUGAAGGGACUGCAAAAUAGCACCUUUUAAAACAAUGACCCCCCCAGAGAAGAUAGUUCAUAAAAAAAUAUUUUCUAUCAAUAGUAAGAUGGAAAAUACAAGACUAAUAAAACUUGUGUUAAUAGCAUGCAAAGGACUUGUGUGAAAUUUAAGCAACAGAUAAAGCUGCCCGACAUUAUACAAGUGCAACUCAUGGAGGAAUUCCAUGAUCAAAUCUCAGUUGCAGAUUUUUAACUUCAUGUAUCAUGAAAUAUAUCUUGAUAGUGUUCACUUCCAAAUUAAGCUGUUUUACAGCAGAGGGCUUUACCAACAAAGAUAUUAGAUAAAGACAUGAUUGAGUAUUCAAAUUUGUAACAUUCACAAGGAACUCCCCAUGAAUUCAUGCAAUGUAAUCACCUGGAAGAAAGGAACCAUAUAAUGCAAGUUCCAGAUUUCCAUUUUCGGACACUAUGGGAUCGUGAAUGGUGAUUAGUUUUGUUCCGUCAGGAAAGGUUCCCUCAACCUGUACUUGCAUUUACAAAGAGGUUAUGAUUCAGAAAAAAAAUUUUGCAGUCAUUGACCAGGAAAGGACAACCAUCAACAUCACUUCAGAAUCUACAAGAUCCACUUACCUGUACAGUGUUCAAGAGAUGAGGAACAGCUGGAAGAACUUGCCUCCUGCCAAAUUGAGCAGAAAAUAAAUAAUGCAACUAUUUGCUUCAUGAUUCUUGUCAAGAGUGGAAAACAUUGGUAUAAGUUUUCAGCAUUGAUGAUACAUAAUGUUCUACAUAAGCAAAAGCAUACAAAUGAAGCUGUUCCAUAUAUUCAGUCGAAUAUAGGCCUGUAGCCAGGAUGGAAAUGUGCAUAAUGUGAGUCAUAAAAAGAAGCUAUCUUUUUGUAUGACUCAUAAUUUGCACUUGUAAAUGAUCAUCCAAGCAAGCAACAGAACAAGGGAUAGGAAUUGUGUAGACAAAACAAACAAAGUGAUGAGUACCAGAUUUCCUGGCUACCUUCCUAAGAACUGUCUUCCAAGGUCCAUCAAUUCAGCCACACUCUUCUCACCAUCACGCACCAACUCGAGAAUCUAUUCAACCACAGCAAUGGGUAUAGAAUUAAAAAUAACUAAAUAAAACAACAAGAAUAGUCAUGACAGCACAAACUAUAAUUGGAGUGAUAACACAAGAAGCAGCUUUACAAAUCUCACAGCUCAAACAUUAGUGCGACCUCGCACAGAUAUAAUUUUUUUUUAAUGAAAACAAAAACAGGAAGCCUAAGGCUCUAGGCACUCCCAUGUUACCGUUAUAACAACAAAAUUAGCUCAUUGGUAAACAGGUAAGCUGAAUACAAAAAGUUAUUACAAAUAAUGUAUUUAUUACAGCGUUACAUUUAACAUUUCACAAUUACAUUUAACAUUUCACAAUUUAAAUAGUGCCUACAAUCGAUUCUGACAAAUAAGAAAUCCCAAAAAAAUGUAUUAAAACAGGGUCAAGAUUGGAGUGUCCUUAAAGUGGAAAGUCCAAAGCAAUUUGCUGAACACAUGACACGCAAAUGAAGAAUAAAUGGAAGAAGGGUUGGGUUGGGCUGGGGAGAAUGAAAUGGAAAUACCUGAGCAGCGAUGAGAGCAACGGCUUCGGUGUAAUUAAGCCUCUGGCCCCUAGCCAAACGCUUCUGGGCAAGCUGCCCUGCAUUGUGGAGCAUCAACUUGUCCAUUUCUCUGGGCACCAGCUUCAUCUUUUCCGUAGUCCCGCCCCGGCCUUGCUUUCAAAUUUAACAACAACUAAGACGACCCCACAAGGUUCAGGCUUUCUAUUUGUCUGACUGAAUCCUUAUCAGGAAAAAGAAAAAGAAUUUGGGCGGCGAGGCACAACUGCACAAGUCAACUGGCCUGGUUCUGCUUACUUGAUUCUCGGAUGAUUUUGUACAUGCGAUACAAGUCUACAAACAGCAACGAAGAAGCAAAGUGAUCGACAGUGGAUCAGUGCUGCCAAUGGGCACAAAUCACAAUGGCCUCGUACGGCGUCGUAUUUAACCACAGGGCUAUCCUCUCUGCUUCUCUUUCUGUCUGAUGCAUGGAUUCUUCCUUCAGUUCGCUUGGGUGGGUGGGUUGCGACUUGGGACAGGGAAUAUACACUUAAGCGAUUCUAUGGUGGCUCCCAGUGGAUCCAGUAGAUCACAGAAGUGGAAACCAGCAAAAGGGCAAAAGAAAAAGGUACGGGACAAAAAAGGAAGGCGUGAUAUUUAAUUGACGCCCGAAAUAUCACGCCUUCAGUUGCCCAGGCAUGGUGGUCAUUCCAAUUUCCAUGCUCGUUUACUCUUCCGCAGCUGAUUAUUAAUUUCUAACUAUUAAGUUUACCUUGUUGUAUUAAUUAGUCUUUCAUAUGUGCAGUUUUCUGCCUUUCACGAUGACUUACUCUUUUCAGGGGAGGGGGGUAAACAAAUAAAAAAGAGCAUGGGUUCAGAUUUGUUACGUACAUGCACAUUUUAGGUAGCAUUUCACCGCAUUCUUAAACAAGAAUUCAAUAAUUCAAAGAUGAUCGGAGGAGAUUUGAUGCAAAGCGGAUGAGGCGUCGCUUGCUGGUAGUCUUAUACCCCAUUAAACCGUGGAAGGUUGGUACCUUCUUCUUCUAAUCUAAACAAAUCAAUGCACUUGUUGGAGUUAAAAUAUGGUAAUUAUUUGUUAGUUUUAAAGUGGAUUAUGAUGGUUGCUAAAAGCAUGAAAGUGAGCAAAGGCCCGAACGAACUAAUUUGUUGAGGAUUGGACUUCUUCUUGAUCUAAAUUAGUUGAAGAAUGAGUCAGUCACAGCAGAAUACGUAGCAUACACUCACAAAAAUUUUCUUUUUUUUUUUUCAAUUGCAGGAAUCCUUUGUCAUUAAAACCCUUUUCAACAUUACUUUUUCUGUCAAUAAUGUAGACAAUAACACAAUAAUUGAUGUAGACACUAAUACAAUAAGAGUAAAUCUUAUAUACACUGACAGUGCAUACACUGUCACCGCUGGAUCAAUGAUACUUGUGCAAAAAUUAAAUUUCAAAUUCAGAUUUUACAUAGUUGUCAUUCGUUCAAUACUAAUAGUGUAUGCACUGUCAAUAUAUGAAAAAAUAAUUCAUAUAGUAAAUAUAGACAAUAACACAUCAAAAAUAAUUUUUUUUUUUUAAAAAAAACACAACGAAUCUUUUGACACCUUAAAAGUGGUAUUUUACAUUUAAUCUCCACCAUUCAAUUUAAAAACACCUCAUCUCCACCUUUAACUAUAGCCUGCCGUCCACUGCAGAAGUCCCCGAUUCAUUUUGGGUACGGGCAAAAUGACCGUCGUCACAAACUUGAAUGAUUUAUGGCCUCAAAUUGGUCAACAGUGCAGAAGUUCAAAUUGGAAGGACAUGAGAACGUCGCUCCGAUACAAUUAAUGUGUAUGGUUCAUAUGAACAGUAGUCGAAUAAGGUGUAUAAAUUAUUUACAAAUUACAGUAAUGUGUUCAAAAACAUAUUAUUAUUUAUUGCAUCAAACACCCGAGCCAUUGGUUCUGUUCUAUGCUGACCGCCGUCCCAACAAAAGCGUAGUGCUAACCACUGGUUCUUGAUGACUUCGCCUUCCGACUUAGGAUGACGAAUACUAGAUUUUGAGCUGGUACCCUGCCAUGCAUAUUCAGAUGGAAGAUUGCCCUCGACGGCAACGGCUAUCAGCAUCAGGUUCGGCGCGGCCAAAAUGAAAUUGGCGUCGCAAAUAUGACUUCUUGGGUUCUCAGAUUCUAAGCGAUCGAUGUGCAUUACGCCAUGAAUUUCUAGCAGCCAACAGAGAUUCCUCAAUAAUUAAUUAGAAGAAUACCUAAAUAAAUGCUUAUCUGCAGAGUUUGUAGUCUAUGAUCCGUAACAUGCCAAAUUACCACAGGCUCUGAUCGAUCCCAUACUUGGAUCGCAUCCACUCAUACUAUAUAUAGUGCAUGGCUGCUGCGACAUUGAUGUCAGAUGAGAUUGUGGGCUAUGAUAGAUACCUUGUAAAAUGAAAAUUGUUCAAUUCUUGAACGCUACAUGAUUUGUUUGAGUUUCGUGCUCCAGAAAGGAUAAUAGUUCAAGAUAGAAACUUGCAACUUUUUUCUCUUCUUAGGCGGAGCCCAGAAACUUGCAAGUUGAUACGGGCUAUUACUAGCUACAAGUUGAAAGCAAUUAAUUUGCUGGUCAAUGCAGCUGGUUAGCCAUUCUUAAUUUGCCUCACUCUCAUAAUUUGCUGCUCUCAAUUUAAUAAUUGCAAUGCAUGUGAAGCUGGUUCUCGCUUCCCAGGUCUACUACUCAUUGGAAGUUCUGACCAUGCGAUGCGAAUCACAGACCAUGCAUAUGGAAAGAUAAUCAAGUUGUCGAUAAGGGAUGAGACUUUUACUGAGGAAUGGUACUGAUGUUGGAAGAAGCUUGUAGCAGAAUAACAAGAUUCGUUGAGACAGAACUUAGUCAAAUUUAAUUACUAAUAAGGAGAGCAGCUGAAGAAACAAUUAAAACUUAAACAAAGCAAGCCAUUCACUUGUGAUCUGAUUGCUAAAUCUAACUUUGUAAGAAAUUAAUUAUCUAAACUUAAAAGACAUUUAACUGUCUUGAUCCACCCAAGAGCCUGGGUUGCCAUUGCCAACACAUAGCAGCACUUUGCCAAAGCGUCUGGCAUUACAUAAUCGAAUUACUUAGCUAGUUACUGAUGUUUCCUGCAGUGGUCAAGUUUACACGUUUUAUGGAAUCAUAAAAAGAGGAAAAGGGCUCCUACCAAAAACAAGAAAGCGAAAAAAAAAAUUAAUAAUAAUGAUAAUAGGAGGAGGAAAAGGUCCAAAGGGGCGUUUGUGUUUGAUUUCUGAAAAGAUGUAAUCUACAGCUAAAUACACAAUUUGUCAACAAUACAACAAGUUUGUAUCAUUUCUUUCAUCGUUUUCACUUCGACCGCAGAAUUUCUUAAUGUUAUCUGCAAGCCUUUUUAUCGUACGCGUGAUAUUUUAUUAUUUGGAAGUUGGAUGGACAAAGAUGCUUGCAGGCCAAAUCCGGCAAAAUUCGAUCAGGAGCAGCCGUACUUUGUGUCCAUACUCCAUAGCAAGCAACCAGUCACCUUUAUUGUGCCAGCUAGCGGCCGAUUGCCGAGGGAAGUGCCGGUGUUGACAUAUGGUCUUAUAUCGUGAGUCUAUUAUGAUCCAUUCACAAAAGACGGAAGAAAAUAUAAGAAGUUAACUACUAGUAACCUUCUCCAAGAAACUAAUAUUCGUCACUUUAAAGUUUUAACCACUCCAUGUCAUAGCAAUCGUACUUUUUUACACUAUCGGUGAUUAAUUACAAAAUAUUCAUUUUGGAUUUUUUCUCAAAGAGAUUCAAUCCAUUCCUUUGUUCUUUGUAUAAGUUUCAAUAGUAUUGUACAAUGUGUUUUCUUAAAAGUUGCAGGUACAAAAUGCACUCUUUAAUUUGUCUAGACAUCUAUUCCUUUAAAAAAAAAAAUAUGCAUUAGGCGAAUGUGGUUUUUAAAACUUUCACUAUUCGAGAACUUUUUCGAAAAACUAUCACCAUUUGAUCAUUUCUUCGUCACUAGUGAUGAAUUUAGAAACAAGAGAGUAUCCACCCACUCAGCUUAUUUCUAAUCUCUAAGGGUCUAUUUAGUAGGCCAUGUUUUUAAUAGGAAUAAAUUUUCAAAAGUUUUUCUCCAACUUUUACUACAGAAACUUGUAAAAACACCUUCUAAAUUUUAUAAAAAUGCACCCUAAAAUAUCCAAAAAAAAAUACACACCCAUUUUUCUGUUCUACCGCUACUUUCUUUUCCUAACCAUUUCCACCUCCACCUACCUUCAUCCCCUUCUCACAUAGUCACCAUUGCUGUUAUCGCCACCUUCUUCCUUUCUUUUCUACUUUCUCCCUCCCUCUACUUUUCCACUUCUCAUUCUUUUCUCUUCUUCAUCUAUCACCCCCUUUUCGCCUCUCCCUUCACCCCCACCCUCCUUUCUAUCCCCCCAUUUAAUCACAUGACCAGAGAGGAAGAGGGAGAGGAGGAAAGGAAUGGGUGAAGGAAGAAGGGAGGGAGGGAGUGGCGAGAGAAGAAAAAGGUUAAAGCAAGAGAAAGGGAAAGCGAGAAAAAGGGAGAGAGAAAGAGAGCUAGGAACGACGGUCGUGAAGUUUUCGAUCGACGGUGUUUGAAGUAGUAAUAGUGAUAAAAAGGAAGAAGAAGAGAGGAAAUAAGAAUAAAAAAUUUCAAUUUAUUUACAAAAGUUUUUCUACAAAUUCUAUAGUAAAUUUUAAUAAAAUUUUGUAAAAACAUCUAAAAAAAUGUGCUAUCCAAACAGAUCAUAGAUAAGAAGCAAUAAUGUGCAAAGAAGGUGUACUUACUACUUGCUCGUUUGCUAAUUAGACAAAACGAAAAAUACAAUUCUAAUUAACUUUUCCUUGUAUUCGAAGUUAGAACUAAUUUUCCAAUCUAAGCUCUCCAAUUUUUCUUUCUCUUUCUUUUCUUUGUUAUUCAAACUCAACUUUACUAAGUUGCUUUGACUAGAAGGAGAAUUGGGCUUGUAUGCUCAAGCUCGCACAACAUUGUGGGUAUCAAUUGCAUUUAUUAUAUAUAUUCAUGGAUCAUAAAAGCCUCUUUGUAUUCUUCAUUCGAUUGAUUUAAAUAUAUAUUCAAAAAAGUUGCAGCUACAAUCACAGCUAACAAAUUCCAUCCUGAACUUUUCCAUGCAAUGCUAACCGUAUUUUUCAACUGGCUGUGCUAAAUUAUUUAAUAGGCUUUUUCAUCAAGAAUAAAAAGACACUCAAUAUUUUGCUGUAUAUAGUCGUUCUGUCAUGGUCUCACGUGACAAUUAAACCAUGACAUGAAUGAAUAGGACUGCGAUGUGAAAAGUAUAUCGAAAUUAAUUUACUUCCAACAAUAUCAAAAUGUUUGUGAGAUUUAUGCCGGAAAUUUAUUCUCAGGAGUGCCUAAAAGUCUAUAUGCGUUUUUAACGGAAAGCUCUAAAGAAUACCAAUCCAUUUCCUCCCUUUCUUUCCAGAUUUAAGACAUGGUUACUCUUGACACCACAUACUACAUUAUUAAUAAGGUUUGUCCAAAAAAAUUGAGGAAAAAUCAUAGGUAUAUUACUCUACUAUAUACUCCUUGAUUUUCUUAGACGUGGGAAAAAAAUCCAAAAGGGGACAAAAGAAGAAGAAAAAGAAAAGAAUUGUACUAGUAUAAAUUAGUAAUUCCCGAAGUGGGUCCCACAACAUUGACAUCUUCUUUUUAACCUUGGGACAAAAUGGAGGACUUGGUCAAAAACCCAUAGUUUUAACCACAGUUAAACUUGCUCCAGGCAAUAAAUAAAAAGCCUUCACAUCACAAUGUCACAUCCCCUCCAUUUCUCCCCUGCAACGACCAAUUUCCCCUCACGCUUCACUGACUCCUCACUUAAUUAGCACAUCUUCCAAACUUCAAUGCCGCCACAAUAUUAGCACCUUUUUGGUUUCUUUGGGUAAAUUUACUUUCCCACCAUCCAGAGAGAUCGUGGAGAUGACGGUGUUCACCUCCACUAACGCAGCCGGCGGAUACAUGGCGGGAAAGCAAGUGUUUCCGGUGGAGUACGAAGCAGAGCCGCUCUCUCAGCGACUGGUCGACGCGGCUCACGCCAACGACUUGAAGUCGGCUUCGGAGUUAAUAUCUAACCCCUUCGUUGACGUUAAUCACAUGGGAACAGUUUUGUUGAAGGCUAGAAAAACCGAGGUGGUGUUGCAUGACGAGGAUGCCUGCGAAGUCAGCGUCGAGUUCGAGGAGUUUAAGACUGAGGUCACGGCGUUGUUCCUAGCAGCUCAUAACGGAAAUGUCGCACUCGUCCGAAAAUUACUGGUUAGUCAACGUCUUUACUGUUUAGGUAGAGCUAUUUAUUUUAUCUUUUUUUUUUUUUUGGCGUGAUCUCGUAGAAUAUAUGACUUGUCUAAGAGUUUAGUUUAGCCUUGGUUUUUUUUUUUUUUUUUUGGGGGUUUCCUUCUAUUUCUCUUCCAUUAUCAUUUUAUUGUGAAAGUGAGGAUUUUGUUGAUGCCUAUGGAGUUUUGGAGUUCUGAAGGAAUAGCAUUUUUCUUCACUUUUGGGAGUUUUUGGUUUUGCGAUUGGGGAGUUUUGGGAAGUAGGGGUUCGCCGGUGUAUUUUUUGAGGAGUCAACGUGGAUUCUAAUCACUAUGACCUGUUUCUGUAUUGGUUUCCCUGAAAUUCUUCAACUUGUGGAUUUUCUACGAGUUUUGUUAAUAUUUGGUACUUUUGAGUGUUUAAAGAAUUUUUGAACUAAAUAUUUGCUUCUUACAUCAUCCGGUUUGCUUUUUAGAUAAUUUGAAUUUGAAAUCCGGGGCUCAAUUAGUGUAACGGGUGGACAGUCUUAACGCUUGAUUUGGAAUGAAAAGAGAAUUUAUGUAAAUGAAUUAAUUUAGUCAACCUGGUCGUUUGUCUUGGAGCUGCUGGGUGAAAUGAUGAAGGAUACAACGUUUUUUUUUUUUUUCCUUUUUCAGAAUUUCUUUAGCUCUUAUUCUCCUCCUUCAACGUGGAAUUUGCAUCAUAAGAUGGUAUAACUCUCUCCAUUUACUUUCUUUUACUAAUUGAAUUAAUUAAAGUGAUUUUCCAUUAGGAAGUGGAUAUGACGAUGCAUUUUGAGUUAUAAUGGUUCCAUCCAAUUAAGUGAUUCUAGUCGGUCUAGCUUUACUUCUUCUUUUUUUUUUUUCUCCAAUAAUCAGGUCUAUCUUUACUACUGAAUCAUUUUUGUGCUCAGCGAGUCUUGUCUGCCUGCUAUAAUUUGCAAACUAGGAAUUCUGAGCAAAUAAAUAGGCCCAGAGAAUGUAACAGUCAUGGAUCCCUUUAAUUUAGGCCUUUUAAGUAGUUUUUUGUCUUUGUAUUACUUGAGACAUCUGAGUGAAGGUGCCAGAUUCCAUAAACAAGGGGCAGCAUGACACGCUGGUCUGUGAAUGAAUGAGUUAUUAAUGUUGCCAUGUUAACCCAUUGCUUAAAUAGUGCCUAACACACAUUGUUGUUUUCUGUGGACAGAGUGCUGGAGCUGACGUGAAUCAAAAAAUGUUUCGAGGCUAUUCCACAACAGCAGCUGCAAGAGAGGGCCAUAUUGAGAUUUUGAAGAUGUUAAUUAGUGGGGGAGCAGCUCAAUCUGCAUGCGAAGAGGCUCUGUUGGAGGCAUGCUACCUGGGGCGGGCCAGAACAGCUGAGCUUCUCAUGGCCUCUGAUAUGGUCCGCCCACAUGUUGCUGUACACGCCCUUGUCACUGCAUCUUUUAGAGGGUUUAAAGACUUUGUGGACACACUUCUCAAGGUACUUGAUGGUAGCAGCCAACCUUUCUUAGUCAUCUGGGGACAUCCUAUUUGAUUGCUUUUUGAUGAUAAGCUGACAGAUCACUGAAGUUAGUGAUUGAUUAUGGUUACAGUUAGUUUCAUAUAGCUAGUAUCUCAUUCGUGAUGCAUUUGCUUAUACUUUGACGAUAUCCAGGCGUGAUGAAUUUGCUUAGUUCAUGUUGCACCGUCCUUGGAAAUAUAGGACGAUAAUGUUGGAACUGGUAGAAUGUUGAAACCACUUGUUCUUCCCUCUUUCACACUCUCAAAUAACAACCUUUUGAAUUGAUGACAGUGUGGUGUGGACUGUAAUGCCACAGCCAGGGUGCUGCUUCAAUCUUCCAAGCCAUCACUUCACGCCAAUUUUGACUGUAACUCUCUGGCUGCUGCCAUUCUUGGUAGGCAAAUUUCUGUUGUUCGGCUGCUGUUACAGGUAAUGAUGUUGCUGCAGUGUCAUAAAGAUACCAUAGUAGGGCUUGUAUGUCUUAUCAAUUGGGUCUUCAACUUCAAGGGUGAACGGUUAUGCUUGCCUGAUGCAUGCAACCCAUAUUAGGCUCAAUUUUUAUGGAUCGCACGUUUUAGGUGCUCACAAGACCUGUUAUUUCACAGCCACAGUGUGGUUAUGUUCUCAAGUGCAGACUCUAUGUUGUAGGUUGGUGCCAGAACAGAUAUCAUGGUCAGGCUGGGAGCUUGGUCAUGGGACGCUGCCACUGGAGAACAGUUCCGAGUAGGUGCUGGUCUGGCUGAGCCUUACCAUGUAACGUGGUGUGCGGUGGAGUUCUUUGAAUCCAGCGGUGCCAUACUGAGGAUGCUCCUCCAGCACCUUUCUCCUAAUAUUCCCCACUUAGGGAGGACAAUCAUCCACCACGCGAUUCUCUGUGGAAAUGCCAGACCAGUUGAGGUGCUUUUAACCUGUGGUGCUGAUGCAGAAUUCCCUGUCAAAACUAAACAAACAGCGCACCGUCCCAUACAUAUGGCAUCAGAACAUGGGUUGGCUGGAGCUCUUCACCACCUUAUUAAUGCCGGCUGUGAUCUGAACUCUCUCACAGAAUCUGGCGAGACUGCACUGAUGAUUAGUGCCAGAUGUAAGCAAGAGGAGUGCCUAAAACUUCUUACUGCAGCUGGUGCAGACUUUGGUUUGUCCAACAUCGCUGGGCAGUGUGCCAAGUCAAUUGCUGGAUCAGUACGGUGGGCAUAUGGCUUCGAGCGAGCAGUUUUAGAUGUUAUUCGAGAUGGGAAGAAUGCUCGAUCUAGCAAUGCUGCAAUUUUUUCUUCCUUAAUAUUUGUUACCCAAGCAAAUGAUAUCGAGGCCUUGAAGAAACUUCUCAAGCAACCGGAGAUAAAUCUCGACGAACAAGAUGAAAAUGGAUUCUCAGCAGUCAUGGUUGUGGCGGCGGGUGGUAAUGUGGAGGCCUUUAGGUUGCUUGUUCAUGCUGGAGCUGAUGUAAAUUUGGCUAACAACUAUGGCGAAACCGCUAUUACUUUGGCUGAAAAACACCAGAACAGUGAUGCAUUUGAAAAAGUAAUGCUGAACUGCAUGCGUGCCAAGGGAGACAACAGCUACGGUGGAUCUUCAACUCUACACCGUGCGGCACAUAAUGGCGACCUCAAUCUGGUGCAAGCUUUGAUAAACGAAGGAUAUGACAUCAAUCUUUCUGAUUGCGAUGGAUACACCCCACUGAUGUUAGCUGCUAGGGCCGGAAACAAGAGCACGUGCGAGCUUUUGAUAUCUCGUGGUGGUAGAUGUGAUAUUAAGAAUGCAAAGCUUGAGACUGCACUCUCACUUGCCAGAGAAAACGGUGGUGGAAAAGAUGCUGAAGCUGUGAUACUGGAUGAACUAGCUCGAACGCUCGUGGUAGGAGGAGCUCGAGUGAAGAAGCACAUAAAGCAAGGCAAAGGAAGUCCCCAUGGCAAGGUACUAAAGAUGGUUGGAGCUACUGGUGAGCUGAGGUGGGGAAAAUCUAGGAAGAGAAAUGUGAUAUGCCGCGGGGCAGAGGUUGGUGCGAGCGCAACGUUCCGGUGGAACAGACGAAAGAAGCUCGAUGCCGAUGAGCCGGGAGUUUUCCGGGUAAAAACCACAAAGAACAAGGAAGUGCAUUUUGUGUGCGAGGGUGGACUUGAAAUGGCAGAGUUGUGGGUAAGGGGAAUUAGGCUUGUGACAAGGGAAGCUAUUUUUGGCAAAUAAAAAACCUCUGGUGAUUCAUAGCUGGGCCUGCACCCGUUCCAAUUUUUGGUUCAUGUACAUAGUAACUACCAUAACAGGAGAGAUGUUGCAUAAAAUCAUCGGGUAGUAGUAGUACCUAGUACCAAUGUUUUGCAAACCGGACCGGAUCGGCCGGUUCGACCGAUUGAACUGCGAACGGCCAUGGCAUCGGUCUGAUUCAAUACCAUAGUUGACUUUGUCAGAAAAUUGGUCAAGAAUCGGUCGAACCGUAAAAAUCGCGAUUGAACCGUUAUUGAACCGAUUUUCAACCUUCCUUUUUUUUUCUCCAAAGUGCAGCUUUUUUUAUUUUUUCUCCAAAAUGCGGCUAUCAAGAUUCGAAUUUAAGACCUUUGUAAUAGAAGAUCAAUGUAUUAAUCGUUGCACCAUCACAUCUUAUUAGUUUUUUUUGAUAAUUUAUUUAUAUAAAGCAAACACUUAUAUUUCUUUUUUCCAUUUUUCUUACAAAAUCUCAUCUUCUCAUGGUUCUUUCUUUUUAAUUUUCAACUCUCUCUCUCUCUCUAUCCUCUUUUUUUUUGUCACUCCCUUUUUAAUCAAACCUCAUUAUUUUUAAUUUAUUGAUGUUUUCUUCCAUUUUUUAAUUUGGUUUUUGUCCAUUAAAUUGAAAAAAAUUAAAAAAGAAUUAUUUUUUUAACCCAAAUUAUUUAAUGCUACAACCACUCACUUUUAUCUCAUUUUUUGUUUCUUAUCAAGUUUACAUUUCUAUUUUCGAUUUUCUUGAUUUCUUUCGAACUCCAAACUUUCAUUUUUAAAUUGCAAUCUCUAAAACAUAAUUAAAAUUUAAGUUCACAAUAUCUAAAUUCUCAAUGACGUGAAUUUUGUAUAAUUUUAAAAUAUUGUGAUAUUUUUGGAUUGGAUUUAGACAUAAUUGAAAUCGAGAUGAAAUUUAUUUGUUUUAACUUAUAAUUUAAAAAAUUUAUUUUUAAAAAAUCCAAGUUAUUAAAAAAUAGUAAACCUUUCAUCAUAUAAAGUAUUAAAUUAAUCCAUUACAUGUCUUAUUUUGUACAUAUAUAUAUUUAUAUAAAUAAUUUUUUAAAAAAUUCAUUGAACCGAUGUUGAAUCGGUCCGACCGAUUGAAUCUCAAUCCUUUCACUUCACCGGUUCAAUUAACGGUCCGAUUUUUAAAACAUUGCCUAGUACGCUGUGCCUGUGCUGUCCAGCUAAUUAAUCCUGCGAAUAGAAAUACGACGUUGAUUUGUUUUUCCUCCUACUUCCUCCCUUUCUUUUCAAUUACUGUAUUAAUUAUUGAAAUUUCCCACUUUCUCCAUCCUGUCCUACUCCUUCCCAUCACAUUUCCGGUCAGAGAAUGCAAGGUGGGUUAUAAUUCCCAUUAUAUUAUUAUGUCAGCUAAUUUCACCUCAAGCGAUAAGGAGAUUUUUUAGACCUUUGCAAUAAUGUUACUGAUAGGUUUAACUCCACUAUUCCGUUUCCCCUGAAAAAAAAAAGGGGGGGGGGGACACAAACUAAAGACGUGACUCUUUAAGUCAUUGAAUGGACCUGAAAUUUCUAUUUUAGUUACUUGCAGAUUGUAAUUUAAGAGAAACUGUAGGAGUAAUUUAUUUGUUUUCUACGUAUAUAUAUUUAUAUUAUUGAAAGGAAAGAGUCCUUUUCGUUUGCACAAAUGAACUUCUACAUGGAAUGGGAAUGUGAUGACACAUUUUGUCCGUCACUUGGUUUAUCGUAAAUCAUUUACGUAAUAAAAAUUUUGUCUCAUCAUGGAUUAUGAAUUCUCAGUGGAUUUUUUUUUUUUUUUUUUGUCGAUACGAUAGACUAUUCUACACUAGGAGUAAAGGAGAAUCUGAAAAAGUCCAAAAGUAAUUCGAAAGAGACUGAACCACCGUUGAACCAAACGAGUGCACUAUGCAUGCGUCUGUUUUUUUUUUCUUUUUUAAACAGAGUCACAUAAUGUAACAAUUGGUGGAGUCAAACUUUAAUGCUUUAAUGCUUUCUCGGUGGAUCCUUCUGCAAUCAAGGUACCCUUCUUUUAUAUAUACUAGCAUGGUUCUGGCCGCGCUAUGCAGCGGCCUACCCACUGGUAUGAACAGCUUAAUCCGUAACAAUGAGGAUAAUUUCCUAAAAUAUCAUCAUGUAUAUAUAAGCUCAAGAGGUAAAUACUAUGCAAAUCACAAUAAUACAUUACAUAAACUCAAUCAUUCAUGUCUUAGUAGAAUAGAUACUUGGAUGCCAGCCACAGUUACAUAUUAGGAGGCUUAAAUAAGCUUUAUUGCCCAAUGAAGUACAGCAUUGAUGGUUAAACAAUUACUAAGUAUAUUACGAUCCUUUACUUUUUAAGUCAAAAGAAUAAUGGAUCAUAAUAUAAUUCAAAAGAUAUUGUCUAAGCAAUGGAGGAAAGGCAAUGAACAAAAGAUUUAACAAAAGUACAGAAAUAGGCCAUAUUAGUCUUCCUUUGCUUUAGCUUUCUUGGUUGGACUGUCUUUGAUAUUUGCAGGUGGACCAUACAGUUUUGCAGGUUCUUUGGCAAACUCUUCAGGAGCCUUUGUUGGAUGUUUAGCAUGUGUGUCUGCUGGUAAAUCUUCUGGAAACUCAAGGCUUCGUUUUGCUCCACUGGUUGCAGAUGUCUGGCUGUCUUUGUAAGAACUGGCUCCAGCAAUUUCUUCAAGUACCAACUUUGUGCUUGGUGUGAACAAUUGAAGCUUAUUUAAGUCAGCAUAUUUAAGUUUGUCUUUUUGUUUCUUUCCAACAUUCUUAGAUCAGGGGAAUCAUCAAACAUUUCAUCUAUCAAUCUAAAACCUGUACUAAAUUUUCUUUUUUUUUUUCAUUUUGAAACACAAAAAAUCAAAAUCUAAUUUUACUAUAAACAAAGCAAAAUGCUAAUCCAAAGGCACACAAAAUGACAGAAUCAAAGCAUCCUAGAAUAGCUAAAACUAAGUAAUAUAUAUAAAAUGACAACCUUAAUAAGCCAAAGGACAAUGAUACUAAAUGAUGUAAUUAUUGAAUAGAUAAGCAGCUAACAGCAUCAUGCAACAUUUGAAAUAAAAAACAGAGGGAAAAGUAAACUAUCAUAGCAUAACAUCAAACACAUCGCAUUUCUUAAUUAAGAGAAAGCAAUAAACAGAGGCAACAACAGUGAAAAAAAAACUUGCAGUUCAAAAUAGAAGGUGAUAAAAUAGAAACAUACCUAUAUUUUCUUUGCUCGCCUGAAUGUUGGCAAAAGUCCAGCAGCAUUUGAAAAUAAUAUAAAAACAGAGAAAAAAAGUAAACGUAAGCUAAUCGAAAAAAUAGCAUCAUAAUUAUUCUUUUAUUUAUAAUAUCAAACACAUGGCAGUCUUUAAUUAACGGAAGGUAAGAACAUGGCAAUAAAUAUAAAUAAUAAAUAAACAGAAGGUAAGAAUAUUCAUCAAACUAAAAAAUUGCAACUUAAUAUGCUGACUGAAAAAUUGACAGAAACUAAAAUUAGUUGCUCAAACUAAAAUUUGCAGCUCAGUCAUCAAACUAAAACUAAAAAAUUGCAGCUCGAAAUAGAAGGAAAGAGAAUAGGAAUUACCUAGAUUUUCUUCGCUCGUCUGCUGAAUACCGGCAAAACUGGGAAACAGAGGUAUAUAUAGAGUUGGAAAUAGUAAGUUCUGAAAGCUAUAGCAUAGAUGAUAAGGCGGUAGAACAGCCAUCCCUAAAAUGAGCUGAUUUUGGGGAAAAAGAGAUUUGAGUGAGCUGUUUUUUAGGGAAAAAGAAGAAUUCACGCGAAUGUGGAUGAUUUUUUGAGAGGUAAUCCAAAGGAAGUACAAUUAGUUGGUGGAAGUACAAUUAGUUGCUCGAGGAAUUGACAGAAAAUUGAAGAUUUUGCAGGCUUCUAGAUUUUGGGGGAAAAAAUUUUACUGACCUAAUUUUUGGGGUAGGACAAAAAUUCACGUGCGUGUGGAGGAUUUUGUGGGUUGCAAUCAAAAGGAAGGACAAUUGGUUGUUGAAGGAAUUGGUAGAAAACUAAAAAUUUUGCAGGUUGAUUCGACGGGAAGAAAGCGGCUAUUUGAGAGAAAGAAAGAGGGUACUCGGCGGGAAAAAAGGGAAAGGGGAAAAGGGGGAAGGAAAUUCUGGUAAAUGAAGAAGAAGGAAGCUCGAUGACUAAUAAGACCAUUAAGCUACUGUUGACUAACUUACAUCAUGAGUCAUCAGUCAUACUAAUCAUGCUAACAGGCAGGAACAUUACUUCUAACGGGUAUGACUGCAUUAAUUUGUAUAAUUAUAUAAUUAAUAAUAUAAUGUAAUUCAAAACAACCCAUGUGAUAAAAAAAUUCACAAAUAGUCUACAAUUAUUGCAUUUGACCAGAAAAUUAUCAAAGAGAUAUUUUCAAAUAUACAAAAAUAACACUAAAUAGUUAGCAACUAUUUAAUGAGUUAGUUUUCAUAAAAAGAUUCAAUUGACCUUUCAAACCAAUUAAAAACCAAUCAAAAGGAACAAAUAAAAAUAAUUAUAUAAUGUAAUUCAAAACAACCCAUGUGAUAAAAAAACCCACAAAUAGUCUACAAUUAUUUGCAUUUGACCAGAAAAUUAUAAAAGAGAUAUUUUCAAUAUACAAAAAUAACACUAAAUAGUUAGCAACUAUUUAAUGAGCUAGUUUUGAUAAAAAGAUUUAAUUGACCUUUCAAAUCAAUUAAAAACCAAUCAGAAGGAACAAAUGAAAAUAAUUAUAUAAUGUAUUAUAUAAUGUAAUUCAAAACAACCCAUGUGAUAAAAAGGUCCACAAAUAGUCUACAAUUAUUUGCAUCUGACCAGAAAAUUAUAAAAGAUAUAUUUUCAAAUAUACAAAAAUAACCCUAAAUAGUUAGCAACUAUUUAAUGAGGUAGUUUUCAUAAAAGGAUUCAAUUGACCUUUCAAACCAAUUAAAAACAAAACAAAAGGAACAAAUAAAAAUAAUUAAACCAUUGUUACCAAUUAGCCCCUAAAUAGUAAGGAACUAUUAAGACCUUUAAUUUCAAGACCAAGGCUCAAAUAGGCCAUUUCUCACUCUUUAAAUUCCAAAAAUCAGAAAACAAACUCCUUCCUAACUCCUUCCUCUAACAAUAUAUUGACACUUGGCAUUCAAGGGAGAACUUGAGUUGUUCUCUUAUCUAGUAGGUAGAUAUAUAAUUUUUUUUAAAAAAAAAGAAAAGAAAAAUUGGAGCAAGCCUGAAUCCUCCUGACGCCAGUCGGUUUGGGUCGUCGGAGCAACCAACCAAACAUUAGUGCUAUACCUACGCUCAAUUGGGUUUCCUGCACUUUGUAUGGGCCUCAAAAUAAUCCAAUUUUUACAUGGGUGCCCACUUCACCUAUUCAACUAAAACCCCCAUAAGAAAUGCCCGAUCUAAUUAGUCUCCACGUACCCGAUCCGAUCGUCACAAGGCCUGCACUUAAUCUCCACCGUCAGAUUUUACCAGAGGCACAUCCUAACCGUCACCGAGCUCUCCACAUCAGUUUUCUUCGCAUUCAACUCUCGACGGAUUUUCACUCAUCAAAUCACCGGUACCUCAAUUUAGAGCACCAAAGCCAGCUCAGAAUCAUCCUUCAUAGUGCAGCUCCGAAGCUCUUAUGGUACGCAUCUCCAUAUCGCCAUUGCUCAAAUGCUUUCGUUUGAACUGAUUCUCUGUUUCUUUUCAAAUGUUGAAUUUGUUGGUAGAUCCAUGAGAAAGGAAAUCUUAGUUUUUUUUUUCUCCUUUGGGUUACUUUGUAAGGAUAAGGAGUUUUAGGGUGUUAAUUUUGAGGAGGACUUACUUAUAUACAGUUGAAAAUUCGAGACUGGGUUUUGUGAUUAGAAUGUCGAAUUUAUCUGUUAAGAUACUGAUAAGCCCUAGGGAUCAAUUUAACAUUUCCGGUUAUUCUAUUAACUUUUGGGUGGAUUUUUUUAAAUUUAAUCGACUUUGGGUACCCCUUUUGGCGAAAUUAGAAAAAGAUUUUUUUUUUCUGUUGAACAAAGGGACAAACUGACCAUCGAGUUCUCAUGGUUUUUGCUUAUUUAUUUUUCUUUUUUCUCUUUAGGAGUUAAUAGCUGUACCUGCUUAGUGGUAUUUUUAGGUAUUCAAGCUUUGCAUCUUAAGUUCUCUCUUUCUCUCUUUUUUUUUUUUGGUUUAAGAAUUUGUUCACGGGUAAAAAAGGUUGGACUUUUGGGUGGAGCGGAAUGCAUGUAAGUGGUUCAUCAAUUGAUGAUCGAUUUUCUUCAGUCGAGGACUGUAAUUGAGUAGACUACCAUUUUGUUCAGUGGGCAUAUUCUUCCUCCCAUUUUGCUUUAGUGUAACCUCAGCAUGUGUGGACAUAGAUUUAAUAAAGACCAACAAAUAAUGCAAUGUCAAGUGGAGAAAGGGAAAGAGAGAAGGAAAAAAAGACCAAAGGCCUGCUGUCAUACAUGGUCAGAAUGAUUGAUAAUAAGAGAAAGAUGUGGAUGUCAGGCAAAUUUUUAACCUGGAUUUUGCUUGUAACUUCUUGCGUAGGCACCCAUAAAGGGCAUCCUUUCUUCACAAAGGAUAUCUUUGGUCAAGCAGUCUGAGCAUUGGGUCCUGGGCAGUAGAUUAUUCAGCACUCAGGCUGCAUCAACUGCUAGCACCCCACAGCCUCCCCCUCCUCCCCCACCUCCUGAGAAAACCCACUUUGGUGGCCUCAAAGAUGAGGAUCGCAUUUUUACAAAUGUAUAUGGUUUGCAUGACCCUUUUCUCAAGGGUGCUAUGAAACGAGGAGACUGGCAUAGAACAAAAGACCUGGUACUCAAGGGUGCUGAUUGGAUUGUCAAUGAAAUGAAGAAAUCUGGUCUUCGUGGGCGUGGUGGUGCUGGGUUUCCCUCUGGUCUUAAAUGGUCCUUCAUGCCAAAGGUGUCUGAUGGUCGUCCCUCCUAUCUUGUUGUCAAUGCUGAUGAGAGUGAACCUGGAACCUGUAAAGAUAGGGAGAUAAUGCGCCAUGAUCCACACAAACUAUUAGAAGGUUGUUUAAUUGCUGGAGUGGGUAUGAGAGCUACUGCUGCCUAUAUUUACAUCAGGGGUGAGUAUGUCAAUGAGCGGAAAAAUCUGGAGAAAGCCAGAAGAGAAGCUUAUGAAGCUGGCUUAUUAGGAAAAAAUGCAUGUGGGUCUGGUUAUGACUUCGAUGUACAUAUCCACUUCGGAGCGGGUGCUUAUAUUUGUGGUGAGGAGACAGCUCUUCUAGAGAGCCUCGAGGGCAAACAAGGAAAACCCAGAUUGAAGCCUCCUUUUCCUGCUAAUGCAGGGCUGUAUGGGUGUCCCAGUACCGUCACAAAUGUGGAAACAGUAGCUGUUUCACCUACCAUUUUGAGGCGGGGCCCCGAGUGGUUCGCUAGUUUUGGUAGGAAAAACAAUUCUGGAACAAAACUUUUUUGCAUCUCAGGGCAUGUGAACAAGCCUUGCACAGUCGAGGAGGAGAUGAGUAUACCAUUAAAGGAGCUUAUAGAGAGGCACUGUGGUGGUGUUCGCGGUGGAUGGGACAAUUUACUUGCUAUUAUCCCAGGAGGUUCAUCUGUCCCAUUGAUACCCAAGCAUAUAUGUGAGGAUGUGCUAAUGGACUUUGAUGCACUUAAAGCUGUACAGUCAGGGUUGGGGACUGCUGCCGUGAUUGUGAUGGAUAAGUCAACGGAUGUUGUGGACGCAAUUGCAAGGCUCUCUUACUUCUACAAGCAUGAGAGUUGUGGCCAGUGCACGCCAUGCAGGGAAGGUACAGGGUGGCUUUGGAUGAUCAUGGAAAGAUUGAAGGUGGGGAAUGCAAAACUGGAAGAGGUUGACAUGCUUCAAGAGGUGACGAAACAGAUUGAAGGGCACACGAUUUGUGCAUUGGGUGAUGCCGCUGCUUGGCCAGUCCAGGGUCUGAUCAGGCACUUCAGACCGGAGCUCGAGAGGAGGAUCAGAGAACGGGCAGAGAGGGAGCUACAACAGGCUGCUGCUGCUUGAUACUUCUGUGCAGGUUGGUUCUGAUUUUCUUUUCCUUCCUUUUCUCUUUUCAGGUUUUUGGGAGGUAUUGGGAUUGAUUACAUUAGUAAGUUUAACUUUUUUUCCUUGUUGAUGUCAUAUUCGGAAGUGAUGCACAAUUGGUUGAGGAUCUCAUUUCUGGUUUUAGGCAACCUUACCAUCAUGUGGGUUCUUUUUGGUUUGGUUUCUUUUGUCUGUUAGGAUCAGUAUAGUAUUAACUAGUUAGAAGACUUGGGGAUUAAUGUGGAGUACUGGUUUAUUCUAGAGUAAGCACAGGUACUCCAGAAAACAAACUAAAGAUCUAAUCUGAUUUUGAGUAGCACCAAGGCAUUGCAUUUUGGUGCACUGCUUCCUCUUGCCUGUUUUUCUAAUUUGACUGGGCUGUCUCUACCUCUUUAUGUUCUUUUUGCUCUGCGUUUAGCUUGCUUUUCUUUUGUACGAGGAAUUGACAGUUUAGUGCAUUCAAUUUCUCUCCGCCUUUUGCGUACAGCUUUUGAUGUGGAAGUCAUUCUUGGUUUUUUAUGUGCAGGUGAGGACUUAUCCUGCUAGGGGGCUAUGUAAUAAACAAUUUGAGACUUUUGAAGAAUACAUGGACAUGCAAGCCAGUCUGCUGUCUGUCCAGCAGAGCAGCAAGUCUAAUUUUUAUGCUUGUAUCAGACUGAAUUGCUCCCUACUUUUAUGUUUUUUUUUUUAAGAGCUUACUGGAUACAAGUUGGGUUCUAAGAUCAUUUUAUCAUGGUUUUGAAGAUUCAGAAACCUGAUAGUAUAUGGUUUUUGUCAAUAAACUAAACAUUAAUGUUUGAAUGUUUUCAGAGACUGUAUUGGUGGGAAAGUUAAAGGAGAGUUGAAGGUUUUGACUCAUAUCAUGAUGAUAUACAUCUUAGUUGUUUUUGUACGUUAACUCUCUUAUGUUGCACUGUUUGCCGAAACAUCUAAUACGGAAACCCGGGAUUCCUUUCGCUGUUUGCGAGAGAAGAGUGAUCUGUUAGGCUGUUUCAUCUGGAAUUCCCAGACUCAGACACCUCUUACUUUCCUAGGGUAUCAGUAAAGUUUUUUGCUGUGUAAUUUUCGUUAUAUAAACUGCGGGAUAACGGAUUUUCCCCUGAGAGUCAUCCAAGUUCCAACUGUGCAAAAGACGAUGUAUUGUGAUUUUUUUAUUAAUUGUUACUCCAGUCCAUGCUGAUUUUCUUUUUUAAUCUGUCCAUUUCCUGAGCAGAGGAGGACUAAAGAGGUAUUCUCUCUUGCCCCAGUGGUAGCUUCUCAGUAUCUCGUGUCUCGCUCACAGAAAAUGGAUCCAACCCUGACUUUCAAGUCAACAUCCGGAUCAGGCAUGUUGACUUCCUCAUGUUGGAGGAGCUAUAAGACAGUGAUCGUGCUUUGUGCCUCAUUUUAGAUUAAUUUUAUGCUUAAGGACGUUAAUUAGAGCCAUUGGUCAAACCUCUCCAAAUUUAUAAAAAAAAUUUGGGAGAGAGAAUAAAAAUAUGUAGUCAUGCAUCGCUAAAAUGUCGGAGUGACUGGCGGCAACGAUGUAUCAGCAGCACUUAUAACAGUACAGUAUGUGAGGAUAUUUUUACUUGGGAUCCUCGGUGACAUGUUUUCUAUGCCAACUCAAUGCCAUCAAUAGUGUUGCGCCAAGUGUCUUGUUAUUAAUUAUAUUUUAAUUUUUUAAUAAUUCAACUUGGCUUGAUUUAACACAAAUAUAAAUAAUAACAAGACACUUGGUGCAAUACUAUUGGUGAUAUUGAAUUGACAUAGAAAACAUGUCACCGAGAUUCCAGGUGGGAUAUUUUUUUGUUUGUUGGUUGACUUACUCUGCACAAACAUGGAAUUAGUUAUUCCGGCCUCAUUUUUUCCUUUUAUAUACCUCUAGAUAAUUCAAUUUAAAAGAUUUUUCCAUAAAAUUAAAAUGGGUAAUUAUCCUUUCUUUUGUACCUUUAUAGAAUUGAAUUUAAAAGAUUUGGGUUCAAAGAAAUACCGGCAUUCGAGAAAACGUUAUGAAUAACCAUUUUUCAUUUCACUCAAAACCACCUCAAAUGCUUAUUGUUUCAACUCAAUGAAAGAUAUAGGAUAAACUAAUUUAUUAAACAAAUUGAAAUUGAUCCAAGAUGGCAUUAUUGUAAUAUACUGCCUACAAAAAAGGAGGAAGAAAGUAGUAAAUGCUUAUUGUUUAGUGUCCAAAUCCAAAAUGCACAAGGCAGAUGUGAUCGUGAUGACCAAUCACCACAUUUAAUUCAAGGGUUAAUAUAACAGUUUUCUAUUUUUUUUUUCUUUUAGCGCCAAAAAAAAAAAGAAAAAGAAAAAAGAGAGAGAGGAAGACAUGCCAUGGACGAAGAAAAGAAAGCUGUAUCAAGAAGGAACAGAAGAAGGCGGGAGGACAGGAAAAGGAGAGAGAAAGAAAGGAUGAAUGAAUCAAAAGAAACAGAUGGAAAGUAAAGUCGGAAACCAAUCCCCGGAAUGUAAAGAAUUCCUUUUACAACGUAACACGUAAAGUGGAAUUUUUUUUUUUUUUUUUUGUUUUAGCAAAGUAAAGUGGAUAUUACUGCUGUACUUUUCUUUUCUCCUCUGAGAUAUAUAUAUUUAUAAUGGGGAAAAAAAAUCAAAGCAAAUCAAAGCAAAAAAAAUCAAGAAGCUCGAGUCACCGUCGGAGAAAGGAGUGGACUUUUAUGCUCGAACUACGCUACGCUCAGCAUAAUUACCCAACUUAAUAGCAAAUUGGCAUUAGCACCUUCUUCUUCUACUACUUUGGGGGGGACUUCUGCAUAUACAAUUUUUUCUUUCAACUUUUUCCUCCAAAUUUUCUCACCUUUGCUCUCCAGAUACAAACAAAAAACUAUCACGAGCUUAAAAAGUUGGAGAAAUUCUGGACUAAACGAACAAUGGAUUACCAUCAUUAACGCAAACAAAGUAAAAUUUACUCGGGCUUCUCAGUCUCCAUAGCCUGUCUACCAAAGGUAAGUGUACCCCUUACUUCCACCCUCUUUUCUUUUAUCGUGCUACUUCAUUUUGGGAUUUAAAAGGGCUGCAUUGUCUGAUUAUUUAUUGAGUUUUGAUGUUUAGGUUUCUGACUGCUGGAAUGGUACUAUUAUGAAUCCCUUAUUUCUUUCUUUCUUGGUGUUUUUUUCCCUGUAACUUGAUAAAAAUCCUGUCUUUAAAUGGUUAUCUGUUCUUACAACAAUUGAGUAAGCUGUAAAUAUAUACAGGAAUAUUAAUCUCAGGAAAUAAGUUCAAUCGAGCUGAAAUGGUUGUAGUUUUUCCCCUGCUUUACUUCUCCUUUGCUCAUUUAUUCAAUUAAACAGAUUACGUUAUGUAUCAUUAAAUGUUGUUUGAUAAAGCGCAUUAACAAGGGAAAAAAAAAUGCUGAACCUUUUAAAUUUUUGUAUUUCGUGGUAAUUCUUUUUUAUUGACUUUUUAAUUGAUUUAUUGCUGCUUGUGGUUAGAACUCUAGCUGAUUACAAGCUUGGCGAAGAGCAUUCAUCUGUGUGAGAUCAUUCAGGUAUGGUGCUCGGUUUGAGGUCAAAGAAAAAAAGGGGUGCUUCGGUUCAAAUUGAUUACCUUAUCAAUGUAGUGGAGAUUAAGCCUUGGCCCCCAUCUCAGUCUUUGAGAUCGGUUCAGUCCGUAUUGCUUCAGUGGCAAAAUGGUGAUCAAAAUUCUGGUUCUUUCCUAACUGUUGCUGGGGAUGCGAACAUUGCGUUCAACGAGUCCUUCACACUUCCUGUAACUUUACAUCCAGAUAAAAAGGCCCGCGAUAGAUUUCAGAAGAAUUACUUGGAGUUCUCAUUGUAUGAGCCUCGUAAAGAAAAAGCCACUAAAGAGCAAUUGUUAGGGACAGCUAUAAUAAAUCUAUCAGAGUUUGGAGUAAUCGAAGACAUUUUGCCCAUUAUUGCUCCACUGAACUUCAAGAAGACUUCCAAAAGCUCACCGCAGCCAGCUCUUUAUUUUCAAGUAGAGCCCCUAGAUAAGGGCAGUUCGAAGUCCUCACCCAACGUGAGAUCCUCCAGAACAUCAUUGGACCAGGAUGGCCAAGAAGCCCAUGCUGAAUUCAAUGGUGACGACUCUGAGAUAGCUUCUUUCACCGAUGAUGAUGUUUCUUCUCAUUCGUCUCAGACAGUUGCCUCUUCUGUGUUUGAUGCUGCAAGGGCUUCACCAUCUCAGAGUGAUAAGGUAGCUGAUUCCACUCACUAAUCUUUGUGAUCUCUGUCUCAUGAUUAUAGCUUUUUCCUUAAUUAGUACCUUGAUUGACAAUCGUUUUGCCUUGGCUGAAUCUUCAUUCUGUAUUGCUCAAACUGGGUGUAUUGUCCCUAUUCUAAAACGGUGACAUAAUUCCUUCUUAAACUGAAUGACAUUCUCUGUGUGUGUGUUUCCCCACACGUGCGUGGAUGUGGUUGUCAGUGCAUGUGAGCACACAUUUUAGCUGACAUUUACAAAUCUACAGAAUGGAUUGGAGGCUGUCAAUGAAAUUACAGGAAUGGAUAAUCAACACUCAAAUGGAAGAUUGCCACCAUCUUCAUCCAUUAGCUUAUCAUUAAAUACAGGACACCCAGUAAACAACCAUACCUCGAAGUCCAAAGUCCCUGGGAGAAGCAAGACAUCAUUGCAGAAGAAUUCGUAUAACCCCUCAAUUGAAUCUUCUUCCUCAUUUGAUGGCUAUUACAAUAUGUAUGGGGGAUCUAGCAACUACAUAGAGUGCCUUGAGCAGGAAACUGUGACCCAUGGUGUUAGCAAAGAGGGAAAGAAUGAAGGAAACAAUCCAGAAUAUAAAAAUGAGCCAGUUGAUAGAUUAACUCAGCCCAUACAUGAUGAAAAUGACAUUGAAAAACAUGCUCCCAUUUUUAAGGGCAUGGAUGUUGCUCAGUUGGAAGUGAAUGGGGAGAAGCAAGAAAAAAAUUUUGGACAGGAUGAACAGUUCCCAACUGAAAAGAGAUUGUUUUCAGACUACAAGUCAGUCGAUAAAUUACCACAUAAUGGUUUCAGAAGGCUAGGUACAAUUGGGGGUGUUACCUCCACUAGGGAAGCACUUGGGGUUCAGAUUUCAAAUGGUCGACUAAAGCGUGUCAAGUCACAGUUAUACUACUCAGCUGGAAGAAGUGAAUAUUUUGGAAAAAGCCACGACACAGAAAGGGCAACAAAUGUACACAAGCCUAAGAAUGCUGAUAAUAGUGCUAAAACUAUUCAAGAAACAGAGAACAAAGAAUCUGUAGAUGGAAGUUCCAAUGCUUAUGGUCAAAGUGUUGCAGAAAAUCAAAUGAAAGUGCUGAGAAAUGAAUCUCAUGAUUAUGGAGCUGAAUCAUAUUCCAGAAUUCAGAUGCUGGAGGAAGAGUUACGGGAAGCUGCAACUCUCGAGAUUGGCCUUUACUCUGUGGUUGCUGAGCAUGGGAGUUCUGUUAGCAAGGUUCAUGCCCCGGCUCGCCGCCUUUCUAGAUUCUAUCUUCAUGCAUGCAAAGAAAAAUCCCGAGCUAAACAGGCAAGUGCUGCAAGAGCAGCUAUCUCAGGUUUAGUUUUGGUCUCCAAAGCUUGCGGAAACGAUGUUCCAAGGUACAUAUUAGUCCCAUAGCUAUUUUGUAUCAGUGAAGCACAUUACUUUAGUCAGUAUUGAAAAAUAGGAAAGCCAGGACUUGGUGAAUGGAAGCAUCAGUAAAAUAGGAAAGGAAAAAAGAACAAAAAAAUGCUGGUGACUAGGAAGAAAAGGUGCACUUUUCUAAGGUUAUUGUUACAAGGAAUUGUAGAACUUUUAAUUUGAGUACUGCUUCAGAAAAUUUAUAUGUGUCAAAGGCAAUUGCAUAUUAAAACUCACACUGGUACAUCUGUACCUCCUAUGCAGGCUGACUUUCUGGUUGUCGAAUGCAAUCAUGUUGAGAGUUAUUGUCAUCCAAACUGCUGCAGAAAUAUCAAAUUUAGAGGCGAAGCAUGCAGGAAAAAGUGAUCGCUCUGUCUCUCACUUGGAUUCAUGCUUCCCAAAGAGACAAGAUAGCUUCUCCUAUGUUGAGGAAAGAAAUAGCGAUUCAGUUGAAGAAUCUGAUGACUGGGAGGACAUAGAAACAUUUAUUUUUGCAUUGGAGAAGGCUGAAUCUUGGGUUUUUUCUCGAAUUGUUGAGUCUAUCUGGUGGCAGGUUAGAUUCCUAAUUUUUUCUUGCGCUGCAUUUAAUCUUGUUUUUAAUCAAUCAAAACUGUCUUCUAAAUCAGCAGUGUGCUUAUUUUGCCCAUGCAGACUAUAACUCCACACAUGCAGCCGACAGUUGCAAAAACAGGUGGUAGAACUAGGGGCUUAGGUACAAAGAAGAAUAAUGCAAGUGGAUAUGGUUUGGGUGAUCAAGUGCAGGGUAACUUCUCUAUAGAACUUUGGAAGAAGGCUUUCAAAGAUGCCUGUGAAAGGCUUUGCCCAAUUCGGGCAGGAGGACAUGAAUGUGGCUGUUUGCCUGUCAUGCCAAGAUUGGUACGCUUUUACAUUGGAAUAUAGCAAUUAAUGUGCAUUCAAUAGUCACUGACAACUCCUGCUGGAGACAAAUAUUUCUAGUUUUAGUUGAUCUACCUGUCAUGGCAUGUAAACAUACUUUUAAGUGUGUUGGUUACGGAGUAUUAUGAUUCAAUACAGAUCAUCAAAUAAAUAGAGAAGUGGGUUGUCAGUAAUAUACGUGAUCAUAUAGAGUUAUAUUAAUGUCUUCCAGCACUCUACGAUUAGUACCAUGCAUUCUCUGAGUACUGCAUUUUCAUUGCUUGAUUUACUGGAAAUAUUUUAUCCUGGAAUACGUGGAUGGUUUUACUAGGAUAUGGUUGUAAUUGACCAGAUCAUCAUUUUAAUGUUUAUUCUGUGUAUUCUAGGUAAUGGAGCAGUUAGUGAGUCGAUUGGAUGUGGCAAUGUUCAAUGCUAUCCUUCGUGAAUCAGCGGAAGAAAUGCCUUCAGAUCCUGUGUCUGACCCCAUUAGUGAUUCUAGGGUUCUCCCAAUUCCAGCUGGAAAAUUGAGUUUUGGAGCGGGUGUACAACUGAAAAAUGCUGUUAGUAGUGAAGCAGCUCUUCAAAAGUUUUACCUAAAACUUCUGUGCAAGAUGUUUGCAUUACUUAAUGCUUAUUUUUGCAAUAUUUUCUUCUUUUGCGCAGCAUUUUGACUUUCAAGUGAAAAUGAUGGGCGACUUUGCUUCCUUUCAAAAUUCCAACUCUGAACAUUAGAUGUGCAACAAAAGAAUCUGAUUAGCAAUGAUUCAUCGAAUCUAAGAACAGAGCCUCUUUUUCUAACAUGUAGCUUCUAGAAUUAUCUGCCAACCACUUUAAGUCGAAGUUUCAAUCAAAUGAAGUAUUUGUUUUAGAUGUUAAUUAAAUCUGUUAUUUUGUUAGUUCUGUUGGAGCGUGCUUGAAGAACACUGCUUUGUAGUUGGCCUAUAUAAUAUCAAUUGUUUUAGUCAUUAGUUGGGAUAGCAGGAUUCUUUAUGUUAUUUAUUAUUAUUUUUUUUGGGCUGGUGUUUGUAGAUUGGUAACUGGUCUAGGUGGCUCUCAGAUCUCUUUGGCAUUGAAGAUAGUGAAUCACUUGACGACAGUGAUACUGCUGGUGAUGACAAGGGAUCUGAAUCCUUCAAGGCUUUUCGUUUCCUCAAUGCUUUGAGUGAUCUCAUGAUGCUUCCUUUGGAGAUGCUUAUGGAUAUACCAACAAGAAAAGAGGUGAAUGGCUGCUACAGCAAAUUGGUUUGAAAAAUUCUAGUUUCCACGUGGCUUUAUUCAAUUUUCCAGAUUUUGCUUCUUUUAGGUUUGCCCACUACUUGGUCCAACAAUGAUCAAGAAGGUGCUUAGUAAUUUUGUUCCAGAUGAGUUCUGCCCAAACCCAAUUCCACAAAGUGUUAUUCAUGCACUGGAUCAUGAGGUUGGUUAUCAAUUUUAGCAGUCAUUUGGAAAUUAUGUGCCAUCUCUUCUCUUGACAGCUGGUUGAAUAAUGCAGAGCUAGUUCAAGAUGGAUUUAAAAUCCUAGAAAGAGUUAAUAGAAUAGUAUCAUGCAUGGGGUACCGGCUUUAUUUUGCUGAUAUAUUUGCAUGUUGAUCCAGGAUGCUUCGGGUGUUUCUACAGAAUCAAUCACAAGUCACCCAUGCACUGCCCCUCCUACAAUCUAUUCACCUCCUCCGGCACCUUCACUGCUACGUUCUAUUAAAGAGGUUGGAAACAAUAAUAUACAAAGAAGCGGGUCAUCAUUACUCAAAAAAUCGUACACAAGUGAUGAUGAGCUUGAUGAACUUGACACACGCUUGACUAGUAUAAUUGCCGAUAGCUUCCAGAGUUCUGCUGCAAGAAAACUCAACUGGAUACCCAGAGGAAACGGCAAAGGAAAGGUCUCCAGGUAUCAGCUACUUCGAGAGUUAUGGAAAGGUUAUGAAGAGUAAAACCACUUGUAAUUUGUAAAGCAUUAUGUAUAUAUAGAGAGAGACACAGAGCGACGAAUUCCGUUGAACUGUGGAGAUGAAACCUGCAGUGACAGGACUCUUGUGCAUUCCUUUUCAUUCAAGUUUGUUUGUAUUUAUUUGGCCCUUUAAGGCAUGCCAAACAGUUUUCUAGAAAUGUUUAUUCAUUAAGGAUCUCUAUGUAAUUAACCGAGGAAGGGCUUCCCUUUCCAAGGAUCUUCACUCGACUCUGAAACGAGCAGUCCAAGUGCGACAGAGACAUCCAAUGGGGUUCCAUGCAUGCUUCCUGAGACAUCACAAAUAGCAAGGGCAUUUUUCAACUUCCCAAUUGUACAAAGAUCACCAACAAUUCUCUUCCAUUGCAACUCCGAAACUUGGUUAUCGUCGCCAUAUUUUAAAGAUUUAAUGAUUUCAUGAGGAAGAAAAGCACCAGCGGCAAUCUUUUGCUUUCCACUCUUGACGCUAUCAAGAUACUCUCCGAACCGUUCCUCGUCAUGUUUAAGGAACAACUCUUCGUAAUUCUGCAUUGCAAUUGAGGGAACUCUGCCCUAAGGAAGCUCAUUCCAUCUGUCGGCUAAAUCUCAGGCAGCUUGAGAGCCUUGCAGAGUGGUACAAGGACUUCCUUUCGUAAUCGAUCCCGAACUCUAUAUGCAGAAUGAGCAUCUUCAAUUCCGUCAUAUUCAGGCAAGUCUGGAGGAAAUAUUCUCCUUGAGCGUGGACCGAUCACAUUCAGCAUAGAGAGAGGGACGCCAUUUUGCUGCAAAGCUUAUAUUCCUGAGCUUUCCCAUCUUCACAUUCUCCAUAUCAUUCUUCAAGGCCUCAGCAAAAAGAUGUGCGACCUGAUUGUGUAAGAACCUGAAAACUGGAUCGCUGUUGUACCUCUCUACACACUUCUUGCCUGAAGCAAUCCUCUGUUCCUCGGUUGCGAUUCUGGGCAGCAGCAUUAAUUUCUUGCACCAUUCUUCUCCGCCGUACAGCUUCCUUUUUGCUAUCUCCCUCUUACCUUUUCCUGGAGGUCAGGACCUUUGAGGAGUCUAUGCAGAAUCUCUGGCAAAUCCUUGAAGUACCCGAAUUAUGCUAUUGCGGGAGCAUUGCAAGCCAAAGUCUUGGGAUGUUUCUGAUGAAGCCACAGAGCUGAUGAAUAAAACCCCUCCCUAUCACAUUUCCCUGAUAUGUCAUACAGCCACAGAGCUGAUGAAUAAAGUCGUGGGAUGCAUGUUUUGACGAGGAUCUGAUAUAAUCAUAUAGCCUAUACGGCUAUAUACGCUCCAUAACCUUAAAAAAAAAAAAAAGAACAGAGAGAGCUCUACAUAUCAUAUGCCUUCUGUUCAAGUUUUAAUGUUGAAGCAACCUUUGAUUUCUACCGGAUUAAUGGGACCAAUAGAAGUCGUUCGCUGUACACAAGAUACAGGAUCUGAAGGGCCUAUACAGCGGUUUACGUGGAAAAAGUAAAAGCAACCAUUUUUCUUGUAACAAAACAACACGUAAAGUCAACAGAGUUCACAAUUCAGUACUUCGAGCAUAUAUGAAUUAGUACUUCCAUAGAAGCGAUAUUCGAUCAUACUAAGGUUGUGUUUGGAUUGCAUUUUUCAUGAAAAAAUUACUGUAACGAUUCGAUGUAUGUGAGGAAAAAAGGUAACAGGGAAAUGUGAUCACGGAAAAUGACGUAAUUUUUUGACGGAAAACAGCAAUCCAAACAAGGCCUAGUGAAGAAAGGCGCAACGGUCGAUUGUUCUUCUGGGAAGUUACUUUGCUCCAGAACCUACUACUGGCAACCCUAACACAAUAAUAGAUGGCUGGAUUCAUUAUUGUCACUGUCUUGAAAUGCGUCGGUAUUAUGUUGAGGGUGUUGGAUAAAUAGCUACAACAAUGUUAACACUAUCUGCUUGAGUCGUGCGUAGCACUGUCCUAAGAAACUAUUUCAUGAAAUUGAAAUGUUUCCCCAGGAUUAAACAAGCCUUCUUCUAAUUGUUGCUAACAAGAAAAACAAGAUUUCUUCUUAUUGCAAACUAGAAGGACCAGAACUAGCAAAUUAAAACCAGCAGAUAUAUAUAAAAGACAAGAAGAUGAGAACAGAAUUAUCAAUAGGAUAUCAACUAACAAAAAAUAAAAGAGAGAAAGAGAGAGAGAGAGAGAGCAGCUAUCAAAAGAUAUCAACUGAAGCUGUUGGGGUAAUUUUCUGAGGGAGAAGUGGAUCCUAUUUAUAGACUUCAGAGUGAGGUGCAACCCUUCUCACUUCCGAUGUGGGACAAAGACUGCAACCCUUCUCACUUGACAAUGUGGGACAGAGAAAUAAUACUUCUCAUUUUUCCGAUGUGGGACAAAGAAUAUUUUUGAAAUACUAUAUAUUUUACAACAAUCUCCCACCUAUUUCAAAAAAAAUUCUUUGGAUAAAGGAAGAAUUUUAAAAGUACUCUGCUGGAUUUGGUUGAAAUGUAAUUAGAUUGGUGUCUUUUGGACUAUAAACCAAACAUAGAUUGAUAAAACAUGAUCUACAGAAUUAUUGGUGAAAUAUAAAUUUCUAUGAACCAAUAACUCUUGAUGUAUGACAGAGAUUUUAUCAAUCACAUUACAACCCAUAAUUUGCUGUUAACGCGAUUUUGCGCUUUUUUUGGCCGUGCGCCUGCCUGGUUAUUCAUGAGAGCUCUAAAGAUUUGACCAAUGAAUCUUAUAGGAGCGACCCCACUACACUCUCAUAUAGGUGAAUUCAUCAAGUGUGUAUUGCUUUAACUACACCUCCCUAAUAGGAUAUGAAUUCAUUAAGAGUUUUAACUCAUCCUCACAAUUACUCAAAGCACUUAUCUCUGGAGGGACUUAAAUUGAAGUGCUUUACCAUCAAUAUUGACUUGUUAUUACCCAUAUGAACCUACUUCAUGGGAUCACCAAUCACAUAGGUUGGGUUACCGUCUCUAUUGACAACUUGUUGGUCGAAGUCCCAUUUCUUUUGUAGUUUGAAGAAUCAAUUUUCUUCCUACGGGUUUAGUCAAAGGAUCGGCCAAAUUCAACUCUGACUUUACAUAAUCAAUGGAAAUAAUUCCAUCUCUAAGCAGCUGCUUUACGACAUCAUGUCUCAAUCUCAUGUGUCGACUUUUACAAUUAUACGAUUUAUUUUUAGCUAUGGCAAUCGCUGCUUGACAGUCACAAUGUAUGGACACAGGAGGCAACAAAUCCUUAGUUGAAGGAAUAUUAGCUAAGAAAUUUCUCAACCACUCGGCCUCAGUCCCUGUCAGUUCCAGAGCUACAAACUCUGACUCCAUUGUUGAUCUAGCAAUGAUUGUCUGUCUAGCAGAUUUCCAUGCUAUUGCACCACCACCAAGGGUGUACACAUAACCACUAGUGGAUUUCGUAUCAUUUGAAUCAGAGAUCCAAUUAGCAUCACUGUAACCUUCUAAUACAGUGGGAAAUCCACUAUACAGGAUACCAAAAUUCAUGGUACCUCUCAAAUAUUUCAUUAGUCUGACUAAUGCAAACCAAUGCUCACGGUUGGGAUUAUGAGUAUAUCUACUCAGUCGACAUACAGCAUAAGCUAUAUCAGGUCUAGUAAAAUUCAUCAGAUGCAUCAGACUCCCAAUAAUCUGAGCAUAUUUAGACUGAGCAAUUGGGCCACCAUUAUUUUUCUUUAAUUGAGUGUUAGCAUCAUAAGGAGUACUCACAGGUGUCACAUCAUAAUUUUCAAACUUCCUAAGAAGUCUUUCUGUAUAAUGUUCUUGUGACAACAUUAUACCAUCACCUUUCCUUAUGAUUUUAACACCCAAUAUUAUUUUGGCUUCACCCAAAUCUUUCAUAUCAAAAUUAGAAGACAAAAAAUAUUUAGUACUAUUUACAAUAUCUAGACUAGUACCAAAUAUAAGCAUGUCAUCCACAUAUAAACUGAUUAUCACAUAUUGAUCAUUUAUAUUUUUGACAUAUACACAUUUAUCCACUUCUACAGACGAAAAUCCAUCUUUCAUCCAUACUUGAUCAAAUUUCUCAUGCCACUGUUUAGGAGCUUGUUUUAGGCCAUAAAGAGAUUUAAUUAGUUUACAAACCUUAUUUUCUUGUCCAGAUACAAUACAUCCCUCAGGUUGAAACAUAUAAAUUUCUUCUUCUAAGUCACCAUUUAAAAAGGCUGUUUUGACAUCCAUUUGAUGAAUAACAAGUUUAUGGAUAGAAGCUAAAGCAAAUAAAACUCGAAUAGACGCAAUUCUAGUUACUGGUGCAAAUGUAUCAAAAUAGUCAAUAUUUUGUUUUUGAGAAAAUCCUUUUGCUACUAAACGAGCUUUGUACUUUUCUAUAGAGCCAUCAGAGUUAUAUUUUCUUUUAAAAAUCCAUUUGCAACCAAUAGGUUUUGCACCAGGAGGUAAGUCUACCAAAAUCCAAGUUUUAUUUGACAAGAUAGAAUCAAUUUCAGAUUUAAUUGCUUCUUUCCAAAAUUUACACUCAGGAGAAGAAAUAGCAUCGGAGUAUGUUAAAGGAUCAUUAUCAACAAGAAAGGUUUGGAAAUCUUUUCCAAAUGAAAAUUCUUUUCUUGGCCUUUUGCUCCUUCUUAAUUCCUCAAUUGGAAUAAUUUCCUUAUUUAUUUCAACAGGUGCAUGAGAAAUUUUACUAGACAGUGGAAAAAUAUGUUCAAAAAAUUCUGCAUUCUUUGUCUCAAUAAUUGUAUUACAAUCAAGUAUAUCACUUCUUAACACAAGAAAUCUAUAUGCAGCACUAUGUUCAGCAUAUCCAAUAAACAUACAAUCAGAAGUUUUAGAACCUAUUUUCCUUUUCUUAGGUUCAGGCAACAAGACUUUAGCAAGACACCCCCAAACUUUUAAAUAUUUCAAAUUUGGUUUAUAAUUUUUCCAUAACUCAUAAGGUGUUUUGCCAGUCUUUUUAUGUGGGAUUCUAUUUUGUAAGUGACAUGCAGAUAAUAUAGCUUCUCCCCAUAAAUUAUCUGGAGCAUGAGAACUAAUUAACAUAGAGUUCAUCAUUUCUUUUAACGUUCUAUUUUUCCUUUCAGCUACUCCAUUAGAUUCUGGUGAAUAAGGUGGAGUUAUUUCAUGUAUUAUGCCUUCCUGUUCACAAAGGUUAUCUAAAGUUAAAUAUUCUCCACCCCUAUCUGAUCUAAUUCUUUUUAUCCUUUUAUUAAGUUGAUUUUCUACUUCAGACUUAUAGGAUAAAAAGGCAUUAUAAGUAUCAUCUUUAUUUCUAAGUAAAUAAACUUUGGUAUAUCUAGAAUAGUCAUCUAUAAAGGUGACAUAAUACCUUUUCCCACCUCUAGUCAUUGUUUGUUUUAAAUCACCUAAAUCAGUAUGAAUUAAAUUUAAUAACUCAGUUUCUCUAUGGACAGUUAUACAACUUUUCUUUGUUAUUUUAGCUUCUGCACAUAUUUCACAUUUGUCCAUAUUAUCAUUAAUACCAGAAAUUAGGCCACAUGAUUGCAUUUUCUUUAUAUAACCAAUAUUAACAUGUCCUAAUCUAGCAUGCCAUAAAGAAAUGGAAUCAACAAUAUAAGCAGAAGAAGAUGCAUUUUCAUUGAUCACAUUGGAAAUAUUAAGUACAAAAAGUCCCUGAUUACAAUAGCCUUUCCCAACAAACACAUUAUUUCUUGUCAUUAUAAUCUUAUCAGAUUCGAAUGACACUUUCACCCCAACUUUUCCAAGCAAAGCCACAGAAACAAGAUUUGCCCGAAUAUUUGGAACAUGCAGCACAUCAUUAAGAGCCAAAGUAUUUCCUGAAGUGAGUUUCAAUAGUACUUUGCCCUUACCCAGAACUUUAGCAGUUCGUGAGUCUGCAAGGUAGACUACUUUUUCAUCAUCCCCUAUUGAAGUAUAGGAGGAAAACGCUUCUCGAUUUGCACAUAUGUGCCGAGUAGCCCCAGAGUCUACCACCCAUUCUUUAACAUUAGCUGCAAUGUUCACUUGAGAGAUGACUGCAGCAAUUAUUUCAUCUCCUUCGGUUAAAUUAACCUUAGGAGGAUUACCAUUUGCUUUGUCACCUUUAUUGUAUCUAUACAGGGCAGCAUAAUGUUCUGAUUUUCUACAAUAAUGGCAAUUGCCUUUCUUUUUCUUAAAGUUGGGAAUAUUAGGCUUGUAAUUGGGAUUUUUUGGUCUAUUAUACUGGGACUUAUUGGCUUGCACAUAGCUACAAUACACAUCAAAUAAUUCAUUUAAAAGUGUUUGUAAAAUAGUAUUUCGACAUACCUUAUUGGCAUAUUUCCACGACUCUUGUAUCUUGACAUCUAUGGUGGCAGCAGGUUGAGAUUCCGUCAGUGCAUAGGCCACUCCAUGUAUGUCGAGUAGAGAGUAGACACGUUCUUGCCACCUUUUGAAGUUUUCGUCAACAAAAACCUCAAUUCUAGAGACGUCAGGAAAUGGCUUCGCAAAAGGUAGUGUCACUGCAACAGUUGCUGAUGAAGACUGUGGGGUGCUAACAUUGUCAGAUGCCAUAGUUUCUUAGAUUGUUGGAUAAAUGGCUACAACAAUGUUAACACUAUCUGCUUGAGUCGUGCGUAGCACUGUCCUAAGAAACUAUUUCAUGAAAUUGAAAUGUUUCCCCAGGAUUAAACAAGUCUUCUUCUAUUUAUUGCGAACAAGAAAGACAACCUUUCUUCUUGUUGCAAACUAGAAGGACCAGAACUAGCAAAUUAAAACCAGCAGAUAUAUAUAUAAAAAGAAGAUGAGAACAGAAUUAUCAGGAAGGAUAUCAACUAACAAAAAAUAAAAGAGAGAGAGAGAGAGAGAGAGAGCAGCUAUCAAAAGAUAUCAACUGAAGCUGCUGGGGUGAUUUUCUGAGGGAGAAUGGAUCCUAUUUAUAGACUUCAGAGUGAGGUGCAACCCUUCUCACUUCCGAUGUGGGACAAAGACUGCAACCCUUCUCACUUCUCAAUGUGGGACAGAGAAAAUAAUACUUCUCAUUUUUCCGAUGUGGGACAAAGAAUAUUUUUGAAAUACUAUAUAUUUUACAACAGAGGGUGUUAAGAAGGGUUUAUCCUUUCAAAUCAUUCCUUGAUCCGCAAGUUAUCCGUCUUGCAAAAUUACAUACACGUCCUUGAUCACUCAUGAUUUGCUUUGCUGUAAGGGUCAGUCUUGCCAGCAAUUUAAAUUGGAGGGUUUAAAAAGACUUUUUCCAUUCUCAUCUUCACGAGACAAUUAUUCAAGCUAUUGUCCUGCCAACUCCCAAGAACUUGAUCAGCAAGGAAGGUGGAUUUUGAGCCAAUGCAAGUUAGUUUGUUCCACGCGCAAGGCCAUUACAUGAUAACGAAGAAAUUGAGCUUGACUCAACAAAAAAUGCCAUGCACUCGAACCUCCUUUCAGUUUUCACUUCCAUUCAUUCAAAUCUGAUUAAAUUGAAGGAAUAUCAUCCAGUAAACACUGCACAAACGGUUUCUUCAGUUAAACACUUCCAUUCAUUCAGAUUUGAUUAAAUUGAAGGAACAUCACCCAGUAAACACAGCACGAUCACUGGCUAACUGCAGGCUGCAGCUUAGUCCUGCCAUACUACAAGCCAAACAGAAUUUACUUCCGCAUGACUAGUUACUGUCAAUCAUCGAGCAUCUCACCAUCUGUUUUUCCUGCCAAAAAGAGAAGAGGCAAAAUGGUGAGAGCCAAGUAGAGCAACUCCGGAUUACUUUCUUAGCUGUCUAUACAAAACAUGAUCAAGUUCCUCACAAAACCUACGAGUCACGAUGUAUGGAAUGGAUGGUUAAUACAGUAGGCCCUUGAUGAAAAGGCACAACUUUAAUUUAACUUUCAAUAAACUACUACAAAAUACCAAAUUCCAUCCAUGUUGAGGCGCUCAAAAUAUAUCAGCCCUUAAGACAUAGCCUGCCAACUAUCAUACAAUUAAGGUGCAAAAAGCUUACAUGCACACUUAUUUUAUUUUAAUAUCCUAAUUGCUAACCACAUAUGAUUUUCCAUUGUAACUGCUACUUUACUUCUCAGGCUUUUCUUAGAAAAAUGGCUCGGCAUAGCUUAGAUAUGAGAUGAACCGCGUUUUAGCAACUGAGUGUGGUAAGUAUGAUGAAAUUGGAGUGCAACCAACAAAUGAAACUGCUACAAUAAUUUUGAUUGACAAAUCAUGAAUGCCAAAUUUACCAAUUGGAAUAGGAAAUCAUUAGCAUUUGGUGGCUGUUGACGAGGCAUAAAAACACAUUACCAUGCGAUGCACCUUAACAAGAAAAAACAAGUAAUAUAAGCUAGAAAUUCUACCUUUUUAACUGUAGGCCUCCAAACUGGUUCUUUAAUGUGUCAUAAUGCCCAUAACCAUGAUAUAGAACACGCACUGGAUUUUCCUUUCCAUAUUCUUGACCAUACUCGGCUAUUACUUUGAGGGAAUUUGUCUUCUUAUCCAACAUAUGCACUGUGAUAGGAACCCUGAAUCAAAAAUUUAGAUUAGCUUCUCAGGUAUCAAUACCAUGAGCACUACCAACCUUCAACUGGAUAGGCACGUUACAAUGUUUGAAUUCUUUCAUUUAUAGCGUGGGCAUGGAUAGGUUAAAUCAGAGAAAUACGGUAGACCUACUGUAAAACAUGGGAAGACAUUAGUAGCUCAGGCUCUCCUCCCCAACUAUGGGGCCGCCUCAUUUUCAUAACAUACGUGUCAAAAUCACCUUCAACAAACCUGAAAAGCAACAAAUUUCCCUUGAGAACAAACUUUGUUUUUGUACUUGAAAACAUGCUUGAGCUGUGAUAGAUAACAUUAGACCUACUGUAAAACAUGGGAAGACAUUAGUAGCUCAGGCUCUCCUCCCCAACUAUGGGGCAGCCUCAUUUGCAUAACAUACGUGUCAAAAUCACCUUCAACAAACCUGAAAAGCAACAAAUUUCCCUUGAGAACAAACUUUGUUUUUGUACUUGAAAACAUGCUUGAGGUGUGAUAGAUAACACUUCUCAGGACAUCCCGGAUGUGUUCGAGGAUAACAGAGCUCUGGUCAUACUGAGACCCAAGUUGUGCAAGAAUGAAUUGAAAGACAAAUUUUCAAAGGUCCAGGUUAGCACGAACCCCAAAGGUCAAGGUUUGGAAGAAAAAGAAAUGUAUGGACUUGCUAUGGCCUUGAUCAAUACAGCCAGUACUGCCAGAAUGACUCGAAAGAAAAAUCAAACUUCAAACGUGAAGCUGGAUGUUGAACUGAUUAACAUGAUUUCAAAAAGGUCAAUUGUUCAGAAGAUAUGCAUGGACUUGCCACGGACUUCGUCAAAGUGUAGUAAACCAAGCAAAAGAGCAGUAUCCCAAAGGCAUAUACGCAAGUCUUACCACUCUGUAUCUGCUCGUCUUUUGAUAAGUUCAUCUGUCACCUGUAAAAACAGAGUUGCAUAUGUUGGUCAAAAGAACUCAUGAUAACCAAAAGUUUAGUCGGAUCGUUACUAAGUUUUGGUUCUUCUGCAAUACAGAGCUGUUAGCUGGAAGGACACCAUAGGCAGACAGAACUUUUACUUUGAGGGAGCAAAGUAUUGAUCAUGGACAUAACAGAGUGCGACAGAAAUUGUUUGAAAAACUUAUUAGUCAAGGAAAACCUGUGUUUUUGAAAGGAAACUUGUAGAAACUCUUGGAAUGGUCAACCUCGUCAGAUGUUCAAUCGCCUUAACAUUCUCUAUAAUUUAGUUACUCGUGUCACUUAGAACACAGCGAAAAGAAAAAGUAUCAUUGUGCCACAAGUCAACUGUGAAUUAAGUAGUGAUAGACGAAAUGUGGGGUUAACAUUUAAUUCAAACUGGAGCAAAAAAGAAAUGCUGUACAGGUAUUAAGUCGAAUCCCAGCUAGACAAGUAGUAUUAAGUUGAUCCUAAAGCACCAGAGUCCAAGAAUUAGGAAGAGCAGAAGAAAGCUAAUGAUUUACUUUGGCUCUGAGCUCAUCAGCCAGCUCUCUCUCAUCGGCUUCACUUGGAGAUGGCUUUCCUAAUCUCAAACAAUCACCAUGGACCACAGACCUGAACAAGCAUCUCCCAUCUCCAGGUAUCCCUGCAGCAAAGUGGUGCAAAAAGACCAUUUGCCGUGGUUGACAUUAUUAGGGCAGCUUAUGUAACAACAACAUCAAAGCAUAUUGUUGAUCCAAAAUAACAGGACUGCAAGCAAAGACUAUAUUUGCCGUAACGUUUCAAACUGCAUACCAUAUCAUUCAUCAUGCAGGAUGAACGUAACGUUAUUGUAAUGUUUUACAAUUCUAACAUAAUAGGAACGUAAAAAUAUAUGUGAGGAAGAAAUGGAUGAAAACGCAAAGUACUUGUUGCUCAUGAAGAUGAUAUCCCACUUAUUCAAAAGCAAAAAUAGAAUAACCGAAAAAAAAAAAAAAAAAGUGUGACAGCACUCGCACACCUAAACCAAAAGCCAUUACGAUUACCAGAUUUUAUUCGCUCCUCAAACAUCAUAAAGAUGGACCAGCAAAUGAUCUAGUCACUGUAUUUCCCGUUUUCUCUUUUUGAUAACUUGAAUUUUUUUUUAAAACAAAUAAAUAAAUAUAUAGCAACACAACUCAAUUAAGCAAAAGAAAAAUGCUGCAAUGCAAGAAAAGAAUCAUAAAGCCAAGCCAAUGAGUUGAAGCCAAGCAUCCAUGCCAGAGUUAUUAUGACGUAAGAAAUGGUAAAUGCCACAUAAAAAUUUUUUCAAAAAAAAAAAACAGAGAGAGAGAGAGGAACAAAUAAAUAACAAUAAGCAGCAGAUACGAAUGGUGCGGAAGUGGUUACCAAACUUCCAAUCUCGUUUCGGCAUGAGAUCAAAGAUGUUUCCAACUCUUUCUUUUUUUUGGCAAUUUAAAUGGAGUACUGUACGUAGUUCAUGUUUUUAUGGAAUUUACCUUUUUGUAAAUUCGAAAAUACAUUAUUCUGAUUCUGUAGCAGCGAGACGGGGAGAGGCAGACUUUCAUCAGAAGAAGAAGAGAAUCAGAUUCGAUUCAACGCGAGAAGAGCAAGAAUCGACUGAGUGAGGGGGCUGAGUUACAAUAUUGAGGCGCGACUGACUCGGGAAGCGGAGGCACGAUGGGCUCACUGCAUUGUGGGCUUUUGUUUUAGGGCCGCAGAUGUGGGCUUUUAUUCUUAGUACGAAAAUGUACACGUGUUCUAUUGUUUUAUUAGUGUGUCAUGAUUUCGAAUUUUUCAUGAGCGAAAUUUAUUUGGAUUGCACGUUAUUUAUACAUACUGCUGAUUUACUUGUAUGAUCAAUACAUUUUUUAAAUUUCACAUACAUCAUAUAAAAAAUUACUACAAUAUUUUUUUAUAAAAUUAUCUCAAACAAUGAAUCUACUAAAACAAAUUAAUAAGAGCAUUAAUAGUUGUAAUUUCCAUCUCCAAAGCAGGGACCUAAAGCGAAAGGAAGUCACUGUGCUUGUAACUUAAUAGACAUCCGUCCUAUCUUUUGAGAAGAGAGUUAGGGGGGGAAAAUAGAAAAGGUCAAUCUUUCGAAUAAGGAAGAAGAACGUAAUUGUAAUAAAAUUAAGAAAAGAAGCAAAAAAAAAAAAAGAACGCAAGAAAAUUGCUGAAAAAGCUUCUCCUUAGAAAUGCUUGACCUUCUUGUCGCACAAGCUUGGGCAAACCCUUGACCUUGUGGUUCUCUUCUUUUUUUCUAGACUUGGAGAGCUUUGCAAUUUGUAGGAUUAUUAAAUCAAAAGUCUUUUUAGAAUUUAUUUAUUUAGUUAGGAAACUACUUAUUUUGUUGUUUAGUUGUAAUUUCCUAGUAGUAGUUGCAAUAAAAGCCUUCAAAGUUCUUCUCUGUUUUUUUUUUUCCUCUGUUUCUUUGUUUUGUAUGCGGGUCUCGAGAUUUAUUUAGGCUUUGUUUGGAUUGCUUAUUUCCGUCGAAAAAUAUUGGGAGUGUUUGGAUACCUACGCUAUCUCAAAUAAUAUUUUGCUUGCAUCAUAAACACAUUUCCCAACCUAUCUUUUUAUAUUCCCAAUUACCUUUUUAUCUCACAUACAUCACAUCACAAAAAGUGCUACAGUAAUUAUUCCAAAUAAUAUUUCAAAUAAUACACUAUCCAAACAAACUAUUGUCGUUUUCCGUGAUCACAUUUCCCUAUCACCUUUUUCCCUUACAUAUAUCAAAUCGCUACAGUAAUUUUUCCAUGAAAAAUGACGGAAAAUGCAAUCCAAACACAACCUUUGUCUUCCCGUGGUUUCGUUGAAUCGAGAAAGCAUAUUUAUUGUGUUUCAUAUAGAGUAGUUUGAUUAAUAUGUAUGUUUGUUUGUUUGGAUAAGAGGUUAUUUGGAUGAUUUAUUUGAAAUAAUUAUUGUAACAUUUUUUAUGAUGUGAGAUAAAAAAAGACGAUUGAGAUUUAUGAAGUAAAUUAUUUUGUUUCAAAUUAUCUCAAUCCAAACACUCAUUUUAUUAUUAUUUUGUUUUACGGGCCUACACAACUGCAUAUAAAUGGUAUUUUCUUGGUAUUUUCUUUUGUGUCGACCACGCCACUAUAAUAUGUUUUGAUACUCUGAAAUUUCAAAUGGCUUCUGCUGAAAGUUCCACACUCAAAUUUAGACGUAUUAUAAAAGCGCAAGUCUCGAACGCCCCCCGUCCCAAAUGCAGCAGCCUCGUAUACAUAACAAGUUUUCUGCCGCCUAACAGAGCAAAGUUCCAACCAAAAAAAAAAAAAAAAAAACAGUGCAAAGUUUAAAACACGAGAUCGAGAUAUCCUAUCCACCCAUCAUGUUUUCCCUAAACAGUGGCAUUCCUUCAACAACGUCGGUUCUAUCAGCAUACACAACUUUUGCUGCAUCCGCUGUUCUAGUGCGCACCGUGCUCAAUGAAGUCCAGAGCAUGACUAGCCGGCUUAUACCCCAACAACUCCAAGACAAGCUCUUCACCAAAAUUGGAUCCCUUUUUGGGAAUCUCUCUUCCCAGAUGUGUAUAACCAUUUCUGAUCACAAUGGCAUCACCCCGAAUGAGAUGUUCGAGGCUUGUGAAACUUAUUUAAGAGGAAACAUAAGCCCGUCGGUCCACCGGCUCAAGGUAGUGAAGGAGCCAAAAGCAGAGAAAUUGUCCGUCAACAUAAGCGAUGGCGAGACAACUUUUGACGUAUUCGAGGGGAUACAGCUUGUUUGGAGAUUGAAUUGCUCUGAGACUCAGAAGACUGGCACCGACUAUGAUGGCUACUUCUCUUCUGAAAGGGUGGAACGUCGAUCGUUUGAGCUUUUCUUUAACAAGAAGCACAAGGAUAAGGUAUUAGGAUCUUACCUGCCCUACGUGCUUGAAAGAUCGAAAGCCAUCAACGGAGAGAACAAAGUGAUAAAGCUGUACUCGGGUGGAAAUUGGUACGUGGAUGUUAAUCUCCAACAUCCAUCCACGUUUGACACGCUGGCAAUGGAUCCAGAGGUUAAGAAAGAAUUGAUGCAGGACUUGGAUAGAUUUGUGAGGAGGAGGACUUUCUAUAAGAGGGUUGGGAAGGCUUGGAAAAGAGGAUACUUGUUGUAUGGUCCUCCAGGAACCGGCAAGUCCAGCUUGGUUGCUGCCAUGGCGAACUAUCUCAAAUUCCACAUCUAUGACUUGGAGCUUUCCAGUGUGCGAGGCAACAACGACCUUAGAAGUCUACUGGUUUCGACUCAAAACCGAUCAAUCCUUGUCAUUGAGGACAUUGAUUGCAGCAUUGAGAUGCAGAACAGAGAAGCUGGCCAAUCCGGAAGAUGCAGUGGUGAGAUUCAGGUGAUCCUCUAUUUAAAGCUUUAUUUAUUAUUCAAAAGCCUUUCACCUUUACUGAGUCUUCUUCCUCUGCAUGUAGCCAAGAAAUAUCGUGCUAUAUCUUUAGAAAUUAAUUGAUCUUAUUUGGCCUGGCAGCUAACAUUAUCAGGAUUGCUGAAUUUUAUCGAUGGGCUGUGGUCGAGUUGCGGUGAUGAAAGAAUAGUUGUGUUCACAACCAACUACAAAGAAAGGCUGGAUCCUGCACUGUUAAGGCCUGGACGGAUGGACAUGCAUAUUCAUUUGUCAUAUUGCACUCCUGGUGGAUUCAGGAUCUUGGCUUCCAAUUAUCUUGGUUUGAAGGAUCACGACCGGUUUAGUGAAAUUGAAGAGCUCAUAGCAGAAGUGGAGGUAACCGCUGCUGAGAUUGCGGAAGAGCUCAUGAAAAGUGAAGAAAUUGACUUUGUACUUGCGGGACUCGUUGCUUUCCUUGAGAAGAAAAAGAAGGAAAAGGCCAAGUCCAAUAUUGGCAAAGAGGACGAAGUUAAGGGUAACAAGAAAGAGGAGGACGUAAAGUUACCAAGGAGAAGUAGGAGGAAGAGAAGCAGAAAAUCCAGGAUAUGAUGGUUCCAUUUAUUUACAAUCUGUUUAUGUAGCUUGUGUUCUUUUCUUUGUUUUUUUCCCUUCCUUUCUUUCUUUCUUUCUUUCUUUUUCUUCUGCGUCUUUUUCUUUCUUUUGUAUCGUGUGGAUACGAAAGUACUAGUAAUAAAUAUCUUUUGAAGUAGUAUCCGAGUUCACACUAAUUGGCUAUUGGCAUGUUGGUUGUGAAGUAUACCUCAACAUUUAAAUAAACCUAAAUCGGAAAAAGAACUAAAUCUGAAAUUUGUGGUACUUGCAUGCGUCAGUCAUUACUUAGACAGAGACCAUAAUGUCUUGUUUCAAACUUUGAAAUUACUACAAAUAUUCCAUCCAUUUAUAGAAUAUUCUCCUCAUGAAAAUGCCUUUUAAAAGCUCCACCACCUCCUCAAAACAGAAAAAAAAAAAAAAGUGAUGUUAGCACCAGAAAGAUGUAAGCAACAUAAUUGAUCACUGUAAUUAGCCUGAGAUGUACAAGUUUCUCGGAUAUGCUAAAAGCCAGUCAUGAUCUAAGAAAGCAAAACAAAUGACAGCCUCCCAUUUUCCUGGACUCGUUCCUUACAAAGCGAAUAAGACCAAUAAGGUAGAAACUUUGGAAGAUUGACUGGUUCUUUCUCAUCCUUCAUUCAAGAGUUAUUGGAACUGAGAUGGUCAAAUUUGAUCCCUUUAAUUAACACCUUUAACAAUAGCGCUGCGCUCGAUUGAACUAUAUUGACUCAGAACUUCUCAUUUUAUGGUAGCAUGUGCCCUCGUCAUCUGUGGUAGAAAGUAAAUAGAGCUGCUUUUAUUCCCUCAGGAACCAACAAUCGCUGCCAGAACGAUGUUGAGACGUCGUCCAUUACAUACGUUUGUAGCGUCAAUUUUAGCCAUUAUUCACAGUGCCUGCGGUAAAGCACAGGGACUAAAUGGACCUAUGGGAUCAUUGACGACAAAAACAACCAAAUUCAUCAGUUCUACCUUUCCGUUUAUAUAUUCUAUGCAGUAUCAAUGCCUAGCAAUCUUGUCCUUUGCUGAUGAUCACAUUCUAGCCAUUGAAAACAUGGUAGAAAACAUUUUUCCACCAUCAACGCAUUUAUUCAACGGGAUUGACAAGCUUGUUUACAAUGCAGAAUAUUUACCAGGAAGGUUUGACGAUGCCAUGAAUGCAAUCCCUAUAAUUAUGCACCAAGUUCCAUUUCUUGAUUGGGUAGUGAUGCAUCUCAUAUCAUGGCUAAAUUUUCUAAUCUCUACUCUGAUGAAUUGGGGAUCAAAGAAUACACAAGAGAAGGAUAUAAUGAUUGAUAUAGUCUGCAACAAUCCCGGACCUGGGCUAGACAUUUCGAUGGAUAAGGCAGCCUCCCACAAAGAGAAUGAUGAGUUUCCUUCGAUGUCCACAUCUCAUCCUUCACGAGAAAUGGCCAAAGAAUUUGAAAGCGAAAAGGGUUGCGUUCAAAUGCCAAAAAUCGCACAAUGUCAACUCAACGAAGAUACAGAGUCACCUCCAGAACUAUCCAAGGGGUCUUUCUACAAGCCAUUCCAAGAUGAGAUGAGGUGCAGUUACAAGGAAAUGCUUGAAAAGGGAACAAAGGGAAAUGCUGAAACUAAUGAGGACAAUCAUAAUAACUCACAAUUUGAAACUCCUCGAAGCACAAUCAGUGAAGGAGGAGUUGAAAUAGACAGAGAGAAAGACCUACAGGAAAGCAUUGCGGGAUUUGACCUGGAUGAUCCAAUUUUAGAACUAUACGAAGCAAGCUGGCACCUGAAAUAAAUCCAGUAAGUAUCAAAUUCAGGUAUUGCUGCUAUGGCAAUCAGAUAACACACCUGAAAUGAUUUGCGUGGUAGAUACCCGUUUGGCAAACAAGUUUUUGAUCAAGUUUGUCUUCUGCAAGUUUUUUAACAACUUUAGCUACAAUAACCUCAAAAAAUUCCUAGAAGUUUUUAAACUAUGCACUUCAAAAUAUCCAAAAAUUUACACACUUCAAAAAUUUUUCCUAUAACUUUUACAGUAAGCUACAGUUAAAAUUUUAAACAAAUACCCAAAAAAAUCAUUUGCCAAACAGUACCCUAGGAGAAACAUGGUAGUUGCCUAGUUCUGAUCAUUGAUCAGCAGCCGCAGAAUAUAGCAUGAUUACGAGUUCGCAUGCAUUUCUACAGUGCUGAAACUUGUAAUGUUGUUUUUUAUAGUACAUUUUAUGAUAUAUGGACUGUAUGCAGAGUUGCAUUUGUCCUACAAAUCGUUGAUGAAACAAGCUCUUUUUAACAAGCUUUUUUUAUUUACAAUUGAUUAUUCGCCCUGCUUCUGAACACUUUUAACUUCCGCAAACGACAAUCUUGGCAGAAUCUAUGAAGAAAAGCAAACAAAGGUUGGGAGAAAAAUAAACUUCCCAAGCAAAGUGACAAUUGAUACCUUUUUUUUUUUGGAGCAAAAACAAUUGCGUGGUUGAAAUGAAAGGAAAAGAGCUUAUUACAAGUCUUGUGCGAAAGAAGGGGCCAGGAGAAUCCAUGAGGUUGGACAUAGAAGACAACAUAGAAAAUGCUGAGACACAACUUGUAAGUAAGCGUUGCGAUUGACCAAAAAAAUGAUAACGCCCACCGUGGGGCUCGAACCCACGACCACAAGGUUAAGAGCCUUGCGCUCUACCGACUGAGCUAGACGGGCUUGUUACGAGUUAAACACAUGACCAGCUAUUGACGUUUUAAAAUGACAUUUCCAGCAAUAAACCCAGCCCGGCCUGACAAUCGAACCAAUCAAACCAAUGAACCGGCUAUUAGGCCGAGCUGAGUUUCUAAUUAAACUGUUUAAACAUAAGAACCGUUGACUGGUAAAUGACCCAACGAUUCAACCGGAACCUGACCAAAUUUUGUUCACAAACCAGGUUUUGCGGAAAAAUUUUUAGUUAACUUUUAUUAAGACUCAAACUUGGGAACUUAAGCAUAUAACUAGAGCAUAGUUACCACCAGGCCACUUACCAAAUGUUAGUAGAGUAACUUUCUUAUGAUAUAUGAAUAUUUUAUUAAUUCUAUCUUUUUUUUAAUUUCUCUAAAAUAAAUUUAUUUGGAAUCUUUUAAUAAAAACUUAUAACAUUCCAAACUCUAUAAGUUAUAAAAUGGAUUUCAAAAAUAACAUAUUACAUAAUUCAUGUUAAAGGCAAAUAUUGUUUUUAAUAAUUUUUUGCACUUAAAAUUCGUAAAUAAGCUAAAUAAUUAUAUUAAAUACAGAUAAAAUUUUACACUUGAAAUUUGGUAGAUUGCUAAAUAAAUUUAUAUUUUAUUGAUUUUUAUAUAAAUUAAUUAUUCUAUAGUGAAUUAAAUUAAAUGAACAUUUACUAUGACAUUUUUAUUACAAUUUAUAUCAUAUAUUUUAUAUCAAAAUUUAUGAAACAUAAUAUUUAAAUACAUUUAGUGAUUCACUGGUUCAACCACUCAUCCAUUGAUUAAAUCAGUGAUCCGUUAACUCCCCUCCUCUGCUGGGUUCCUUUCCAAGCCGGAUAUAAUAACUAUGCCAGCGAUGCAAGGAGGCAUUGAAGGGUCCAAACAAAGAAAUCGAUCCCUCCCUGCGUCAACUCAUUGAAAGAUGCAACAACUCACUUCCAGCUCAUGCUCAACAAACAACACCACAACGGCGACGUGAAAGAGAAAUCUAAGAAAUAAUGAAGGAAAAUUCACGAGAUCGCCUUCCCUUUGAAUAGCAUGCCAUCUAACUCUUCAAUUGGUCGCGAUGCAAGUUUACACCAUUUACAAACUCCCGUUCUUUAAGUACCAGGAGAUUCACUUUUAAAACUUCAACUAAGGGCUCACUUUUGGGUAGUUGUACGCUAUUCUAUCAGGAAGAUAAAGCAAGCAAAAUUUAGUGGCUAUAGCCUUACAGGAACCUGUACAUAUCUUCUGUGGGAAACAGGAAACUGGAAAACACGAUGCCUAUUGAAUAGGACAGAACUAAUUAAUACAAAGGAGAGAUGCGUGAUUUAAUGUACAAGAUUGUCAGCAAAGGAACUAAGAAGAGUCUCUUAACACUGGUAUACAGAAAAACUCUUGUUCUUCCACCAAAAACUCCAGGCUCUUCCCACUUUUCUUCUGGAAACUGAUUUGCAUAGUGGUUUUGCAUCUUCUGUGGUUACGGGAAUCUCACUACAUUCAGGCUGCAGCGCAGCCUGGACAGCGGAUGGCUCCCGCUGCCUCUGCUCACGAAACAACAUUAAGAGCUUCUGAGCUUUCUGUUUUCCUCUCGUCGUCCCAUUCACAGAAAUGCAAACCAAAGAAGGAAUCACUCCUUCUUGAAGGACCAUUUGACUGCACUUCUCAUUGCCAUUGCAUAGUAUUAAAAGACAUGCAGCAGCUUGCUCCUGCUCAACAGGUUCACCAACAUCCAAAAUAGUAGCAAGCCCACUGACAAGGCCAGAAGAAGAUAUGAUUUCCUCACGCGCUGAUCUACUUGCAGCCAAGUUUAUGACAACCGCAAUGGAUUUCUCUGUCCAAGAAUGGUCACCCGAAUUUGUGAUAAGGGCUUGCAAACUGUCAAUGACACCAGCUGAUAGAAGGGGGGGAAUAUUGGCUUGGUGGCCAGAAAGAUUAUAAAGGGCAUGGAGCGAAUCAAGCCUACAUUGUACAUCAGGUUGAUGCUGAAGAACCUGAAUCAAGAAAGGGACAGCUUCACUGGAUCCAAUAAUGGGCUUGGCCUCUUCAAGGCAGGACAGGUUAAGGUAAAGGGCUGUUGCAGCUCCAGCACAUUUGCGAUUAACGAUCAUCUUCCCCAGCAAUUCAAGCACUUUUCCUUCCAGCAUCAAGUCCUUGUUUCUGAAAAGCAGCAUAGUGAAAUUGAAUAAGAACUUCCAGUGUAUAAUAAUCUAUUCUAAUAAUAAUCCAUUCUAAUAAUAAGCACCUAUAAACUGCAAUAUAACCUCUAUCCCGCGUCUCUCUAGUUGAUAACAAUGUCCAAAAUUCAAGACAUCAAGAUUUACAAAGCAAGUACCUGUUAUUAUUCACAGCCAGAUUGAAAAGAGCCAUGGUUCCAACUUCCUGAGCUGUCUCAUUCCUUGCUUGCAAGGCCGAGUCCAAAAACCGCAAUAAUGCUUCAACAAAACCAUUUGCCCCCAUGUAUAUUCUGGCUUCUUCAUCAUCCUUUAGCAAGUGCCUUAUCUGUUCUACCACUUUGCACUGUUUUGUUAUGUUGUCUUCUUUUUCUAAGAUGACCAAAAAGUCUUUAUACCUUUCGAAUAAAUUGACCCCACAUUCAUGCUCCUGUGGAGAAACAUCUUCAACUUCAUUUCCUUCAGCUUCCUCAAUAACACCACUAUCCUCCAAGGGUACCACCUUCACACCCUUGAACUUGAAGUACCCAACAUUAUCGGUUAAUUUUGAUUUUGCAGUAUCACUGUCUGACAGAGCCAAUCUCCAGUAGUUCAGAUCAAGAGACUCGGGAGGGCCAUCUGGAACAGGAACUCCAUUCUGUUCACACCAACUAGCAACUAGACCCUUUACACAGUAAUUUGGAGUCAAUCCAAGAUGACACAGCUGCUGCUGAGUUUUUGGGCAUGUCUUGUGCCCAUCGCUGAACCACUUCUCUAUGCAGAUUCUUUCAUACGUCUGUCCAGAAGCAAUAAUUACAGGAUCAUACAUGAGUUGCAAUGAUAUUGGGCACCUUAAUUCUUCAGGAGGGACAGGAAUCUGCCCAGAUCUCCUGAAGUUUGGCUUGAAGUUAAAAGAGCUGAGUUUUGAGAGUUGUCUGUCAAAGGCAUGGCCAUUAAUUCCAGGCCCACUACCAUCCUCAAAUGAUCCUUGAACAGUUGGAGAACAAGGUGUAGAACCCUGUGAGUCAUUAUCAUCCGAAAAUUCAUUUCUAAAUAAUUUUGAGUAUUUUCUCAUUAGAUGCAAAAGAUAAGCCACAAUUGAUUCCUUUCUUUUGUCUUCCUCAGCACGAGCUCUGUCUAUAAGUUUCUUCAAAGCCCGUCUCUCUCUAAGUGCAGCUCUGGAAGAUGUGAUACCAAGUCUAGAAGCAGCCUGGUGAAAAGAUUCAAGUUCACCAGUGUCGUUAGAGUUGUUGAAUUUUCUACCUUGCUGGAGCAAUGCAAUUAUCUCAUCACCAACUUGUUUCUCCAUCGAAUCAAGUGAGAAUUCAAUCCCCAUAAGAUCAAUCAAAAUUUCUGAAAUCUGAAAUUAGAAAAAGGCUGGGUUGACAUCGCUUCCUUCAAGAAGAACCAAUGAAAUACAAAAGGAGAAUGCACACUACUAGGUUAAGAACUUAAAUGAAAAGCAAUAGAAGAGGAGGAGGAGAUGACUGCAACAUUUACGAUGCAUAAGGCAGAUAGAUUUACAGGAUGAGGCUCAAAAGUCCAGAAGAUAUGGUAAAAUUUGAACAAACCAAUGUCCGAAAUGCUCAAAUCUCAAGUUGCCCCGAAAAAAUAGCUAAAACAUUAUUUUUCAACCAGUUUAAAAGUAGCAAAACCACAUACUUAUCUUGAUCCAUAAAUCGUCUUUGCAAUACACAAGCACUUCAAAUGUCCAUUAAUGAAAUAUUAAUGAUGCUUAAUUAAUACAUGCAAGACUGAUUAGAGCAUACAUGUAUUGGACCACAUCAAAGACUAACAGUAGUGGCAGGAUCAAGUUAGAUCACUAAAAGAAAGAACCAAUAUAAACGUUACCUGUGAACCAAUAGCUUGUGGAACAAUAUCUUCGACACGCCUCAGACCAUCUUCAAGAGCGCAUCUUGCCUUUUCGAACUUUAGAACAACAGAGUCACCAGUUAUAGCCUGAUCAAAAGAAUGUGUAAGUGAAUAAGUGGAGAAAGAAGAAAUAAAAUUCGACGGCUUUCAGUAUGAUAAAGUCCAAAAUUCCAACUAUGAGGAAUAGCAUGCAAGUCAUUGUACUAUCAGAAAAACAGCUGAGUCGCCACUGUUUUCACGCAAUCAAAUAUUUCCUAGUAGCUGUCUAUCCAAAUAACAGGAAAGCGAGGAGAUAAAUCGUAUCUUCUGGUUACCAAAAUGACAACCAGAAAAAAACGAAUAGUUCACUAAAUGGCAAAUGCAGGUUAGAUUUUUUAUGACGUUUAGUGUGAGGGGACGAAUUGAGAACCAAAGUCAAGAAAAAAAUAGCUUAGAUAAACACCACAUGUUAAACAAGAUCACAGCCAUACCAAGUAAAGUUUACUACACUCUGCACAGUGUUGAAGAAUAUUCUUCGUCUUCUCAAGGGCAAUGUGCAAUGCACACAAUGCUUGAAUGCCUGAUGUACUUCUUGGCCUUGCUGCUUCCAAGUCAGGAAAUAUCCCCAAUACUUUAGCAUAAAUUGCUGAUAAACUCUUACACAUCCCUCCAUGCAACUACAAAACCAACCACAUUUUUUGUCUUUUUGUCAAUUGCUUGCAACAUUCAUGAUUUACAAUAAACACCUUAGAAAGUUGUGAUUGAUAUUACAUAACACAACAAAAGAGUUAAACCAUCAAAGAUGCUGCAACAAAUUGGAUUCAAUGCCCUCAAAAGUACCUCCAAUUCAUCAGGUGAACUAUAUUUUUUCCUUAACGUAAUCAAACUAAAUCCUGCUACCAAACAUGGCCCAACUAUUAUUAUUAACAAAAGUGUCAUUUUUUUCAAAGAGAAUCAUCAUACACCAAAAUGGCUGAAUUAAAAAGCAUAAGGGUACCGUUAGACAAAACCUUUCAUUAAGAACAAAAUGCCAAAUAUCAAGUACUAAAGGAAAAAGAAUCAAAACGAGUCAGACAAACAUGUACAUCAGAACCCUCCAAACAUCCAAUAUAUAGAACCAUCCAACAACCUAAAGGCAGAAUAUACCAAUUAGGCAUACCUUUGGUUCCCCAAUUAAGAGCAAAAUUUCUUCAACUUCAGCAGUUUCCAUGAUUCACAUUAACGGUGAUUCAACUUUACCUCACCUGAAAAAUUAGUACGUAACUAGAAAUAAUCAGAAUCUAUGAAUAAGGUAAUGCACCAAUAACCAUGGCAAGUUAACCUAAUAAAAAGAGAAAAUUUAAAACAAUAAUAAAGGUAAAAAUCAACCCCAAACGGAAAAUAGCAAAACUCAAAUCCUCAUCCAGAUUGUGGAAACGAAGAGAUGCUAAAAACAAAAUCCUCGCUUCUUUAACUAAAAACCCAUCACUUGAAAAAACAAAUUCUGACAUGUCAGAAUACAAGUUAGUUCCUACAUAAUUGGGAUUCGAAUGAGAUCAGAAAGGCAUAAUGAGGCAAACGAUGCAAUAGCUUUGGUUGGAGCAAAGUCGAAAAAUUUUGUAGUUUUACUUAUAAACUUCUUAAACCAAAAAUAUAGGAGCGGAAAAAAUCUUAACCGAUGUAGAAUGAAAAUAUGCGUUCAAAACAACAGAUGAAAACGAGUACAGCAGAGCCAGCCUAAAAUCCAACCAAAGAGCAAAUGUUUUUACCCAAAUGAUGUACAAUCAUGAUCAAGCAGAACCAAAAUACAAAAAGGUUUGCAAUUAAUCACGUACAAUGAUUGACGGAGGCUCGAGGAAAUGAAGACUUGAGCAGAAAUUAAGGACCAUGUGUUGUAUUGGCCUUAUCACAAGCAGAAACUUUAAUUGCUUCCUUUGACCAGCUUUAGCUAAUUUCACUAGUUCUCUCUCAUAUAUUCAGGAGAUAUUCAAGAAACCAUAUAGGAAGAAAGAGAAAGGGCUGCUUUUCAGAUUUAGACUCGAGGGCGAAAGAGAUGAUUAUGAUGGUGAUGAUGAUGGAAAUUGGAAAGCCAAAGGUAAUGAGAGAGGGAGAAGGCUUUUGGUUAAUUUUAGAAGAGUAGGGAAGAGAGGGGCCAGGGGAGUAAAUAGGGAGGAAUAUUUGAAAUUACUAUUUAAAUAGGGGUACAAAAUAAAAUAAAUGAUAUCAAAUCUGGGGACUAUGAGUGAAGGUUAAUUUUUUCAGUAUUCUGUUAUGGAAAGUACUCUUUCAUCUUCUUUUUUUUUUUUUUUUGGAUUUAAAAAUGAUUUUCGAGGGUUUUCUGUAGAAAAAAAUAAUAAUUUUGGAGGGGCUCUCGGAAUUUUGAAGGCCGAUUUUGUCUCCCAAGUUCAUCGGCCGACAGUUGCCGACCUCCUGGUUUGUCGGCUAGCAGAUCUGGCUUAAAUGUGAUUGUAAUUUGUCCAUUUUGCCAUCCUUCCUUCUCUUUCUAGUCACGGAGGUUACGCGACUUCUUUUUUGAACGAUUUUCACUUUCACCGGCACUUUAUACCUUGAGUGACCACGGAAUUUUUUUUUUUUUUCUUUCCCUUCCUUCAUUGUAUACACAGCAGUUUCAGGUGUUAGUUUUCACAUACAAUAAUUAUAACGGUGCCUAUUCAAAUGAUAAAUUAGAUAUAAUUUAAGUGUUGCUAACAAAUAAUAUUUUAUAUAUUGACAAUGCAUACACUAUCAGCGUUGGAUAAAUGACAAUUAUAUAAAAUUUAAAUUUAAAAUUUAACUUUUGUACGUAUGCUAUAAAUCAAACGACAUUAAUGUAUACACUAUCAGUAUAUAUAAAAUUUACUCAAACAAAUAUUAAUGAGUACUUGUCAGAAAAAUCAUAACUAUGAUAAUAUACAAUGAUAGUUUUACAUCUCAAUUGCUACUGCAUUUCUAGUUGUUAACUUGCAAGUAUAAUCAUUUUUCUCAUUUGCCCUGUUCCGUGGAAUAGUUGAGGAUUGACAUGCAAAAUUAGAGCAUUAUCAUAACCGUUUUGAAUGCCAGAACGGUAAUAAAUGAUUAAUUAAACCUAAGCAAAAGAGAAACAGUAAUCAAGUGCAAUAACAAGAAUCGGAUGAUGAAUAAGCAUCAUUUAUUUUUUAUUAAUUAUUAUUAUUAUGGUGGCUGCUUCAGCAUUUUUAAAGUGAUCAAGCACUUUGUGAAAGGAUCUGAUUUAAGUGGCAAGCUCAGUCGAAAAAAGAAACCAAAAAAAAAAAAAAAAAGCGAAUUAGGACAUGAUGGUGCUUAUUGAUUGCCUAAUAAAAUCUGCAAGGUGCGCCAUGAAAUAUAGCCUGACGUGUAAACCAUCCCGAUUAAACCCCAAGCUAUACUUUAAUAAUAACCGUGGAAUCCAAUUUGGCCACAUUUUAUAGAUAAACCCAUGCAAUAAACUAUCUAACCUGCCUGCAUGUUACGAUGUUCUUGAUUUAAAUGUCAAUUUCCCGUAUUUGUACUUUCAUCAAAAAGCAUAUUUUAAUGUCAUUUUGUGAUGUUCAUGAUUUAUCACCUUGGUAAGGAGUUCAUUUAUGAAAUAGAGAUUCUUUAACCAAAUUAACUAAGGCUUUGUUUGGAUUGCAUUUUUCUGAAUUUUUUUGGCAAAAAAAAAUUACUAUAAUGAUUUGAAAUAUGCGAGAUAAAAAAAAUAAUUGAAAAAUGUGUCUACGAAAACGUUACAAAUUUUCUUUGAAAAUCUAGAAUCCAACACACGCCCUAAACAAUCUAUUGGAUAUAGAUAUAGAGGGUAAGAGGGCUUGCAAUUGAAUGUAAAUAUAUUUACCGACAAUUCAACACUAAAUCAUUUCCAAUUGAGGUUAUACUCCUAAGUAGCCUUUUUUAUAAUUUAACCUGCAUAUGCAACAAAUUAAGACAAUUGCAUCUGUUAAAUAGUAGCGGUAAAUCAUUAACAAAUAUGAGUCAACCAAUGACUAACUGUACAAUUUGUAUCAUAAUUUGAUUGCAGUAUUUUUACUUAAAAAUAAUAUAUCAAUACAGUUUUCACAUUGACAGUUUGAUUCGAGAUGAUUUCUUAGGAGCAGUGAUUCGAUCUUAUUAGCGAAGAAGCCGAACAUGUAUUAGCACAUGAUUUUAAUCUCACUUCUAAACUUUUAAAUCCAUGUACUUUCCUCUUUUUUUGUUUUAUUUAUCAAUUCCAUGAAUGUGGACAAAAAAACAGUUUGACAAGGGUCUUGAUGUAAAAGUCAAAAGGUUGAAACGUUUUAGAAACUGGAUGUCAUGAGUUCAAAUUCCUCUUUUUUCCUCCUCUUGUUCUUGAAUUCCACCUCCCCCUUGUGGGGACGGCGGGCCGGGGAUAGGGAGGUGCGAAGACUAAUGAAAAAGGAAUGCAGAGAGGGAUCACACGAACGAUUAGGACGCUGGUGAGGGCUACGGAUUGGGCAAAAAGGUAAAUUCGUAUUAAUUUGAUACUGUCGUCCCCCAACUCUGACCAGCGGAUGUCGCCAUAGAUGAGUACGGCAAACGUGGAUUUAAAUUAGUAUCAGAUCAGUGCCAGUCCACGUGGGUGAAGUUUUCACCAUCGAUUUUCGCACAAUUAUUUUGCAGCGCAAUUGAACCUGCCAAGUGCCACCCAAGUCACCCCAAAACAAGGGAAAAUUAAAAUUGCCAAAGCCAGAUCCGUAAUUAGCGGAAACGCUUGUGCUUAUCCUAUGAUAUGGAGUGAAAUCGUGCUCCGGGUAGCCCACUUUGGAUUAGGCCAGUAAAUUAGGUCUAAUGAGUCGGGACUUUUGUAAGCUCGAGGCCAACUCAUUUAAUUUGUGACACCUUCAAAUUUCAGGUUACGAGUUUCGAGCUAAUAAAUGUAAAACUUAUAUUCAACUCUCAUAAUAUUCGAGUUAUGAAUCUUAUUUGAAUUUAGUCUAAAUUCACUUAUCAAUUAAUUUUAUUAAUAUAAUUUCUAUAACUAUUAAGUUGUAAAACUAAUUUAACAUUCACAUGAGUACAACAUUAAAACUAAAUAUGAACGAGUAAUGGUUCUUAAAAAGUAUAAAUCAAUAUUUUUUUCAACAAUAUUUAUAUUUAUUUUGUUCGAAGUAAAUAGAAAAUAGUAAUGAAAUAUGUGAUCAUAAGCCAAUAUAUUUUCAACUAUUGGAAUUUUUUCAUAGUCUUGUGACUUGAAUACAAACAUACCAACACAAAAAGAAAUCAAUUAAUAUUAUGCUAUGACAAAAAUUUAUUCAAUGAAUAAAAAAUAAUUACUCAAUAAAAAUAUCAUAUAAUUGGGUAUAGAAUUGAUUAAUUGUAUAUAAUAUAAUACCAAAACAUAAAUAUUAUGUAUAUUACCUAUAUAUAUCAGUAUAAAAUCAAAAUAUAAAUAUUACCUAUAUUAUAUAUAUAUAUAUAUCUAGGUAGGGCCAGGCCUAUAUCGGGUUUGAAUCUGAUAAAUCCCAAGCUCGGCUCAUAGUUAAUGAGAGCCUAGUUUUGAAGCCCAAACUCAGCCCAGCUCACUGAUAUUGCAGAUUCAUCGAGCUUUUUAUCGAGUUGAACGGAUUGGACUCGGACUAGUCCGACCCUAUUGAAAAUCAUACUCUGGAUUGCUAGUUUAAAAAUAAAAAAUGUGAAAUUUUGAAGUUUUGGUAAAUAAAAAAUAUUGUAGAUAUGAGUGAGGUUAAAAAGGUGAUCACAAAAUAUGAAUUUUUUGAAGUUUUGGUUAAAAGAUAUACUAUAGAUGUAUGAAAGAUAAAAAGAUAAUUAAAAAAUGUGUUUAUAAAAAGCAUCAAACUGAGUAAAUCUUAUAUACACUGACGGCAUAUACACUAUCAAGGUUGGAUAUAUGACACAUACGCAAAAUUUAAGUUUUAAAUUUAAAUUCGAAUUAUGUGUCAAUGGUGAAAGUGUAUACACUGUCAGAUGAUUAAUCCUAAACUUUUUGCUUAAACAAUAGCAAUCCGAAUAUGGCUAUUUUUCUUUCUAUGGGUUAUGUUUUCUUUGAAGCUCGGUAAUUUUGGUUUGAUAUGCUUACUACCUUUUUUUUUCCUUCGUGUACAAUAUAUCUUUUGCCUUUUUCGACAUUCUCUUCUACAACUAAAUUUUUGAAAGCCAUGUUGGAAACUAGCGCUGAGAGGAGAAUCAUAAUUUUAAUUCCAACAGUUUGGUUCCUGAAGAAAUAAUUGAUCCUUGUUGCUUUUUAUUUUAAAGAAAAAGAAAAACAAUUGGCAAAAUAUAGCCCCUAAUUGUUCCACUUUCUAUCCGAAGAAGAAGAAGAAAGAGAUAAUUGACAAUUUUAGCAAUCACCAAUAACGAAGGUCACAUAUAGAUAUUAGUCAAAACAACAAGGUUAAAAUUUAUUUUUACCUGGGUCAGCAAAAAUUUAUGCAACUAGUUUUUUUUUUUUUUUUUAUUUAAGGAUUUUUCUCUAACGGAUUGACACUCCUUAGUGUGCUUAAGUUACAUUUAACCAAUAUCUUGAACACAACAUUCACCCUCUUGCAUUUUGACAUUUUUUUCCGAAUCAAAUUUUUUACUUUUUUUAAAGAAAAAUUGACACAUGAAACUUCUCUUAAAAAGUGAUUACUGGGCCUGCUAGCCAAACUCCCUUUUAUUUUAUUUUUUCAGCCUAUUAGACUUCAUUGUUUGAAAUGGAAAGUGAAUGUGAUUUGUGUGCACAUUUUAAGUAUUUUAUUUAAUUAUUGUGGCUAACAUCCACGCGAUUGCCAUCAUCGUUAGUAAUUGGUCAAAUUCUUUUAAUUGUCUAUUUUUCAUAUCAAAAGUAACAGCAUUAAAGAUUAGAUUUGUUUACAAUCAAAUUUGAAAAAUUACGUCAUCGAAGAGUCUAAACUUUAGGUACCGAAACUGCAAUUAUUCCUUGCUUCAAAUGAUAAAUGUUUGCCUUUUGACACCUAACUUAGGAAUUGAAGGGUGGAACCGAGGAUCCCUUUGUCCCAUGCUACCAGGAAAAGGCAAAAAAGGAUGUCGAAUUGAACGCCUUCCGAGUGCUAAUACACAUUCCAAAAAAGAAGUGGAUUAGCAAGUGAUGGACUAUCAUUCCAAAUUUAUUCGUGCAUUCAUGAAGGGCAGUCAAAUCGUGCCUGCUUUACGAAUAGGAUCGAGGUUCCGGCGAAGCUGCCGGAAACUGUUCGUAGAAGCUUGAGAGGGCAGAUUGUACAGUUACAGGCUGAAGGGCAUGCGACAAACUAUUUUAUUUAUCCAAAACCCACAUCCCACGAGAAAACAUAAAUCCGUAGGAAGUAAACCAAGAAAAAAAAAAGAAGGGAUUUAUUCCAUUCAAAGCAAACACUUGAAAAGCCCAAAUCGAGAUUACAAAAGUGGCUUGAGUUUACCAUACCAUUCAGAUUCAAAAUAAAAGCAUAGCCAAUCAACAACUCACCUUGAACUUGAGCUCGAAUUCUUGGUGCUCAUUUGAAUUGUUAUUUUUAAAAGUUUUUAUAUAAAAUGUACCAAAAUAAUUUAAUUUGAUGUAUGUAAAAUAAAAAUAUUUUUCCCUAGAAAAACUAUCAUAGUUUUUAGCUUUUUGCCUGCUCACUUCCUCAAAAAUUGGGUGACAAAAACGCAUAAUGCAGCAUAAAUCAUCAGUCCAAAAGUUGGUGGCCACCACCAAAGCAUUAAAGUUUGAUGGGGUGGGAGGCAAGCGCUCACCAAAUCUUGCUUCCUACCAAUUGCCACGUUAAAAGUAGCCUUGUUUAAAAAAUUCAGGCCAUUGCGUAAUGCGUCCGUUUGAUUCGGGUGGUAGUUCAAUCCCCUCGAAAUUAUCCCUAUGACUGAUUAGAUCCGUUCUCUCUCCUAAUAUAAGAUAGAUUAGGUUAUAUAACAAUUAUGUCUCUGAAAAAAAAAAGAGAAAAAAAAAGGGAUGCAUGCUGCAACAUGUUGUGAUGAUAAUUGUGCACAUGCUUUGAAAUAAAGAUGAAUGGACUAUGAAUUAUUGGGUGGGGAUGAGAGAUGCGGUGCUAGCGCGAUGCAUGUAGCAACCCAUGCGGGCGACGACCGACAGAGUGCGCCAUGGUGGCUGCUCCGGGGAGCAAGAGGACAGCCACAUAUUAUCAAUCAAUUAACAUCGUCCAUACAUGAGGACACGAUCUAGUUCUUCCAGUCUCUCAAUAUUGUCUCGAUCGCGCUAGCUAUUCUGAACAGGGAAUUUUCAGUAAAUUAGGUUGCGCGGUUCUUUCAUGAUUCUGAUGUUAAAUAAACCUUUUUUUUUAAAAAAAAAAAAUUUUUGGUCUCUAUCGAUGAACAAUUAUUCGAACUCUGAACCAGGCUCAAAUUUGUUCCUAAUUUUAUCCACCUUUGAAGAAUAGAUACAGUAUUUAAUACCACCAUCUUUUAAGAUUUACGGCUACAUUAUUAGUUCGUAAACCAGCCGAAAUGGCCUGUCUAAUCAAUCAUCAUUCAUUUAUUCUCAUCACGCAUGCAUAACAUUUUUUCAUUUUUGCGCUCAAAUUGAUUCGAGUUGGAGGCCCUUCUUGCCCGGGUAAAUAACUUUUUUCGAACGGUUUGUAUUUGGAUAUAUAUAUAUAUAUAUAUAUAUAUAUAUAUAUAUAAUUAGUUAGGCUCAUGAUUUGUUGAUUAAUCAUUUGAUCCCUACCUAAGGAGACUGCUAGGGUUCUGUCUUCUCUGUCCUUUAGCAAUAUUCUUUCCUUCUUUUUUUUUUUUUUUUGUUUUCGUUUUUGCCCCAAUUUGGCCAUUAAUGUACGGGAACAUAAUAAAUUAUUAUUCUUUCUCUUGAACAAGGAGUCAAUAUUAAUAUGGGACGACAAACAAAAAGGGGUCAAAGUCAAACAACAUGAUUGCUUGUUGUAUUAACUAUUAUGAUUGAUUGUGCUCAAAUUUUCAAAUGAACUGGGAACAUUUGGAUUGGAGUCCAACGGUUUCAUUCAUAUAUAGUACAUUAGUAUUCAGAAGAUGGAAGUGGGAUUAAUUAAUUAAGAGUUGUAAUCGUACUACUACUUUUUUUUUUAAAAUUUAUUUAUUUUCCCUUUUUUAAUUAAGCAUCUUACCUGCCUUUGCCGGUGGUGUACAUAUAUAUAUAUACACACACAUGACUACAUGAGUCAACCUUAGGCUCAUAAUUGAAGUCCAAGCAGUAGCAGCGGAUUCCUUGUGUUGGUCCUACCACUGCCAUGCAUGCCAUGUUACUGCAGCUACGUACUUUUCUAGUGAUGAAGGAAGGAAAGGGUUCUCCUCUCCGCCACAACUUUUUUGCGUACGAGGUCGAGGGGUGAGAUAUUUUUUUGCCUUGCUGGUGCUGUUACUUGUGUGGGAUGUGGAGCAUAGGGUACUAACUCUUCGGAUCCAGAUCUGAGAGAUAAGCGUUAUGGUCAUUAAUUAAUGAAUGCCUGCUCAUGAUGAUGAAUCGAUGAUGCAUAAAUAAACAUGGAGUUACUAAAACUGAUUGAAUUUGAUUGAUUACCUCUGCAGCUUAAUUUGGUAAUUAGGUCUGUCAAUCGGGCCUAAUGAGCCGUGCUUUGAUGAGUUCAAGUUCAGUUCAUUUAAUUUGAAACAUUUUCGGGUUUCGGGCUAUGAGUUUCGGGUUCAUAAAUGUGAAGCUCAUACUCAACUCACAUAAUAUUUGGAUUCUGAGCCUUAAUCGGGUUUAGCCCAAACUCACUUAUUACUCCUUACUUUUCUUAAUAUAAUUAUUAUAACUAUUAAGUAUUUAGUAAAAAAUAUAUUUGGAUAUAUAAUUAUACAUAAUAUCAAAAUAUAAAUAUUAUAUAUAUAGGUAAUUAAAGGGCCGGGCCUAUAUCGAGUUUGAGCCUAAUAAGGCCCAAGAUCGGCUCACAUUUAAUUCGGGCCUAAUUUUUAGGCUCAAACUCAACCCGACUCACUAAAUGAUCGGGCUCAUCGGGCUUUUUAUCGGGCCGAACUCGGGCUGGCCCAGCCCCAUUGGCAGUCCUAUUGGUAAUGCCAUUCCAAUUCCAAUUUAAGAUCUCUCAUACAUACGAAAACCUCCUCUCACACUCUAUAUAUAUAUAUAUAUAUAUAUAUAUAUAUAUAUAUAUAUAUAUAUAGGGUUAAUUACAUUUACCUCCCCCGAGAUUUGACCAAAUAACGAAUCGAUCCCUGAGAUUUGACCAAAUAACAGAUUCCCCCCUCACACUAACUUCUGUCACUUAUAAGUAACGGAAAUAGCCAAAAGUCUGAAUAACCCUUAUUAAUUUCCAUCAAACUUUUAAGACAUAAAAAUAGAAAUAUGUACUUACAAUUUUACCCUUUAGGCAGGAAACAAGACAGAUAGCGACUUUAUCAUUUCAACCCCUACAAUCCCAACAUCAGAUUAUCAUACUGCACUCUCACUUUUCUUGAACUCUCUUUCCAUGAAACCCUAUGUUUCUAUCGUUGCUUAAUCCUUAAAUCACUAAGAUAAAACUCAAAAACUACAGUGCGUUGUCUACAUAUCAACAUAUUGUGGCUGGAGAAAUUUUUCACAACAAAGGUUGUAGGUUCGGAAAGCUAUUGGAGGCCUAAGCAUGGUACUAUCUUUAACUGAUCAUUUCUUGCAUGGGUAUUAUAUACUAUUUGAACCAAAAAAAUGAGUUCUGCAUGCACGGAUCUAAUAUUUAUUUACAUUAGAUCCUUCUUAGUUUGAUUUCUAGGACACAAAUAUGCUUCAAAAUUAGGGGUUUUUGAUUGUGAUGCAUCAAUACAACAUUGCCAGCAUUUUUGGUUGCUACUGCAUGUAUAAUAGUUAUAUGGGUGGUGAACGUAGUCAUAAAUAACAAGAAAUCCAGAUUUAAUAAUGUAAAUCUGGAGUUUUUGUGAAUUUUUUUAAUAUAUCACUUUUUUCUACAUUGGCAACAUACAUAUGUAAUUUUUAGUUGUUUGAACCACAAUAAGGUUGUAUUAGUCGUUUAUCAAAAUAGUUUUACAAUUUAGAGUUUAAUAGGAAAUCUUUAUUUAUUUCCUGUUAUGUCAGAUUCCACGUUGAUUCAUAUCUUCAAACUUAGUUGCAUGCAAAUCGGUUUUUUCUCAUCAUAUUAAUGCUAUUUGUUAAUGAAGCACAUGAUAAACUUUGUUGUUUUCGUGGUUUUAGGCUGGACUUGCAAGUGUCUACGACAUUACUCUUCAUUGUGAAAGCAUGAAGUUCGAACUAAGGAAUAUUGAUCCCGAUCGCUAUUCUUACAUUGACUUGUUAUCUGAUGUUUGUGAGAAUGUUUUGAAUCGUAUUUCUAGUCGACAAAAUAUCAUGAUUGCUUUAUGUUGUGAUAUCCCUGGUACUGUGGAAACAAUGAACAUUGAAACUGAUUCGGAUGUGCUGGAAAUGUUUGGUUUACAUAGGAGGAAUGGACGUAUCAAUGUUUAUGUUAGGCAGGUUUGUGAUGAUGUUCAAGAGAACUUGAAUGAAAAUGCUGGUAAUGGGAACAAUAUUGAUGGAAAUGGAAAUAUUAUGGGGCUGAAUUUUAAUAAUAUUAGUGCCAAUGUUAAUAAUGAUAAUGAAAACAACACGGGAAUAGAUGGUAACAAUGUUGAUAUUGCUAUGAACUUUGAAGUGGUGGGUGUUAACUUCCAUGGGGCAGACAGUAGCAAUACCAAAAGGGCUGGUAAGAAGAAUUCAAAAGGUUGGGCAGAAGGAAAUGCUAGACAAAAUACUAUAACUAGCAAAAGGUUGGGUAAAAGAAAGGAAUUCGAAAAUGUUUUGAAUGGUGUUGAUGCAGGGAUCCAGGAUGAAGUGGAAACUGAUGAUGAGCUAUAUGUUUAUAGUGACAAUGAUGAGAUGAGUGUUGACUUAGAUGAUGAACUAUUUAGUACAUUUGUACAAGAGGGAUUGGAAAAUGAGUUAGAUUCUGGUGGAGACUUGUCUAAUUAUGAGUCCAAUGAUGAAGUUGAAGCUGAAAAUGAGUCCGACAGUGACUUGGAGGAUGAUUUAAUGGGUGCAUGCCUAAAUAUUGCUGAGUUUUCCAUGCCUGAGGGAGAGAAAUUUAGGCUCUUAAAGGGAAUGAUAUUUGCAAAUGUUGAUACUUUUAGAAGGGUGCUAUAUGAAUAUAAAAUUCAGUGGGAUUUUCCUCUAAUUUUUGAUAAAAAUGAAAAGUCUAGAGUUACGGCGCAUUGUGGCAAUCAAGGUUGUGAUUGGAGAGUACAUGCUUCUCCAGCACCUGAUAAGAUGACAUAUAUGGUAAAAACAUGCACACCUGAUCAUACUUGUGUCAUGAGUGAAAAAAUUGUUGCUUCUGCCAAGUGGAUUGCAAGAAAAAUAAUUGACCUAUUGAGGGCAGAUUCCACUGUUAAACCUGAGCUAUUAAGGCAUGAAUUGGCUAAGUAUGGUGUUUUUCCUACUGAUAUGCAGCUUUAUAGAGCAAAGCAAAAGGCACAGGACAUUAUUGAUGGUAGCCAUGGUGAUAGCUAUAGCUUGCUGCCAAAGUAUUGUGUCAUGAUUAUGAAUACAAAUCCUGGUAGUAUAGCUAAGAUUCAAUUUGAAAUGACUUUGGGAUCAGCUGUUCCUUCAGUUAAAAGAAUGUUUGUGGGGUUAGAUGCACUAAAGAAAGGAUUUUUUGGUGGCUGCCUUCCUUUCAUAGGAUUUGAUGGAUGUCACUUGAAAGGGCCGUAUGGAGGGGUUUUACUUUCUGCAAUUGGUCUAGAUGGAAAUAAUGGAUUGUAUCCUAUUGCUUAUGCCAUUGUUGAGAGUGAGAAUGAAGAAAGCUGGAUGUUUUUCUUUGAAUGGUUAGCUGCAAUGCUUGAUGACUUUCCAAGGGAUAGGCCUUGGACUUUCAUGACUGAUAGGCAAAAGGUAAGAUCUUAACAACUCAUUCAAUUAAUCAAUCACUGAUUUUGGGAUUUUAACACAUGUAUUUUUUGACGUUUGUAGGGACUGAUUGAAGCCAUUAACUCUAAGGUACCAUGGGCAGUGAACAGAAAGUGUUGCAGGCAUAUAUAUAGCAAUUUUAGAGGCCGUUUUCCAGGAGUUAUGCUUAGGCAAUUAUUUUGGCAAGCUUCCAGGGCUUACACUGAAGUAAACUUUAAGGAGGCUAUGGCCAAAAUUAAGGAUUUAAAACCUGCAGCCCACGAGUGGCUGGAGAAAAUUCCUUAUCACCUGUGGUCUAGGCAUGCUUUCCCCACAGAUUUGAAGAAUGAUCACAUCACAAACAACAUUGCUGAAUCUUUCAAUCAUUGGAUAGGAGAUCUAAGGGGUAAGAAUGUGUUAACAUUGCUGGACAAUAUUCGAUCUAAGUUGAUGAGUAGGCUGCUAAAAAGAUUUGAAAAAGGCUGUCUUUAUAAGAAUAAUGUGGUUUCAAAUGUGAAAAACAGACUUAAUGUACUUGCUAAUGAAUGUAGAAAGUGCACUAUACUGCUUGCAAGUGGUAACGAAUUCCAAGUGAAGGAUUGUAAUGUUUCUUACAUUGUGAACAUCAAUGAGAGAACAUGUGAUUGCAAGGUAUGGAACUUGUCUGGAAUACCAUGCAAGCAUGCAACAGCUGUUCUUAUUAACAAGAGAGCAGAUUUGGAAAAUUAUUGUGAUUUUAGCAAGACAAAAGAAUUUUACAUCAGAGCAUACAAUGAAGUCAUUCAUCCAAUCUCAGAUGUAAAGUUUUGGCCACCUAUUGAAGUGAAUCCAUCAAAAGUACUACCACCAGUACUUAGAAGAAAAGCUGGCAGGCCAAGAAAGGCCCGGAGAAGGGAGCAAGGAGAAGCACCAGCUGUAGGCCAAGGAAAAAGAUCAUCCACGCUGAAGUGUAGUUUGUGUCAACAAUUUGGGCACAAUAAAAGAGCUUGUGAAGGUGGUCCAAAGAGGGAUAGAAAAGGCAAUUUCAAGAGAAGAAAGGUGGAGUGCACUAUUCAAACUCUUACAUUCUUACGUACCAUGGACUGUAAUCUUAAGCAUUUUCUAACCUUGUUUUCAUUCUUACUGAAGUUACUUGGUCAGACCAGUGGAAUGGAACCUCGUGUAUCUACUGGAACUAGCAGACCAACAUCUACUUAUUGUCCCACACAAGAAUCAGUUACUCUACCUGCUGGAAGUACACAACCUCCCAUUGAAGUCUCUCAGGUGACUUCUAAUGUCAUGUACUCAAAUUCUCAUAUUUGUAGAUUUUGCUAACUAUAAACAUGCAUGAAAUUGUAGGGAGAAAGCAAUACUAGACAUGUUGCUUUAUCUCAAACACCUGAAGAAAUGUUUGGGAGUUCAAGAGCUUCAAAUCUACUGGGCAAAAAUCUUGCUGCUAUGGUCAUUGGAAGAAGAUCAGUUGCUGGCAACAACAAUGGAGGGUCAAUAUCAGGAUCUAUUCCUACUUCAGCACAACCAGGGCCUACAUCAACAUUGCCAGCAACUUCUGAAAAAAAUUCUCAAUCUAAAUAUGCAAUGUUCUAGCCUUCAGGCUUUGUUUAUAUAUGCUUUUUGUUGACAUGGUUGCAAAUGAAGAUAAUUAGGAUUCUCAGUCUAUUGUGCUUGUACUUAUUAGACUUUAUGGCCAUGUUAUGGUCUUGUUGUUCUGUUGACGGUUCAUAGCACAUAUGUGGUGCUGAUACUGAUAAAACUCUGUGACCAGUGUAUGGUCUUUUUGUUCUUUUGAUGAUUCAUAGCACAAUGGAACUAAGUUUUGCUUGUUUCUCUGUUUGUUUUCACUAGCUCUUUUCAAGUGCUUGGUAUGAGAUAUUUUAGAUUUUAUGCAAACUGUUGAGUGCAGCUGAGUGGUCACAUAUUGCAUGAUUUUCCAGCCAGGGUUAUGCGGAAGAGACUCAGGUUAUUUUGCUGAAAUGGAGUACGGUACGCCUAAUUGUGUUCUUGAUAUAGGCACACAGUACGCCUCUUCAGGAUCCUGAGUUGCGGCUUGAUGAAAAGAAGCUGAUUCUCAGCAAUAGCGUAUGCAAGGAGCCUGUUAAAUCUAUACCUUGGAGAUUAAUUUUGUCAAAAUCUCCUGUGUGGGCCCUUAUAAUUUCUCACUUCUGUCACAAUUGGGGAACAUUUAUUCUUCUAACAUGGAUGCCUACAUAUUAUCACCAGGUGCAGCCUCAUUCAUUUGUGGCCUCCUCAACUAUAGCUUCUAGAGCUUUAAGGACUUCUUCUAAGUUUACCAUGAUAUAGUUCUCUACGAGUUUGAUUUCUCACCUGACCUCUAGAUUUGUAAGCUUAAGCUUUUGAUGGUUAGUAUAAUAUGACAUUUUCUCUAAACAAGAAAAAACUGAAAGGAUAGUAAAUUGGCAGCUCUGCAUUCUAGACGAUUUGCUUGUUAAAUCCUGAAAUUAGUAAAAGUUUAUGCAGUUCUACCUUCAACCAUUGGUUCCUUUACACUUCCUUUCCCUUGUCUAUUCAAUUCUUCUUCUUCUUCUUCUUCUUUUUAAUUAUUUUCAUACUCCUUGUUUGUACUAUUUUUUGAACUAUGAAAACAUGCAUAGCCUAACAUGUUAAAAGUAUAAUGAUAUCUUCACGCGUCACUUGGAAAUGAUGCUGAUGCUCCUAGUAUCGGUUUCUUUUGUCAUUGUUUUCUUGAAAUAAUUUUGGAUUUCAUAUUACUGCUCACAGUAAGUCUAGAAUUCUCUUCUAGAUAAUGAAGUUCACGAUACUCACCAAUUUUCAUGUUAAUAACAGCUUAAUAAACCAUAUGAUCGUACUGACUGGAAAUGAUAUUGUUUUCUUAAUUCUGUUACAGGUGUUGAAGUUUAAUCUUACUGAAUCUGGAAUGUGUUCGGUCUUGCCUUGGCUUACCAUGGCCUUCUCGGCAAACGUUGGUGGGUGGAUUGCUGAUUCUUUGGUGAGCAAAGGUGUAUCUGUCACCAUUGUUAGAAAGGUGAAGUAUUAUGCAUGUAGUUGAACUGACUAAUGUUUAUGGUUAACUCAUUGUGAUUUAUUACGUUGGUUUUGGCAUACUUUGUGCUGGUGAUGACGAAUUGUAAAUUGUCAACACAAUCACAUAGUGUGCAAAGUCUAAAUUGUGAAGAUAUGUACAUGCUGGACCACUUAUUUUAGCUACAUCCACUGAGGCUGGUUAUGAUAGGUCCAAUCUUUUUCAAAGUUGCUUUGGCCUUCCUGUGGCAUUUGCACUUGAGUGCAGCUAGAUUAGUCUCUUUUAGUUGUAAGUUCAGUGGCUGAACUAAUUUAAUGUUUUGAGAUCUUCGUGCAGAUAAUGCAGACGAUUGGAUUUCUUGGCCCUGCAUUUUUCCUGACUCAGUUAAACCAUGUUGAUUCUCCUGCAAUGGCAGUUUUGUGUAUGGCCUGCAGUCAGGUCUGUGAAUACCAUACAAUGAAUCAAACAUUAAUUAUUAUCUAUCUUUUUACAUUGGAGGACUUGGGAUUCGAUCCUUCUUCCGAAACCAAGUUCGGUUUGAAGAAUUUGUGGAUUUCAGUCCUUAAGCUAAUUGUCCAAAUAUGUUUUGGCAGUGGUAACAGCUGAGACAGGGCUUCUGGAAAAAUUGACAUUCUUGCAAACCAGAGGAGAUGUAUUGAGACGUUGCACCGAGUCAAUAGUUGUGAACGGUUUAGGACUUGGAUUGGCCCUUCUGAGUGGUAUUGUAAUAUUAACAGCAGUUUUACCAAAGCAUGAAGCUCCACACUUUAAGAUGAUGUACACAAACAACAAAUGCUUGUCUUCUCAGUAACAAUUAUCCAAGUUUUUGUUAUGAAUAAUUAUUUUAAUUGUUUGCAUGAAAUGAAGUAGACUAUAAACAACUCGAAACAACCAAACGUUAUACCACUGAAAUAACACUAGAGGUUCCAUUUCAUCCAAGAACAUUUACAACAAAUCUUUGUAGCAUUUUAAACUAGACACAAAAGACAUUUCCAUCAGCUAACACAUAUGAGCCGUGAAAAUCUAGAAAGCCAGUGCCACUUUUUUCAACUUCUUAACAUGUUUAUAAGUUGGGCAAACAAGUAUGCAGCCAACAAGACAAGAUUUAUUGCUACCAAUAUCUUAAUAUGCCCAAGCCAGCUCCAAAUAGAACAGAGCACCGUAUUUGCAUCAUUUCUUUGGAUCAUAUGACUUGCUGCACCAACGUCUCCAUCUACAUUUCUCCUCAGCCAUGGAUUAUAGUUUACUUCAGUAAAUUCAGAUCUUGCACCUUGCAUAAAUCUUGGGUUAUAGUUCACCUCAUUCUCUACAACAUAAUUUGGCAAAACCCACUUCAACCAUCCAUGCACACUACAAUUAUAAUAAAGCCUUCCGGGGUUCUUUUGUGUUCGAGAUACCAUAAUUGAAGCUAUUUGACCACAACCACAUCUUAUGCUCUCAAAGCUCAAAUUUUCAAUAUUUGAGCUAUUGCUUGAUGAAGCCAUUCCUACAAAAUAAAAGUCAUAUUAUAAAAGUAAAAACAUUAACAGCAACCAAACUCAAUUAGAGUAGGCAUUAAAGUAACAAAAAAUAUAAUUCCUGCAAAAUGUAAUUAACCCUCAUAAGAUUUACUAAAAGCUAAUCAAUUAGGCUUAUUGCUAACAACUACAAAAAUAUUACUCGUUGUUUUUACUUUGCAAAUUAUUUUUAAAUUAAACUCUUCAAUUUCAUCUUAUUAACAGACCAUAAAUCGUAUAAUUUUAUAAACCCCAAACCUUGAGAUAUCCUAAAUGUGGCCACGGAAUAACAAAAUACCAACAAAAGCAAAUAAAUUACACAUAAAUGAAAAUUAAUCUAAGAAUGAUAAUGUCAUAAUUAAAGAACCCUUAAAUUCCGUCUUAAUUAGAGGCAACUCCAUAAAUUCUUAAAUCCCAAACCCUAAACAAUAACUCUUUCAAUAUUAACUCAUCUUAACUCACCAUUACAUUAUGAUUCGGAACCAGCACAUGCUUACCUGAUGUAGCGGCAAGUUGAUUUUUACGUAAGUAGCUUGAUUCUCUCCAAGUUUUGUUGCUGUUGUUCUCUUGAAGUUUUUGCUCGUUAAACUUGGGGAAAAUGGGCCCUCUUUUUGUCCAGAUAAAGGUAGGCAAUGGGGAUGUGUUUUUCUUCUCAAGUCAAACGUGAUUGGGAUGUAAAUUAUAUAUUUUUAAUGAAAAGGGUAUUUUCGGAACUAUAAUUAAUCUUCAUUACAGCUGGAUACAAUAAAUGGCAAUUUCGUCAUUCCAAGUUUUCUUUUUCCUGAUGUCAAGUACAAUGACUAACGUCUCUUAACAGUAGGGGGGUGAUUGUUAAAUGUCUGGUUAUUCAAAGGGGUGGACUGUUAUUUGGUCAAAUCUCAGGGAUCGAUUCGUUAUUUGGUCAAACCUCAAGGGAGGUAAAUGUAAUUAACCCAUAUAUAUAUUUGAAUUCUCGCAAAUCAGUGGCCCUCCAUUUGAAUUUCCGUUGCAGUUAUGAUAAAAAUCAUCAUGCAUGCAUGCCUGUCAAGUGUCAUGUUGGUGAUGUCCAAUCCAUUAUCCAGCCAAGCCAUACAUAGGAGCAUUUUGUUAUAAGUAGUAGUAGUAGUAUUUGCCUGCCAUUUGGCACCAGUUCUCUCUUUUUUUUUUUUUUUUGGUUUAUCAAUCAAUCAAAAUUCAAAAGAAGCAAAGGGUUGGUGUCCGUACGAUCCAAUUAGCUACUGAACUCUCGGCUUUUGUUUUCUUGUGGGUAUAAAUUCUGAGCCUCAGAUGGAUGAGUUGUGCAUUGAUUGAUCUCAACAAACCCCCCCAAAGACUAACAACAACACGUUUGGAUUGGAGGUUUAAAUUCGUGGGGUACGUUGCAUUGCAUAUUUGCAUUGCAUUGCAUUGAUUGGGCAGUUUCUUUUGGGUGGAUUAAGGACAUAAUAAUAAUGUUGGAUUCAGCAAAUGCAUGUGAAUUGUGAUCCACAAUUACAAAAAAGUUGGUUGCUUGCACCUUCUUUGCAUGAAAAUCCACCGAAAAUGGUCAUAACUCAAUAUUCACACACACACACACACACACACAUAUAUUCACCCAUCAAUUACUCGAUUCAAAAUUUUUUCUCUCUCUCCUGAAAGUCGUAGUGAUUUGUCCCGCAAUAAUUUGUCUCUAAACCAUUUAAUAAAUCGCAAUUUAUCUUAGUACCAGUAGUCUUUUUUGAAGCAAAAGUCUUGCGUGGCCACUGACAGUAAGAAUUACUAAUUUGAUUACUCGCGUGGCCCCCAAAAGCAAUGAUUUUUUCCUUUCUCCGUUUUACUAGUUUGAUGAACGCUGUACUGGAUGACUGACUGUUAGUAGUGGCAUUUGCUACUUCUGGACACAUUUUUUAUUUCUCAUAAAAAAAAAAAAGCUUGCACCCGCUGGUUUGCCCGAGAGGUUAAGGGGGAAGACUUAAGAUCUUCUGCACAUAAGUGCGCAUGGGUUCGAACCCCAUAGCCAGCAAAUUCAUUUUUGAUUUAUAUUUCAGCCCUCAAUUUCCAAAAUAGCAAAAUUCUCCAAAAUCAUUUUUUGACGUAUCUCUCAACCUUCAAUUUCCAACAUGGAAUUCUCAUGCAAACUCAAAUAGGGAACCCUCUGUCUAGGCCAUAAUUUUACAACAUUUUGGAAAAACACUCUUCUUCAGGAAGUUGCAUCUUCUUCGACUUAAAUUCAUAUAGUGAUGGAUGGGUUCAGGGUUGUCUACUGGACACUUGUUAGAGAAAUCAUAUGAUGAUCAUUCCAUCAAUCAUAUUGAAUAAUAAUGCAAGAAGCUAAAGUAAUUAGGAUUUACUCUCAAACCCCCUUACACGAAAAAAGGGGAAAAAAUAUAGGUUUGUUUCCAACAUUAUGCUUCCUCAUUAUUCUAAUAGAGGAGGCCAAAUUGCAAAAGUACCCAAUCCCAUAGAACCUUUUUUUUUUUUUGGUCGAAUGGGAGGGUUUAAAGUCAAAAUCUCCUAUAAUCCCUUGCUCUUUACCAUCCAACCCAACUCUUUUCCUGAAACUCGGUUAUAAUAUUGCUAUCCAAACACAGGCAAAAAUAAUUUUUUUUUUCCAUGUUAAACUAGUAAGACCAACUUUUGUUAUGCUGCUUACGAAUCAUCGCAAUUCUGAAGGUAUUUAACUUGCAUUGACAGAAACCAAUUGUCACCCAAAAUUUCCACAGAAUGGCCGGCCCGUGUCAUAUUAGCCAUUGCCUUUCCAUGAAUUGCAGCCCAUCUCUCUUCCGAGUGGGCCUAAUAGACGGUGUGCGUGCGUGGAGCCCAACUCUGUCGCCAGAUCCAAUCCUCCUCGAGCCCUCUUUCUUUAAAAAAACGAGUCCGCUUCGAUUUAAGAAUCCGGGUCCCCAUUUUAUUCGUACCAUUCUAAUGCUUUAAAUUAGCGCUGGAGUUUUGAGCAAGAAAACUUGAAUAUAUUCGCAGUUGCACGGUGAAUUGCCAAAUUUUUAUCCCGCAAUUAUCUGCUCUCUGCAACAAAGAGGUAAGGAAAACGUAAAUCUUGCUCUCCCUACUGUCAUUGAUCGCAAUUAACUUUACGAUUGGGCUGAUUUCUUUAUCCAAUUCAUGAGAAAUUUUUAGUUUAGGUAAUUUCUGUACUUUUAGCCGAAUAAAGAUGGACAAAGAGAGAAAUCAAAGUUUGUUUAUCUUUGAUUUUCUGUUUGAUUGCUCAAAAAGAAAUUUUUUUGGUCGAAGGUGACAAUGAUGAAGAUUGACUUCAGUGGACUUGAGCCGAAUUCUUUGUUGAGGGGAAACCCUAAUGAAUUGCUGAGCGGGCUUUCGACUGCCCCAGAAUUUCAGAUUCCUAAUACUAAUGAUGUAAGCCUUUUUAAUAAGUAUCUUUUGCUCUUUUGUUGUUGGGUUUUUCUUAUUUUUAAUUUAACAAAAUCUGGUUGGAUGUUGUGUCUAGUUUGAUGGGUUUCAGAAAGAAUCGGUUCAAAUGGUUAAGCCAGCAAAGGGAACGACGACUUUGGCUUUCAUUUUCAAAGAAGGUGUUAUAGUAGCUGCUGACUCGCGUGCUAGCAUGGGCGGUUAUAUAUGUAAGUAUCUGGAUGUUUUGAUUGAGCUGAUGUUCUUGUGUUAAAUGAGGUUGUAAGGUAUAAUUUGUGGUUGAAUUCUAUUAUCCUUAGAGGGUGAUUUUGAAAAUUUACUGAUACUGGUUGGUGCUGAUCGCUAUAUUGUGAUUGGUGAUUGUAUGCAACAAUAUUGGCUGUUUAAUAGUUCGACAUGUUCGUUUUAGAGUUCUGUUAAGAAAAUACGUUAGGAUGUUUUAUUGUUUGCUGUUUAAUAGUUUUGAGGUUGAGGCUUUUUUUUUUGGCUUCAUAACGGCUUUAUCUAGGCUGUAGCAAAGCAUGGAAAAUGUUUGAGUUUGAAAUCUGUAAUUUUCCUCGGAUCUAUGACUCCCGAGACUUAUGUCAUUAGCUAUCUGAAUGCCUUAAAAAGCAAUAUUUUGUCGUAACAGUACCAUCUUAUGAUAUUGGUUUUUAGGACAAAUCAAAUUUGACCAUCCUAAAACUUCAUUUGGUUGUGAGGCUUCUACAUUUCUUAAUUCUGCUAACCAUCCAUCAGCGUUUACCAAGUUGCAUGUGAAAGGAGCGAUUUUGCUGAUGUAGUUUUCUGCUAAGGUCAUUAGAAAGAUGUAUCUUGUAAUUUGAGUGCAGUAAACUGGUAGACUAAACAACCUGCAGGUUGAAACUGCCUUGCGAGCAUCCUUAUGGUCAUUUGUAAAGCUCCUCUAGCAUCGUCUCAUGUUGUGGAUAAACAUAUAUGAGAAGUGUAACUUGAAUGAGGUGUGCAGUUGUAUAAAUUAAGGUGAUCCAACAAUGUAAUUAUAGUUCAUUUUAUGCUCUCUCUCUCUCUCUCUUACUUAGUUGAGCGUGUACCUUUCUUUUGAAACUUAGCACUAUAACAAGGCUUUGCACUUAAGAACUUGCUCAUAGAUAUCAGAAUUCUUACAGAGUGUAUGAUUUCCUCAUCCUAGCUAGUCAAUAACUGUGGGCGUAUGAAGCAACAUGCCCCUGUGGAAUGAUCAACAGAGUUGCAGAUAGUGCAGAUCCUUGGGUUGGUCACUGUUUGUCGUACCUUGGGCUAGGCUAGUUCUGGAUGUAUGCUCUUGAUACCUUUAGCUAGGGUGAAUGCAUUGAAUGUUGGAUGUACUCUUUUGUUGCUAGCAUGUCUCUGUUGUUAGCAUGUCUCUGUUGUGAUCUUCUGCAUUAGGGGCCCAUAUUGGAGAACCCAAGCGCAAUUGCCCUUGUAGUAGCGCUGCUUGCCCUGGUUAGCAUAGUUUGGUACCCAUUUGAAUGGCUGAUAUGUGUCAUAUUUGGAUGUCACUUUUACCCAGAUUCUUAUAUGUUGUGAUGGACCUAUAUACCCCACCAUUUCUUAAUUAAUGUGAUGGACCGUAUACUUUUGAAAUGUAAACAUAGCUUUCUCCUGAAGCUAUUUCUGAUGAUGUUCAUUUUUUGACAAAUGAAAAUUUUGCCAUAACUAAACUUUGUCCACUGCAUUCUGAAAAUCUACAACUGUUGUAUUAAAGAUUGGAAAAGCUUGGCAAAAGAAGAUGUUGCUUGUCAUUAAACUUAGUUUUUGUCAUACUUUUACCGAGCUCUUCAAUUUGCUUAUCAUGCAAAAUGAUAAAUAUGCCAUGAAAACUAAGCCACAGUGUUGAUCCUGCAGCUUAAUAUCCUUUGGUGAUUUUUAAAGAAUAAAAUUUGUAUUAGCUAUUAACCCUGUUUUAACUCACAGCAUCACAAUCUGUGAAGAAAAUCAUUGAAAUUAAUCCCUACAUGCUGGGCACAAUGGCUGGAGGUGCUGCUGACUGCCAGUUUUGGCACAGAAAUUUGGGAAUAAAGGUACUUUUACUAUGCAGAACCCUCUCUUAGUGAUACUAUUAUGUCUAGAGAGCAAGCGCUAUGUUGUGUCCUCCUUUUUUCUGUUGGAUCCAUGCUGCUCAAUGAUGUUAAAGUACAUGGAUAGUGGUUAUUCUUUUUUUUUUUCUUUAGUAGUAUUUCAAGUAAUAGUUGUAAUCAAAAUCUGGGUUAAUAUAGCUCUCUAGAAUUAUUGAGCAUUCCCUAAUCUGUUUGCUUGAUUUAGUAUUCAGGUAGAAUCAGGUGAUUAGGGACACUUAAAAGUUGGGAUGAACGUUGGUCAUCAUGCUUGUUAACUGCCUCUGGACUUUACAUGUUCCAUGCAUUAGAUUAUAUAUAAAUGACCAUAUCAAAAUUUAGGAGUUGGGGAAACAAUAAAUGAAUGGAAUCAUGUUUACAGGGACAGAAUAAGUCAUGAAAUUUUCCUCUAGAUUAUAAAUUUUCUGCAAGAUGGGUGCUAAAUAUAGAAAAAUUGGACGAUUAACAGGCAAAGAUCUUAUCUCGCUUCAGAAUUAGUCAAGUAACGGUUCCUUUCUGCUAACUUUGCAACAUUUCAUCAAUGUAAUGUUUCGGGUCUGUCAUUACACAUUUUUCUUUGGAAGUUGGUUUGCAUGUGCCUAUUAAGCCCAUCUGGAAAAGCAGAAAGCCUAGUAAAAAGUUAGUUACUUGUACAUAAUGCAUUAUCUGGCUAUGGGAAGAAAAUUGAUCGGUAGUCUUGCAUAUUUCAGUGCCGCCUACAUGAACUCGCAAACAAGAGAAGAAUUUCUGUUACGGGGGCGUCAAAGUUGCUAGCCAACAUACUGUACUCUUAUCGUGGAAUGGGGUUGUCUGUCGGAACAAUGAUUGCUGGGUGGGAUGAAAAGGUACUGCUGGUUUUCUGCAGGGAUUUAUCAUGUAUUUUGUAUGCAGAUAUAGCAUCAACUCUAUGUUCUGACUGAGCAUUCUUUAUGCGUUUCGUUAGGGUCCUGGCCUAUACUACGUGGACAGUGAAGGGGGACGGCUUAACGGAAACAGAUUCUCUGUCGGAUCUGGUUCACCAUAUGCUUAUGGUGUUCUUGAUAGUGGGUACGUUCUUUAUAUAUUUUUCUGCUCCAUUCAAUCUUAGCAAUUCUUUGUUGUUUCAGUGGGUCGGAAGUGAAGGCUGGGGUCUGCUUGCAUCAUUCUUUAAAAUGCUUGCCUUUUUCGGGAGUUUCUAAUUAAAUAAAGCACGGGUGGUUGCUAAUUUUCCUGAAACUUCUUUUCUCUUGGUCACUUAUCUAGGUACCGCUUUGAUAUGUCCGUAGAAGAGGCUGCAGAGUUGGCCAGGCGUGCGAUUUACCAUGCUACAUUCCGGGAUGGUGCCAGUGGUGGUGUUGUCAGUGGUAUGCUUCCUCUCUCCUCUGCUUGUAAUCCGAUUCUAUACCUGAAAAUUUGUCGGUCUGUUCUAGUCUUAAGCAUGUUUUUUCUGUUGCUUUGUCUUUCUGGUUUUCAGUUUAUCAUGUGGGACCUGAUGGGUGGAAGAAGCUCUCUGGCGACGAUGUUGGGGAACUUCAUUAUGCAUAUUAUCCAGUUGAGCCAACAGUUGAACAUGAAAUGGCAGAGGCAUCAUCUUCUUGAGAUACUACGAUAUUUGGGGCGGUGGAUUUUACCUUCAUAUAUGUUCACAAUUUGUACUUUGAUAUUAAUCUUGCAAACAGUUCCCAGGAGACCUCCUUUAUGGUUUUCUAGUUUCUUCGGACUGUAGGAUUCGAGAAUGCUACAUUUAUUUUUCCAGAUUUUGCUUCUUGCUGGUUCUGCUUUUGGUCAAUGUAGAUUAUUCGACAAUCAUUAACAGUUUGUUUGGUAGUUGGAUUUAUGACUUAACCAUCAGUACCUUACGAUUUGGUUGCAGUCUCUGGCUGCUAGAUGCCGGAUAUGGUUUGUUUCAGCAGUUGUACUUGAUGACAGAUCUAAGAAGAUAGGCGGGGAAUUGAGUCCCGCGUGGCGGUUUGUGAAUUUGCAGUGUCCUGGAAAGAAAAAUGUGCAACAACAAUAAAAGAGAUUUGAGCUGUGUUGUCAGAGUUGUGGGAUAUUCAAUUUGACACCAUUCUCAGCUAUGGAGGGAGGAAAGUGAAAAGAGGUGGUGGAGCAAGCCGUCAGAGUUUAGUAAAUUACGAGAUCGGAGGCUGUGUCAUUUGAACUGAUAGAACCCAAUAGUUGAACUUGACCGUUUCCGUUGGAGGCUUUUGAUAUUAUAUAUAUGUCUACUAUAGGAAACGAGGAAGGAAAGGAAAAGAAAGAGAUAUUUCGUUUUAUAUUGCACGCGAUGGGAUGCAGCAAGGGGAGGAGUUGGGAAUGUUGUUUACAAUAAUUAGUCGUACAUGUCUUUUGCUUGAAGCACCAGUCCCGUCCGAAAACCUUCCUCGUUUUCUUCAGGGUAAGGGUAAGACCAAGACCAAGACCAAGACCAAGACCAAGACCGACCUCAUACAAAAAAAAAUAAAUAAAUAAAAAGAAGAAGAAGACGAGGAUGUGGACUUGGCUUUUUAGGGAUAUGGCACAGGGAUUACUGUCGGAUCCCGAAAAAAGUAGAAUUUAGAUGGGUAGUGCUUCCGUGAACUUUGCUUCCUAGACAAUUUUAUGGAGUGUUUGACUAAGUAAAAUUUGGGUAAUGUGUGAGGGGUGGGGCCUGCAGAGACUGCUGAACAACUUCAAACAAGAAGUAGUAGCAGAUGGAUGAUUCGUAGGUGGAGUGGGUUUAGAAAUCCCUUCACUGCAAAGCAUCUCAUCUUUUAUCUUUUAUAUGUGUGUGUGUGUGUGUGUGUGUGUUUUUUUUUGGAGGGGGGGUUCAAAAAGCAUCUUGAGUUGGUGCUUCCUUUCAUCCUAUUAUGAUUUUGUCUCCCAAAAGUAUUUUCUGUCAUUUGCGGCUUAGCAAAGUUGCGGCCCUGAAAAGCACACAGCCGCCCUGCCACUGCUAUAAAUAAUCAUCAAUCUGUUAACUUAAGUUGAUGCUUAUGAUAAAUUAAGGGAUAAUCCACUUACUUCCCCCUUAUAUCAAACCAACCGUCACUUUCUCGGACGGGAAAAACAACCGACGAGUUUAGAAGCUAUAGUAUAAUAGUUCCUGUCCGAAUGAAACAUUUGAUCCACAAAAAAGAAAAAAAAAAAAAAAAGGGGAUUGGAUAUGCAGCAGCAUGUUGUUGUAGUACAUGUAAUACAUGAAUCUGUCGUCUGCUUAGAAAAUCCAAUCAGCUCUCCGCAAAUGUGGAGUUGAUGGCGUCAAUCAGCAGCACAAUGGAUGAACUUCAUGAAACCAACCAGGUGCAGGUGCAGGUUCAGGUUCAGGUUCAGUAAUCGAUCGUCUAGGGUGACGACUCACGGACCAAUCAUCAUUAUUAUUAUUAAUCAACCGAUUCCGUUCUCUCUCUCUUUUUUUUUUUUUUUUUUUUUCCUUCCAACAAAUGUGGGUCCGAUGAUAGCUUCAGCUAAUAUAUAUAUAUAUAUAUAUAAAUAUAUAUAUUUUUUAUAUAAUUUUAUAAAUCUGUGCCUGAAAUCAAUUGUCCGAUUGGAGGCGCAGCAGCAUUAGCAUCACGUGCAGAUCAGCAGACGGGAGGUACAGGUACUACCCUUGAGUGAUGUACUGCUGCUGUCUGGAGAAAUGUACGCAGAGAAGAAACAAACGACGUAGGGAGCUGGGAUUUAAAACAUUAUUAUUAUUAAUUGGUUUGUGUUUUGUUAGCUUCUAAGCAUGUUCUCAUGAUUGAGAGGAAGAUGUAUACAUAAUAAUAAUGGAUAAUCAAUCAUGAAUAUCUCCACCAAAGCCAAUUUGUAUCCGCGUAAUAAUAAAUAAUAAUCAUCAUAGAGUGAUGCAUUUGUUACUCGUACUCGUCAUGGAGAAUCAAGCAGUAGUAGCAGCAUUAAUCAACAAAGUAAUACUCUAAUAUUUGAAUUUUAAAUUUUCAAAUUUCAGUUUCACCGCGCUUUAAAAAAACACGUGAAUUUUAGCUAACGUCAUUAAGCUUAGGUUGAAGUAAAAACCUAUUUAUUUAAUGAUGGAUCAUCGUUUCCUUUAAUGCCAUGGAAUAUCAGCAUUAUUGUUGCUUUAUGCCAGUUUUGAUUGAUUUGUCAAGCUACUGCAUUCAACCACAAUAAUACUCCCUCCGUCCCAUUUUGAUAGUCCUGUUUCUUUUUUCACACAGUUUAAGAAAAAGUAGUUAACUUUGUUGGAAAAGUAAAUUUAGAUUGCUAUUUCCUAAAAUGCCCUCACAUUAAAUAUGGGUACAAUUUCAUGGGAACUUGAAUUGAUGGUAAAAAGAAGAAUCAACUCUCGUUAAAUAGGAUAGGUUUAUAAUAUAUUGUAUCUACACGUACCGGUAACAUUUUCCUUGAAUACAUUUGUUAAACAUAUAGAGUAUAUAUCUGUCGUAUGUAUCGGUGUAUAUACAGUAGUUUUACUCAUAUUAUUAUUAGCACGGUAAACACACACGUCGCUAUGACUCAGUUUGACCAAAUUGUAUGAACUGAAACACAGGGGGGUUUAAAAAAAAAAAAAAAGGAACAAACCGCUAGGGGGUUAUACUUAUAUUACACACGAUGGUAAGACUUUCGCUUGAAGUUUUAGGAGUUAUUUUGUGGGUAAAAGUCAAUGUCCCAAUCCCAACAAAGAAGACAUCCACAUGAAAUGAGAGUAGAUUGCAUCGCCAUCAUUAUUUUGUUUCUUUAUUACAGUAGUAUUUACUAAGCUCCCCACCUCCAGUAUACAGCUUUUCCCCAUCAUAAAAAAAAAAAAAAAGCCAUCUUGCUUUCCUUCUACUACUCCCUCUAUCUCUUGGCGGGAGCUGGACCCACCAAUCAAAACCCCUCCUCUCCCCCCCGCCCUCUACUCUCUUCCUUUUACUCUCUCUCUCUCACUCAUAAAUACCUCAACUACUUCCCCCACCCCCCCACGCCUCCUCUCUCAUUUCCCACCACCGCCACGGCCCACCUACUCCUCCCUCUACAGUGCUACUAAAGCAUUCCCAACCCCGAAGAACAAAAGAGUUAAACAAGAAAACAAAAAAGAAAGGGAGCAGCAUUUUGCUUGAACUUAAUUGCAUUUGUACAACUCUGCCAUGCUUUGGUCUGACAGUUAAAAGUUAAACAUAAGUCCUACCUCGAAAACAGAGAAGAUUUCACAAUGCCGGUUUUGAGAAUUUUUUUAUUAAUUGUGAUUUCUGUUGUAUUUCAUGUCGUCUUACAACUUAAGCGGGCGAAUUCUCUAACCGCCGAUGGGCUUUCCCUCUUGUCCCUCAAGUCCGCCAUCGACGGCGGCGGUUCCGCAUUAACUGACUGGAACGAGGACGACGCCACGCCAUGUCACUGGACUGGAAUUUCGUGUAUGAACAUUUCCGGCUCCAAUGAUCCUCGUGUCGUCGGAAUCACCGUCUCCGGCAAGAAUCUCCGUGGCUACAUUCCCUCCGAGCUCGGCACGCUUAUUUAUCUCCGUCGCCUUAAUCUUCACGGCAACAACUUCUACGGUUCCAUCCCUGACCAGCUCUUCAACGCCUCCUCGCUCCACAGCUUGUUUCUUUACGGUAACAACCUCUCCGGGCCGCUGCCUCCCUCGAUUUGCAAUCUCCCUCGUCUCCAGAACCUUGAUCUUUCCAACAAUUCUCUCUCGGAAGCCCUCCCGAAGGAGCUCCGGAGCUGCAGGCAGUUGCAGCGAUUAAUUCUAGCCAGAAAUAGGUUUUCCGGCGACAUUCCGGCGGGGAUCUUCCCGGAGCUCGCUAACUUAGAGCAGCUUGAUCUCUCAUCCAACUCAUUCACCGGUUCGAUCCCGGAAGACAUUGGAGAAUUGAAAUCGUUAACCGGGACCUUGAACCUUUCCUUUAAUCAGUUUACUGGGGACAUCCCCAAGUCUUUGGGUGAUUUACCGCUCACGGUUAGUUUUGAUCUUAGGAAUAAUAAUUUAAGUGGUGGAAUUCCCCAAACGGGGUCGUUUGCUAAUCAGGGUCCGACCGCAUUUCUCAAUAAUCCAAUGUUAUGUGGAUUUCCUCUGCAAAAAACAUGUAGGAACAGUUCAAAUAAUCCUCCAGGGGUCCAGUCGUCUUCACGGGAUAAUGAGGGGGUGGAUUCGCAUAAAGGGCUAAAACCGGGGUUGAUCAUACUGAUCGCAGUGGCCGAUGCCAUAGGAGUGGCAUUUGUAGGACUGGUGAUCGUGUAUUUGUAUUGGAGGAGGAAAGACUCCGGUGGCUGUAGCUGUACCGGGAAAGUGAAGUUUGGUGGGAAUGAGAAGAGGAAGCUGUGUGCUUUCCCUUGUGUAGGUGCAUUUCCGAGUAAUGACUCAGAAAUUCAGUCGGAGAAGGGGGUUGAUGGUGGUGGAAGUGGUGCUAAUGGGAGUGAGGGGGAUCUUGUUGCUAUAGACAAGGGCUUUAAUUUUGAGCUUGAUGAGCUGUUGAGGGCGUCGGCUUACGUGUUGGGAAAGAGUGGGCUGGGGAUAGUGUACAAGGUUGUGCUGGGGAGUGGCGUGCCAGUGGCAGUGAGGAGGCUGGGCGAGGGUGGUGAACAGAGGUACAAGGAAUUUGUGGCGGAGAUUCAGGCUAUUGGAAGGGUGAAGCAUCCAAACAUCGUCAGAUUGAGGGCUUAUUACUGGGCUCCGGACGAGAAGCUUCUUAUCAGCGACUUCAUUUCGAAUGGCAACUUGGCUUCUGCUCUUCAUGGUAUGCUCUCCGACUCUUGCUAUGCUUCAUUUGGCUGCUGCUUGUUGCUUGGAUGGGUUUUUCAUUUGCACGUGUUUUGCUUUAUUUAAAGACAAAUUUAGCUAAAUUGAAUCUGGAAAAUAGAAGAUACGAUUUCAUAAAUGAUUCUACUUGGAAAUUAGGGAACCAACAAUGCUGUAGCUGCUAAAAUUUUUGUCGAGAUUCUCUUCAAAUCGCAAGACGGGAGUAGGGUGUAUAUUGAUUUAAAUGCAUAUGAAUUACUUUGGAACCGUGUUAGAACAGUUGCAAUCUUUCUAAACGAAAAAGAUGAUUCUCUGUGAUUCUCCUUCUGAUGUUGGUCUCGUACUAGAAAAUUGGCCGACUUUCCUGCUAGAUCUUAGAGGAUUUAUUUGGCCUUGCAUUGGCGUGAGCACUGUAGUGGCAAUAAAAUAUUUCAUAAUGGUGAACCUCAUACGUAGUUGAAAACUAGGUGGAGCCAUCAUGCCCUUUUAUGGACCAAAACCAUUGGCGAAGCAGUGGAUCUAGGACGACGUAAUCCAAUGUGGUUCUAGCAAAUUAUCAUUGCAAAACUUUGUAUUAAUUUCAAUAAUCUUGGUGUCAUCUGAAGUGACAUUCUGGCAUAAACUUUAUUAAUGCAUACUUGGCAACUGCUACUAUUGAAUAUUCUGGAUCUUCAGUUCUUUCGAAGUUGUCACCUUCCCUCUUUCCUUUGCUGCUCACUUCUGUCUGCCUAUGGUAAGGUAAGAGAUGAAUCUGACAACAUAAUUUGGGUCAAGAAGAUCUCGUAUUAACAUCUGCAUGUCGCAUCAUAUUAGUUAAGUUGGUUGAUUGUUUGAUUGAAGAUGCGUAACAUGGAUGAUGCAGGGAGAACAGGUCAGGCGUCAUCUAGCUUAUCAUGGGGAACCAGGCUGAAAAUUGCUAAAGGAACAGCGAGGGGCUUAGCGUAUCUUCACGAAUGUAGCCCCAGAAAAUUUGUCCAUGGAGACAUAAAGCCCUCUAAUAUUCUCCUUGACAAUGAUUUUCAAGCUUGCAUUUCUGAUUUCGGCCUGAACCGCCUGAUCAACAUCACGGGCAACAAUCCUUCAUUCUCUGGUGGAUUUAUAGGUGGGGCUCUUCCAUAUUUAAAAUCAGCUCAACCCGAGCGACCCAACAAUUACCAAUCACCGGAAGCUCGGAUCCCUGGCAACCGACCUACCCAAAAGUGGGAUGUCUACUCAUUUGGAGUUGUCUUGCUCGAGUUGCUGACGGGGAAGUCUCCCGAGCUCUCGUCUCCUACGACAUCCACUUCUACGGAGAUCCCAGACCUAGUAAGGUGGGUGAGGAAGGGAUUUGAAGAGGAAAACCCACUAUCAGACGUGGUAGACCCAAUGUUGCUUAAAGAAGUACACGCAAAGAAGGAAGUACUUGCAGCGUUUCAUGUGGCGCUUGCAUGCACGGAGGCAGACCCUGAGGUUCGACCAAGGAUGAAGACUAUUUCUGAGAAUCUUGAGAAGAUUUGAACAUAGAAGGAAGUGCAAUUUUCAGCAGACGUAAUCGAUGAGGGAACUCUUCAAUUCCGGACAUUUUAAGAUGGCCAAAUGCAUCAGCAUUUUUCAUCUAGGCAAAUUUUGUACGUUUUCCAUUAAGCAUUCAUAGUCUAUAUAAUAUAGCCCUCUACAUUCCCAGGAAAUUCUCGUCAUUUACGCUUCUCACAAAAUGGGUACAUAAAUUCCUGGUUGUUUCAACAUUUCUCUUUUGUGCUGUGUAGUUAUAGUUUCGUUUGUUAUUUUAGUAAUACACCCAGUAAUCAGAAGGUUAGCGUAGCUAAAUUUGUUAUUCAUGUUUCUUUCUUUUCUCUUAAUUAGUAGGCUCCUGUAAUAAAGGAUAUCCAUAAUCUUGUCUCCCUCGCCAUCAUUCAUCAUCAUCAUCAUCAUCAUCAUGUUGGCCUGUAAUUCUGUGUUUAUCCACUCCCGACUGUUCCUGUCUGUGCCAGCGAAUGACCUUAACCUCAUCCUACAUUGACUGCCAAAAUGUGGUGGUUGGGGGGAAUUAUGGAUAAGAUCUGGUAAAUUGAAUAUCAUCGUCAUCAGCUUUUACAGAAGGAAAACACGUAUUACUUACAAACAAAGCAUAUGCUCGGAAAUUGAGAGUUGAUACGCAGGAGUCUCAACUCCUAUUAUUCACACACAACUCGCACUAACGCAAAGCUACCAUGAUGAUCGUGUCAAAGUGGGCUUUGAGGCCGUGCAAGGCUUAGUUAGGUAGCCUUCAAAGUAUUUGCAAUGUCAAUUACAAAUCGGAACUUGACAUCACCCUUUGCUAGACGCUCCAUUGCAGUGUUCACAUACUCCAUUGGUAUAAUCUCAACAUCUGCAGUUAUUUUGUUAUUCGCAGCAAAAUCAAUCAUCUCUUGCGUCUCCGCGAUGCCGCCAAUGGCACUCCCUCCCACCACCUUCCUGCUCGAAAGCAAGAGAGAGGCUGGAAUUUCAAGCGGCUUGUUGGGGAUACCAAGCAGGACAAGAACGCCCUGUGACUUCAAUAAACCAAUCAAUGGUCCGAGAUCGUGAACCGCCGAGACCGUGUCAAUGAUCCCAUCCAAUGUCUCCAUACCAGCCUGCAUUUUGUCUUUGUCAUGGCUAACCAGAAAGGCAUCUGCCUGAAGACGUACAAUGGCGUCAUCCUUCUUGCUAGGACUCGUACUGAUCACAGUCACUUUAGCACCAAAUGCCUUGGCAAACUUCACGGCCACAUGGCCUAGCCCGCCUAGACCCACCACUCCAAUGUGCAUCCCUGGACCGUCUAGCCCAAAAUAUUUCAGGGCACUGUAGGUUGUGAUCCCGGAACAGAGGAGAGGCGCUCCAGAAUCAAGAGGCAAAUUUUCAGGCCAACGAAUCACAAAGUUUUCGUCAGCAACCAUGAUAUUGGAGUAGCCUCCAUAUGUUGGAGUCCCAUCAUGGUAUGUUGAAUUAUAAGUGAGUAUCAUUUUAGGACAGUAGUUUUCAAGGUCGUUGGCACAGCUGGGGCAAGAAUGACACGAACCAACCAUGCAUCCAACGCCAACUUUAUCUCCAACUUUGAAUUUCUCCACUUUGCUACCAACUUCUGUGACUACUCCCACGAUUUCAUGGCCUGGGACCAUUGGAUAACUGGAAAUACCCCACUCGUUCUUCAGGGUGUGAAGAUCGGUGUGACAAAUUCCACAGUACAGCACCCUGAACAUAACAUCGUUUUCACCCGUCGCUCUCCUGGAGAACUUGAACGGAGAGAGGAAGCCAGAUUCAUCUCUGGCUGCCCAACCGAAGGCCUUGACUGGGUGUUCAGUUUUUGCAGCAAGCUCUCUAGAGUUGUCGGAAGGACUCUCCCUGAAGCCAAUAUAACUCAUGACUCUUCUCCAAAUGCAUUUCAAGAUAUCGAUCAAGCUUCCAGUGAAAUCCAUGGCCAUUUCCCACUGCACAGUCAACAAUACAUGAGAUGACGUGAUCAAUAUAUAAAUAAAUGUUCAUGGACUAGUAUUUGGGAUGCUUCUUACGCCUGAAUUUUCCUUCUCUGUCGGUAAUCUGUAUCAGGUGACAAAUAAAUCGCGCUUGCAAACGCUAGUCGUCGUUCGUUUUACUGCGUUAUGAAUCUAUUAUAAUUGGAUAGAAGCAAAAAGAUACUACUGUGCACGUAUGGCGAAUUUACCUUACGCAACAUAAUGCAGAAAAUUAAAAUGACAGAGAUUGUGGCACCUUAAUUAGUGCUUUGAAAUUAUUAAGCCAAGCCUCCGUUGAAUAACAAAAUCAUUAAUGCAAGAACGUUUAAUGAGCACAAAUGACGACGACAGGAGCAAUUAAAACAUGAAUCGCGAAUCUGCUUGAAGCGCAUGCGCAUGAGGUUUCAAUAAUUUUUGCAGACCUAUAAAUGUGUGAUCAAAAACAUGAACUCGAAGGGAAUGUCAAAAUCCUUACCUGACUUUGGCAGUAAAUGCUUGUGUUGAGACACAAAAGAAGAAUUGAUCCGUCUCUCUCUCUCUCUCUCACUCGUGAAUGUAGGCACAAUUAGUAGUAUUGUAAUGGUAAAUGAAGUGGCUAAAAAGUAAAAAUCACAUAUAGUAUAGUAUAUUCUUUCUUGAACUUGAGAGUUAGACAAAGAAUAAAAGAGUGGGUGAAAGUGUUCCAGGGAUGACGAGCAAGGAAAGCAAGGUACAUGCUCAAAUACUCCCAUCUUUUUAUAAAGCAAACCCACCCAGAAAAUUAGAAAGGAUUUAGAAAUUGUAGUUGGAAUUAGUGCUUAAAUUUCACAAAACAACACUGUACUGUUGUCGGAUUUAUGACAUAUAUGCAAAAAUUACACGAUUAGUGUAGGCAAAAUUACUUCAAAAAUAAACGCAUAAAACUUGUACAGAAAAAAAAAAAAAAAAAAAAAGGGGACUCGUCGCGUGAGGCCCAUCUUGAUUAGUUUCGCUUCUGGGUCUCCUUUCACGAAGCCCAUAUGUACUUCGCCGUGAGGCUAAAGCCCAUGAGGCAAGACUUUGUUUUAGUCCAUAAUGCUGCCGCGUUAACAAUAUAGAUCGGCAUUUUGGUAAAAGUCCGACGUAGCCUUAGAAGAUGUGCAGCAGAACACCACGAGACUCCUGCUGAAAAUCCCUAGCACCACUAGGCCACUUCUUCUUCUGCUGAAAAACCCUAGCAGAGCAGCAUUCCCAUCCGUUUCCCCCACGCUGAAAAGAUGGUUCGCCUCUCUCCUCCUCUCAGCUUCUCCCUGCUUUAGUCCUUAUAACAAUUUGCGUUAUUAUCAGUUUCGUCUUUGGUUUUGAUUUUUCAAUGUCAAAAUGCUCGAAUUAUAACAACUUUUUGGUGUUUUCGGUGUGCUCUGUCAGGUGAAGUACUCAAGGGAGCCCGAUAACCCUACCAAGUGUAAUUGCUUUUUUCCUCCCUCCCUUUUUUUUUUGGUUUUAAACUAGAUUUUGAUUUUUUUUUCAUUCUUAGAUUUGUUUCAAAAUUUUUUAUCAUCGAUUUUUUAGGCUUUUGUGCUAAUUUGUUAAAGUUUAUAAAAUGCAGCCUGCAAAGCUAGGGGGAUCUGAUCUCCGUGUUCAUUUCAAGGGUAUCGAUUGCUUCUCUCUCUCUCUCUCUAUCACUUAAACAAAUGGGAUGCUUUCCUGUUUAUCUACUUUGUUGAACCUGAUGCAGGGGCCUGUUGCCGUUUAAUGUGAACGGGUCUCUCGUAAACUUCAGGGAAAUAAAACUUGGCAUUGUUAUUGGGUGAACCUCUUGAGCUUCAUGAUCGACGGUUCAGUAAACGAUGAUACAUUCUGAUUAUAUAGUCAUCUUUCUUUGAUUAUUAGAACAAACCAAGGAAAACUUGUGUUUUCUAAUGGGAUUUUGUGGGCUUCAGACUAGCUUGUCUGUCAUGGAUGUUUUAGUAUUAAUUUCUUAAAUUGAUAAACGGUUGCAACCUUAUUUACCUCCCUCAAUUUUGAAGUAAAGAAAAGCUGACAGAAUGGGAACUUUCUGUCCGUUGGUAUGUGGGGCUGAUAAUUGUUUAGUAAAUGACAAAGUCUUCAUACCUUUCAACCUAACAUACUUUUAUGAUUCAUUUCGAUGUGGGUUGGGGUUUUAGUAUCCACAUCUUACGGUUAUGGAAAGCAGGGAUUGUGUGUAUCGACAUUGUGCUAAUUUGUGAUUGCACUUUGCUCGAAAGAGUUCUCUGCAAUAUCUUUUUUUGGGAAGAUGGGCAGUUGUAUUUCGUUAUCUUGUUGAAAACCUUCAACAAUCAUCUUCCCGACAUUUUUAUAUAUCCAUCUUGCUAAUCAGUCUGAUGUACGAGGACAAGAAAUAAGCUUCAUGUCUUUAUGAGCUUUUCUGAUCCUUGGUAAACAUCUGUUGCCUUCAGAAGUUCCUGGGAGAGGGAGAUAUCGUUGAUUAAGUUUUCAGUGAAUACUAGUGAGAAUGGUUGAUAAUUUCUGGUGGGCACUUGAAAGUUGUAACUAAUUCUGCUGGGUCUUUCUUUGUUGUUGUAUCCACUAUUAUGCUGUAUGUUCCUUUUACUACAACUUUUAUUUCUGCUUUGUCAUUGCUUUUGUUUGGGGCCUAGAGAUGUGAAUCUUAGUUCUUGUAGUAUUAGAGUUGUUACCUUGCUAGGGUUGUUUGUGUUUUUUCUCCUUGGAACGGUGCAUAAUUUAUAAUGUAAGAUCUGCUAUAUGCUUCAAUGGUGCUGCUUUGUUAUUUGGUCCGAAUUCUUAGCUAGUUUUUGUCCAAGCAUACAAUCUGACAGUGUGUGUGUGCUCUCUUCUUUAACAGAACACAAGGGAAACAGCGCACGCGAUCAGGAAGCUGCCUUUAGCCAAGGCUAAGAGGUACUUGGAGGAUGUUUUGGCCCAUAAACAGGCAAUUCCUUUUACACGUUUCUGUGGAGGUGUUGGCCGUACUGCUCAGGCCAAGAAUAGGCAUUCAAAUGGACAGGGUCGCUGGCCUGUUAAAUCUGCUGGAUUCAUUUUGGAUUUGCUCAAGAAUGCUGAAAGCAAUGCAGAGGUUUGUCCGUGCUCCCAGAAGUUAUAAUCUAAUAUUCGUUGUUUUGUACAACUUUGACAGCAGUUAUUUUAUCCUGCAGGUGAAAGGCUUGGAUGUGGAUUCACUUUUCAUUUCUCACAUUCAGGUGAAUCAAGCACAAAAACAAAGACGCCGCACAUAUCGUGCCCAUGGAAGAAUAAACCGUAUGUCUGAUCGAUGACUUUUUUUCAGUUUUCUGUUCUGUGCAUUAUGUCCAUUAACUUUAAUAUAUGAUCUUUUUGGCCAGCCUACAUGUCUUCCCCCUGCCAUAUUGAGUUGAUUUUGUCUGAGAAGGAAGAGUCUGUGAAAAAGGAGGUAAUACAUAUGUAGUUAUAUCUUUCAGCUAUCUGUCAAUCUGGUUGAUAUCCAGAAAGGUAUCAUUUUAAAUUUCUGGGGCGCUUCUCUUUGUGUCUAAAUUUUUUUCUUAUAUUUUGCAGCCUGAAUCGCAGUUGGCCACAAGUAAAUCUAGGAAGGCUUAAGCUUUAUGUAAUGGUGCUUUCAUUGGCAAUGCUUUUAGCCGAUUCUACAAAUUUUGAGGCAUAUUGUUACUUAAUGCUAUUGGAAGUUGCAGACAAGUUUUGCUAGUGCUUAAAUUCAAAAAGUUCAUUCAAAGACAUACUUUGACUUGUAGAGACAGCUUUUUGUUCUUCUUAAAUGUCGUGUGGCUUCUUUUUGGUUGGAUGUUAUGGUAGUGUUGGAUUAUUUAUCAAGCUGCACUUACUGGCCGUCUCUAUUAUGCUGUCAUUCUUCGAGCCGGCCUUCUCACAGUGCCUUUUUAUCUUCAAAAUUUUUCUUGGGACUAACGAUGAACAUUGUGGAUGCAAGGUAGACCUUAGAUAUGAGAUGCAUGAAAUUUUUAGUGUAGGCUCUGGAUGCUGGCUGUUUAAGACGCUCUGCUGAGCUAGAAAUACUACUGCAGGAAUUGCUUUCCUUGAUGGUUUUGUUCGAUUUAGUAUCCCCAUGAGAAAGAGUUUAGGCUCCUCUUGAGAAAGAGUUUAGGCUUAGUAUCCAUUGUGCAAAUUUGAGGUACUUAAAACGGGCAGCUCCUCUGUGUGUUUUGAGUGGGUAUCUAUAUGUUAAACUAGUUUUUACCCUGAAUUAGUCGUGUGAAUUGCGGAGUCUGGAAUGUGUGGAUUGUGCGAUUAUAGCUCAGCGGAAUGCCUGUUUUUGUGCAAUACGAGAUUCAUUCUCAGACUGAAUGAAGGAAAUUAUGCAUCAGUUGUGGAUGAUGUGUCGGGUAAUUGAUCUCUGAAUUACGAGGAAAUCAAGAAACACUUGAAUGGCGUAGAACUUGCAUUCUGUAGGACUGAACUUCCCCAGAAUCUGUUUCUGGUGCCGGAGGUUCAUUUUGAGUUUUGACCAUGGUGAAUUCGGUGCCGGAGAGGUGAUUGAGAAAGUCUCCCGCCCAAAUUAAACUAUCUUUCAACGGACUUCAUUGGUUAGGCUGACGUUUGAUGUGAAGGGUGGGCUUAUUGUGGUCGCGGUUGGCAAUAAACUCCUAUUUGAUAUUUCACGUAGGCAAAAAAGGAAACACAUCUUGAGUUGUGUCAUCAUGGACUCCGCGGAAAGUUAUCAAGACAAUCAACAUCAUGCAAGCAUUUCCGGGUUAUGCUAGGGCAGCACGAACAAUGUGAUGCAAUGAAGGGGGCGCAAAUCCACCCAUUCUACAAAGAACGCGUGCCCAGGCAAUAUGUAUUUGUUUAUUUAAAUCUUUUUUUUGGUGCAAUGAUAAAAGCAGACUAGCAAAACAUGCAUGACGUAAUAAAUGUAAAGGGCAAGGAGGUAAUAACCAAUACUCUCUCCAUUCUAAUUUGUUUGUCAUAUUUUAAGAAUCAAAUUUUUUAAGAAUAGUAGUUUAAUUGUAUUGCUUGUGAAAAAUAUAAUACUCUCAAUAAAUGAGGGAGGUAAGGAAGGCUUCCGUAAUCGCAAAUCGGCUACAAAUCUUCAGGAAAGAGCGAAAGACUAUCAGUCUGGUUAUAGAGAUUUCUGCCACCAUAGAUUACAGAAGAUGAGAGGGCCCAAGAACAAAAUGUGUUGAUGGGGGGCCCAAGAUCCCUGUCAACGAGGCCUAAGUUAUGUGUAAUUUGAGCCCAAUUGCCAACAAAAUAAUAUAUAUGUGUGUGUGUCUAUAUAUAUAUAUAUAUAUAUAUAUAUAUAUAUAUAUAUAUAUAUAUCCUACCUAUUAAAAGCGCGGAAGGCUGAGGAGCAGUAGCGUGUCGUCCCUUUCUGGCAUUCUGCGGGUUCUUUGGAGAUUUUGUGAAGCCCUAAGGGUAAUUUUGACAGGUGAUUUCUCUUGCUGCUAGAGCUGUUAAGUUAAUCAAAUAGCUCGAAAGCUCGUUAGAGCUCGGCUCGUUAAUUUUGGUUAACGAGUCGAGCUCGAGCUCGAAACAUGCUCGUUUAGUUAACGAGCCGAGCUACUCGGCUCGUUUGAUACUCGAGUAGCUCGUUAGAGCUCGUUAAUGAAGGGCAUAUUUGUCAUUUUAGAAAUCAAAAUUAUAAAAAUUAAAAAUUAUAGAUUUUUAUUAAGGUUAAUUUGCACGAACUCGAGCUCGAACUCGUGAAGCUCGACUCGUUUGUGAUAAACGAGUCGAGCUCGAGCUCGAACUCGAGCCACAUGUACAUUUAACGAGCCGAGUUCGAACACAUUUUAAAGCUCGUUUUUCUAACGAGCUCGAGUCGAGCUCGGUUCGAAUUAAACUCGAGUCGAGCUCGGCAGCCAAAUACUCGGCUCGACUCGACUCGAUUAACAGCUCUAUUUGCUGCCUACUUCUUUCCUUUGUUUUUUUCCCCUCUCCAGUUUAGUGUUUCCCCCUUGCGCUGCAUGUGGGUUUUUAAUGCCCCUAAGCCACAGUUUAUUUCGAUUUGGCCAUGAUCUAAGGCUAAUUGGAAAAAAAAAAAAGGGGAUAAUUGCACUCACCUCCUCUGAGGUUUCUAAAAUAGCAUUUACCUCCCCCGACAUGAAUUUGGGCCUCUAGUUGACAAAAGAUAGGGUGAAUUUACUUCUAUACCCUAAGAGUUUGAGGUUGUUUGUAAACAAAUUUGGAGCAAAAAAAAUUAGGGCAAUAAACAAGUUUACGAUAACUAAUUAAACAAGUUAAUGGUUAUUUCUUAUUUGAUUAGGCACUUUAAGUGCACUUAUAUAAUAGCAUCACAAAAUAGCGCUAAUUGAUACUCCAACAUGGCAUCAUUUUGUGAUUGACAGUAUUUGAAAGGAUAAUCCAAAUGUAUAUAAUUUGCAUAGAAGAGAAGCAGAAGCAAAAGGAAAGAAACCUCCAAACAAGGCCUCAUAAGAAAAUAUGUUCUGGUUGUUUUGGUCGAGUUCACUUCAUCUUAAGCAUUCAUGAAACAAAAAAAGAAAGAAAGCAAAAAAUCAAUGCCAAUUUUGAGGAUUUUUCUGUUAAAAAUUUGCGAUAAUCAAAAGACAAUAGUUAAGCAAUCCUUUGUAAUCUUAACAUAAUACACAUAGUUUCUAUGCACACGAAUGAAUCAGAGUUUUUUGAAAUUGGUUGUACAUAUUAUAUGCUUUAGAACCUUAGAUUUCUGAACGUAUGUUCAUUAAAUUUUCUUGUUGUUACUACUAUACUUGUUCUCUUUGCAUUUAUAUGAGUUUCACUAAUUGUUUCCAACUUUUGAUUUUAUUCAUUCUUUUACUAAUUCAACCUUACAAGAGGUAAAAGGGGUACAAAUGGAACAAAAUUAUUAUCUCUUUUCUCAAAAGACUUUUUUAAUGGCACUUUUUGUAACAUGAGCUAAAUAUGCUAUCAAAAUCUUAAGUUCAUGGGAGCUAAGUGCUAUUUUUGAAAGUUUAGGGGAUGUGAGUGCAACUAUUAGAAAUUUCAGGAGAGGUUUCUGCAAUUAUCCCAAAAAAAAAAAAACGCAUGAUGAGCCACAAUUUGUUCUUGUUUUGCCAUGGCUCGAGCGUAAUAAAUAUAUAAAAAAAGGACAUGGUGCCUAGUUUUGGACUGAUAUUAUAUCCUUUUUAGCCAUUAGGAAAAUAUAAAUUUAGAUUAACAUUUUAGUAUGAGUUCUGCUCCAAAUUUCGUCUACAUUCCUCACCAAAAAAAAUCGGCUCAAAAUUUUGUCUACACUCUUGGCCAAAAAAAAAAAAAGUAAAGGGUCUCUUGAGUGGCCACUUAUAUAACACUUUUUGUACAAAUUCAAAAAAAAAACAUUUAGUAUAAUUUUGUUCCAAAUUCGAUUGAAUAUUUUAAUAUCAAUUUUGUUCGAAAUUCUUCUACAUCACUGGAAAAGAAAAAGAGGUAUGGUAAGCUUUGUCAACAUUCUUGACCAAAAAUAAAUAAAUAAAUAAAGGGCCCAUUUAGUGUCCACUUAUAUAACACUUUUUGCAGGAAUUCAUUGCUACUAUUUGUAUGCAUCAUUUAAUUACUUGUGUGAAAAACCAAAUUUAGUAUAAUUUUGUUGCAAAUUCAAUUGAAUAUUUUAAUACCAAAUUUGUUCGAAAUUUUUCUAUAUUGCUGAAAAAGAAAAUGAAGUAUGGUGAGUUUUAAUUACUUGCGUACAUUUUAAAUAGUCAAAAAGUAAUAAUAGCAAUAGAUGAUUAGAUGAACAACAUAUAAACUCUUGCUAAAAAAAAACGGAGAGCUUUAAUUACUUGUGUACAUUUUAAAUAGAAAAAAAAUAAUAGCAACAGAUGAUUAAGCAAAAUUUAUUAUUUCCUGCCUGUUUUUCUUAGUUUUUCCCCUUCUUAAAUGGCUUUUUUUCCUAACUAUUACGUUGUAUUAAUAAACAUAGCAUAAUGAAAAUUUGCAAAUAAAUUUUGCUCAAAAUUUCUCUAUAUUAGUGAAAAUGCUUGAUAUUAAUGAACGUAAUCUAAUAACCUAAAAAAAAAAUCAAGAUGCAUUUUGCUCCAAAUUCCUCUAUAUUAGCGGAAAAAAAAUAGAAGCCUCCUUGAUUGGACACGAAUUUAAUGCUCUUUGGAUACAUUAACUAUUACUAUUUUUAUGCACCAUUUAUUUAUUUCUUUGUUGCUAAAAAAUAAUUAUGCUAAUAUUUUUUUUGUGUUAAAUGCGCUGAGCUCCAAUUGUUUCAAUGAUAUUAGAUAACAGAAAAUGUUUAAUAGCCGGAAAUGACUACAUAGAGACAAUGGAAGAACGACUUUAUUUUUUUUCCUGCUUGCUCCUUUGAAAAGCUAUUUGCUUGAUGAAUUGUGUCCUAAUCACUCCUUUUUGUUUUACUUUGAUAGUCUUUUUUUUUUUUUUUGCACAUAGUUUAAUAAAAGAUGGUUAACUUUGUUAAAAGAGUAAAUCUAAGCUACUAUUUUCUUAAAAUGUCGUUAAACUAUUUCCAGAAGCAUAACUAAUCACUAUAUCUUUAGAUUAAUUACAAUAACAAUAAGUUAGUUACCAAACGCGAGUAUAUGCAUUCAUAGAGUAAGUUAGCGAGUGUUCUGGCAGACACAUUAAUUAGAAGGAGAGACCCGCAAGUAUUUUUGUUGCUUUCCUUCUGUCCAUGCCGCAGCAUCCGUAUGAUUGAUUUUGUUAGGUUGAACUUCAAAUUUGGAGCUCAAGCUGUUGAAAUUCAUUGUUUUGAGCCAUUCGCACAAGUUCGUUCUAUCUAAGAGGCACAGGAGCCAGCACUGAAAAGAAUACUAACAAAAUACUAAUCUUUAUGGGGCAAAAUACACAAUAGGAGGAAUAUGUCAUCUUGAUUGUCCUUCCACGUACAUCACGGAAUAUUAAGAGGAUGCCUCCUCAAUUCACGAAAAGCUGGAAAAUUGGUUAGCCAGUUUCAAGGAGAUAGAUUGGUAUAAUCGCGGAUUGUUUUAGUAACCAGAAAAUGGUGAGAAAGAUUCAAUCAAAAAUUGAAGAAGAAUAUUUCAAAUGGUCGGAGAUUUGACGUUUUAGCUUUGUUUGUAAAUCAUUAAUGUUGUUUAUCUCUUCCAGGGCUCAUUGGCAAUCAGCAAUACGUGUUACCAGCAUUCGAAUAGUACAGAAGUCAAAAAGGAUUUAAAAAAAAAAAAAAAAAACGCACGCCUUCUCAGAUGAUAUUAGACCAUUGGAAAAUGGUUGGACGGUUUCAUGGAAAGAAUAUUCAAAUGAGAAAAUGAUAACAUUAUAGUAUACGCAAUGAACGGCUGAAACUACUGUUAUUUUCACCGGAAGUAAACGGCUGAGCCCCCCCCCCCCGGUCCAAAAAAAAAAAAAAAAAAAAAAGGCCGAUUUAGAUGAUCCCCUCAUCAGGCCGGGAUUCCUAAUGGAAAAUUUUUUUACUCAAUUACCAGUUACAAGGGUUUCCCAUUUACUCUCUUCUUUUUUUUUUUUUGUGGUCUUAUUCUUGAUUUUGGUUUUAUCUGAAAAAUAAACAAUUUCAAAUCAGACAAGAAAAAUCAAGUAACCUGUCAUAAAUCACACAAUCUAGAAUUCCUUUCAACACACGCAAUCCGGAUUGCAUUGCCGUAGAAAAUAAAAGAACAGUUUGUUUGGAUAGUAAUAAUAAUUCGCUUGUAUCAUAAACACAUUUUCUAAUCAAUCUUUUUAUGUUGUCAAUCAUUUUUUUAUCUCACAUACAUCACAUCACAUCACAUCACAAAAAAUAUUACAGUAAUUAUUUCAAAUAAUACUCUGAAAAUUUUUGUUGUAUCAAUUUGAAGCCAUGCACGUACGUUAACCUUGACAGCCCUUAUCCAAACUCCCCGCCCCCCCGUUCUAUCUCCUCUCUAGGUGCUUGGUUAUUAAACAGCCACCUUGUUGGUGAUAUUUAAAAGUAGUGUUUGGCACAAAGCGCAAAACCUCACGUGUUAGGGAAUCUUGAACGUCAAAUCAUAAUUAAUUGGGGACUAAAUAUGGAAUCUUUUGAUUGUUGAUAAAUGAACCAGAGAGCGGGGGUGGAGGGCGACGCUCAAAAGAGCACCACAGUCUCAGUCUUGAUCGAUCGUUCUUGUUUUCUCCCAGCAAUAAUUGAACGUUAUCUUGAUAUCAUUGAAAGGUGAGGCGCGGCAAAUUUGGAUUUUGGCGAACAAAUUGGAGUGGAAUUUCUGCGUCAAUUGAUGUAACAAUUCGCAAGCCAUUGAGCCAGAUUAAUUGUUUGGGUUGGUCUGUAUCAGACCUUUGUCGGGUUGAAGACAGGCAUUUGAAUAUUUGGUGCGCUCUCACAAAUUAGAUCCCAAACUUAGAUUAGAUUGUGUUUGGAUUACAUUUUUCAUAAAAAAAAUAUUAUAGCGAUUUGAUAUAUAUAUAAAAAAAAUAAUAAUAAAAAAAAUGUGACCAGGAAAAAUAAUGUAAUUUUUUUUUUACGGAAACUCCGAUCCAAGGAAGGCCUUACCGCUGUUGGUCUUGUUUGAAGAUAAAAAUUGAGGAUGAUUGCGGAUUUGCCUUCACGUAACUAACGAUGACGCACGCUGGGGCUGUCAAUUCAAUCUUAUCUACCACAAGAAUUUGGUUACUUACAGACAGAUCAGAGAGUGCUUGGGUUGAGCUGAUCCAAUCUUCUUACCAGCGUCGCUUUUUUCUCUCUCUCUCUCUAUCUCUCUAGUCUGUAUAUAUAUAUAAAUAUAUAUGUUUCUCUCUCUCUCUCUCUCUCUAUAUAUAUACAGUAUUUGUAUGUAUAUAUAUACACUCCCACAAGCCACUGCCCCUUCGUUUCCGUCCCUUGCCUACUACGCCCACCAGACCACACCUCACCUGUCAGGCUGUCACAACUCACAAAUACACAAUCCACCACCCCCAUAUCGCAUCUAUUCUUUCAUUUAUUUUUAAAGUAUUACCACUAUAUCUCUUCACCCUUCCGUUUCCUCCAUUUCUUGGGAGCUUCCUUAUCCAUUUCCUCUUCUUUUGCGCGUACUCCCACCGCCUACUCUCGCAGCUGCCCCCUCAGGCUGACUUCCCUCACAUUUCCAUUUCCCAGGUAAUUUUUUAUAUUCCCCAUUUUUUUUUUGUUUUUUUUCCUUCCUAUUUAUCAGUUCCAUCUGAUUUUUUGUUUUGCUCUUCCGUCGCCAUGCGGAUGAUUUCGGUACCACUACUGCCAUAUGAAUCUUCUGUCUAAAUUUCAGGAAGAGUAGAUUUUAUUUAUGUCAAUAAUGCCUUGUCUCGGGAACCUGUCCUGCUCUUAGUCUUUAGCUAAUUUCAUUUGGGAUUUUUUUUUUAAUAUUUAUAGAUCUGUUCUUUUUUUUUAAUUUUCUUUUUAAUGAAAUUCGAGCUGUUUAUACUUUAUAGUUUGACCUGAGCUACUUUUGUUGAGCAUCUGAAAUUACGCUUUUCCUCAAAUUUGGAUUUUUUUGGGGUGAAUUCCAAUUACAGUGAGCUCGUUUGAGCUGUUUCUGGUGUCUUAUGAAUCUUGAGCUUGCUCGGCAUUGUAUUUGUUGAUAUUUGUAUUGAGCUUCUCGAUUUAUAUAGUAUGUGAAUUAUGAGAGGAUGCUAUUUUAAUCCUUGAAGAUCGCUUUUGUUUCACAAUCUAGUUAAUUGACAGCAUGCAAUUGCUUUGAUAGUUUGUUGGUGAAGUUUCUAGUUGCUUUCGGUAGCUGGGGUUGUUAGAUCUGAAUCGCUGUACUAGUUUUCAUUGUCAUGUCGUUUAGAGUGCUACAAAUGUUAGUAUAUUCUCUGUGCAAGAUGGAGAUAUUCUUUUACCAUUUUUUCCCCGUUUAUUCAUGAUCUGGUGGUGGAGUUGCGGUAGAUUGGUGACACUGGUGGUAUAUGUUUGGAAGUUUGAUUAGUAGCUGUUGCUUCUUGGUGUGUCUAGUUUGACUAGUAAUCAUCAUAGUAAUAAUUGGGCACCACUUAAAUUGUUACUAUUUCUUUUUGGGUCAUAGACUUUAAUGGAUCAUUUGGCUUUCCUUGGGUGUUGUUGAAGGUUCAAGUGGGUAAUUAUCAGUUUGUCGUGUGUUUCUGUUGGGAAAAUAAAGUUUCAAUUAUGAAAGAGUCCAUCGUAUUACUUGCUACACUUUUGACCUUCUGGUGCAUUUCACAAUAGUUUCUUUACUCAUGUAGUCAUGUCGGUAUGCUACACUGCAGAUAAAACAUUAGCCAAAAGCAAAAUGGAAGUUACAGGAGGCUAACUUUAUGCGCUUCUAUGGCCUUGGCAGGUACCUUUUUUUUUCUUUUCUUUAUCUAUCUAUAAGGCCCUAACCAACUCCUGCUCUUAUCAAUCUCGAUUCUUUUUUUUUUUUUUAUUUAAAUAUUCAUGUUUUUCUUAUUUACUUAUUUUUCUUUUCAAUUUCGAUCUUCCCUGUGUAUAACUUGUAUCAUCCCAUGUAGGUAUCUGGGCAAUGUGUGGGAAGAGUAACAGUUCAGGAGGCAGCAGCUUAGAUAGUACAAUCAAGAAAAAGGACAUUAGUACCCAAAGAGGUGGAAUGGAAUUUGAGUCCGAUUGGACAAAGCAUUGUUGGAAAUCAUCAGCCUUCACUGCUCAAGCCAUCCGUUCAGCAACAUCUUUUAUGCCUUGGUCUUGUAAAAUAUCAAGAAAUGAAGGAUUUCACGAAUAUCUUUAAUCGGUAGCUGAUUUUUCUGUUAAGUUGAUCUUUGUAGUUGAGAGACAUAGAAGGAAUUCAUGAUGCUUCUGUCCACUUCCUGUUUGAGAAUUUCUUAUUCCAAAAAUGCCUAAUUUUGUUAGUGGAAAGAAGAGAGCUACCGAGUUGAACAUGUGUUUCUCCAACGCUCUCGAGCAGGGUGCUCCACCUCACUCAAAAGGGGGUUCCUGCUUAACUCUAAAGUUCGUUGAUGGUAUCCAUAGUCCUAUCUUGCCUGGAUUGCCCGAUGAUGUGGCAAUGUACUGUCUUGCACUUGUUCCUCGAACUAAUUUUCCUGCUAUGGGUGUUGUUUGCAAAAGAUGGAGGUCUUUUAUCCAAAGUAAGGAAUUUAUCCGGGUUAGAAAACUAGUUGGCAUGCUCGAGGAGUGGCUUUAUGUCCUAACUGUUGACUCUCAAGGAAAUGGGAGCCACUGGGAGGUUAUAGACUGUUUGGGACAGAAACACAAUGAAUUCCCCCCAAUGCCUGGUUGUGAGAAAGUUGGUUUUGGCGUGGUAGUUCUCAAUGGAAAGCUUCUCGUAAUUGCUGGUUAUGCCAUGAUUGAUGGAAAUAGAUCGCCCUCUGCUGAUGUUUAUCAGUAUGAUUCUUGCCUCAACAGGUUUGUUUUCUUUUACCUCAUAUUCCUGUUUCAUUCUUUGCUUGUCACUGCAUUCCUGCUUUUUGUAAUGCUCAAGUACUCUGAACUUUCAGGGUCUUUUUAAUGGAACAUUUGAAUUACGACUUUGUAAACACUUGCAAAAUUAGGAGGUUUUAUUUUUAUGCUAGAAUUUCUCGGUUGCGGUAUCUUCAGCUAGUAGACAGCUUGAUUAGUUUCAUAACCAAAAUGUCUUUUAACCCCCAAUGACUAAUCUAGAUUGUGAUACUUCUGUGCAGCUGGAGUAAGCUAGCGGACAUGAAUGUUGCACGCUAUGAUUUUGCUUGUGCUGAGGUAAAUGGCAUGGUCUAUGCGGUUGGCGGCUAUGGGAUGGAUGGUGAAUCUCUCUCAUGUGCUGAAGUGUAUGACCCUGAUGCUGACAAGUGGACUGUAAUUGAGAGUCUUCGCCGACCACGGUGGGGAUGCUUUGCUUGCGGAUUUGAAGGAAAGCUCUAUGUAAUGGGAGGUCGAUCGAGUUUCACAAUUGGAAAUUCAAGGUUUGUCGAUGUGUAUAACACUGAGAGGCACACCUGGUGUGAGAUGAAAAAUGGUUGUGUCAUGGUCACCGCUCAUGCUGUGGUGGGGAAGAAACUUUUUUGUAUUGAGUGGAAAAACCAGCGGAAGCUGGCUAUAUUUGACUCAGAGGAUAAUUCAUGGAAGAUGGUGCCAGUUCCAGUAACUGGGAGCUCAAGCAUCCGAUUCCAGUUUGGCAUACUGGAUGGAAAACUUCUUUUAUUUUCACUGCAGGAGGAUCCCGGUUACACUACCCUUCUGUAUGAUCCAAACGCACCCCCUGGCUCAGAGUGGCAGACCUCAGUGAUAAAGCCAUCCGGUUCGUGCAUGUGCAGCGUCACAAUCAAGGCAUAAAGUGGUCGAUUUCAUUAAAGAUGAUGAUGAUUUCAGUGGCGUUCUUAAAGAGUCUUCCCCCCGGUUUCCGUGCGGGGUUCCGUUGUUCGUUUAAGGAAGCAGUUAUGCAUAUGAUCUAUUGUAUAGUUUUAGUAAGUUGGUUGAUUUAAGACUAGUGUGAUUAUGUCAUCUUGUAUGAGUAAUUUGCUUGCGAAGCUUUACUGACAUAAAUCUUGAGCAGCAGUUGUUGUAUCUCAAAUGUUAGUGGCGUCUGUGAUGGACUGGGAUGCAGUAAUAUUCCAGCAAGUAUAUGUGGGCAAAAUUCCAAUGGACGAUCAUGUCCGUGGGCUGUGGAGUUUGUUGCCAGUACUGCGGUAGAUGAAUUAAACACGUGAAAUGUGGCACGACAACGUGAAAGAACUUUGCAUGUUUUGAUAUGCAUUGCUAGCGAAAGAGAAUGUACGUUAAAAGCUUUUCACGGUUUGAACGGGUGCUUCCAGUUGCCAUUUGAAUGAAAAAUGAUCUCGUUGUCACCUAAUCAUCAACAACGCAACGGGUGUCUGUGGCAAUACUAGGUUGACUAAUACCGAAAUCUCUGAAGUCUCGAACGAUGCCCUAUAUCACCAACCAUAUGCUCAAUUUGUCCCCAGGAGAGGACAGCCGAAGAGGACGCAGGAAAGGACGUCGAAAGUCUUUACUUAACGUGCUUGCUUUGUACGAGGCUACGGAGUGCAGUUUUGCAAUUUUACUUGCUAUUAGUAACUGCAAAGUCACCAACUUGGUUCUCAAUCGUCUCUCUGUUUUUUCACUUGGGAUCCUCGGUGACAUGUUUUCUGUGCCAAUUCAAUGCCACCUAUAGUAUUGCGCCAAGUGUCCUGUUAUUAUUUACACUUUAAUUUUCUAAUAAUUCAACUUGGUUUGGUUUAACACAAGUGUAAAUAAUAACAGGACACUUGACGCAAUAUUAUAGGUGGCAUUAGAUUGGCACAGAAAACAUGUCACCGAUUAUCCCAAUUGCUGUUUUUUAACCAGCUGUAAAAAAUUUGAGGAGUGCGUUCAAGAAUCACUCUCGUACACAUUUUGAAGGGGAAGAUAAUCAAUUUGUUCUUUUUAACUAUUUCUUUAAUUCAUUAAUCUGCAUGAAUACCUGACCAUAUUUAUUGAAUAACACAUCAGUUAAAUUAUCUAAGACUCCUUUUGAAUUGGCCUAUUUUUAAAAAUAAAUUCUUCAUAUAUAAUAUUACAGUAAUGCACAAAUGAAAACAAUACUUAAAACACAUCAUCCAUACAAUUUAUUAAGACACCUGACCGUGUAUUUUGAGUGGUUCUCGAGCCUAAUUUGAUCUCAAAUUCGAGCAUAUAUUUUUAGUUUGGAUAAAUAUGCCAUACACACCAACAGCACCCACCAGUCAAAUUACGCAUUAAAUUUAAGUCCUACUUUGAUUAUAUUAUAUAUGUGAGAUAUACUCUUUGAGUGGCUCGAGCAACUGCUGUUUUUACUCUUUGGCUUUUGGUUUGGUUUGGGAUUAUUUACCAAUUAGCAAACCCAACGAGGACUUUAAUCGCGUGUUAAUUAGCGUAAAAUAUCAAGCGUUUCAUCAAAGAAAAUACUCCCCCCCAAAAACCCAAAAAAAGGCGGCAACAACUUGAAAGUUAAAACCUCCACCCACCACCCUCCCCCAAGGGUUCCGCCGUCCCCAAAGCCCUCCGCUUCUCCCAGCACCGCCAUCAACCACCGGAAAUGUUCGGCACCCCAUCAUCAGCCCCGCCCUUCGGGACUCCCUCCUCAACCCCUGCAUUCGGUACCCCCUCUUCGACCCCGGCCUUCGGCACUCCGUCUUCCACCCCUGCCUUCGCCACUCCAUCUUCAAGCCCAGCCUUCGGAACGCCGUCCACCCCGUCGUUUGGCACCGGCUUCGGAACCUCACUGUUCUCUACUCCGUUCUCGCAGCAGCAAUCGCAGCAGAGCUCUUUCUUUCAGACGCCUCAGAGCUCAAGCCCUUUCGGUCUCUCGACGCCGUUCGCUGCCACCCAAGUGCAGUCUUCUCCGUUUGGUCAGCCCGCUGUGACUCCGGCAUUGCCCUUUGGAAAUGUUCAAUUGACCACUCAGAUGGCUCCAGUUGCUCCUCUCCCCUUUUCUCUUGCCGAUCGUGAUAUUCAAGUAAGCCUAACUAGGGAAGUUCUUUUUUUUUUUUGUUUUGGAAAAAUUCGUAGCUGUAUUUAGUUUGCAUCUACAUAUGGCGGUUUUCCUUUAAAUUUAUGGUUUUGCUAUGUGAACUAUACUAGGCUAUUGUUGAUGCUUACAAGGAGGAGCCUGGGAACCCUAAGUAUGCAUUUAAGGUUCGAUUUUUCAUCAUUGACCUUGUCCUUGUCAGAUUUUUUUAAUUCUGUUUAUGCUCGAUUCUUGUUUAAUUGGUAAAAUUCUUGGGUGAAGAAACGUGGAUUUUGGGGACAUUGACGUUUGAAUUGAUUUGGCCAUUGUAACUUUAUUUUGUUAAUUAUUAAUUAGUAAUUUAGCAAUGAUUCUCUGUCCCCUUUGAAGAAGGAGAGAUGGUAGGUUAGGUUACGUUGCCUUCGUUUAGCUGAAGUCUGAGAAAGGAAAAUAUUCAUUGCAUGAAACACUGAAUGUAGUGAUAGGCCAACACAUAAUUGCAAUUUGGAACAAAUUGGUGGCAAGAAUAAGCUGCAGAUGAAAUGUAUUUGUCUCUCAUUCUUAGAAAAAAAAUGAUUAGACAGCGUCUUUUCUUGGUUCCCAAAAUUUUCUCCAUUCUAUGUUUAUGAAGUUUUUAAAAUAUGUGUUUGUGGUUUUGCAGCAUUAAUUGUUCAGCGUGACUGAACCUCAAUAUAGGGUGAAACCUGCUGGUGUACCAUUCUUGUUUAAUUGGUAAAAUUCUUGGGUGAAGAAACGUGGAUUUUGGGGACAUUGACGUUUGAAUUGAUUUGGCCAUUGUAACUUUAUUUUGUUAAUUAUUAAUUAGUAAUUUAGCAAUGAUUCUCUGUCCCCUUUGAAGAAGGAGAGAUGGUAGGUUAGGUUACGUUGCCUUCGUUUAGCUGAAGUCUGAGAAAGGAAAAUAUUCAUUGCAUGAAACACUGAAUGUAGUGAUAGGCCAACACAUAAUUGCAAUUUGGAACAAAUUGGUGGCAAGAAUAAGCUGCAGAUGAAAUGUAUUCGUCUCUCAUUCUUAGAAAAAAAAUGAUUAGACAGCGUCUUUUCUUGGUUUUCCCAAAAUUUUCUCCAUUCUAUGUUUAUGAAGUUUUUAAAAUAUGUGUUUGUGGUUUUGCAGCAUUUAUUGUUCAGCGUGACUGAACCUCAAUAUAGGGUGAAACCUGCUGGUGUAUCAGAUGUAAGUUCAAUGUGGUUUGAGUUAUACUUCUGAUUCUGUUGCUUUUAUUUACAUGUUGAGACUUUGUAGUAAAUCUUGUGAAUUAGUUUGGCUUGUUAGAUAAUGUGGGCAGAGGCCAUAGGGAAACUUGAAGGCAUGGAGAGUUCUGAUCGAGAACGACUUUGGCCCCACCUUGUUCAGGGAUUUAAAGAUCUGUCACAGCGCCUCAAGGUACCAGAUGGAUGAUCAUUACCUCCUUGAAAUGAGGAUGGCUUCAGUGCUUGGAAAAAAUUUUUUGUUGAAGCCUUCCUAACUCACAUUUGUUUCAUUUCGAUGUGCCAAAACUGCAUUCUUUGAAGAAUUUUUUUUAAAUAUUAAAUUUCUGUGUAUCCAAUCUCUAUAAUUAGAUUCGCUAGAUGGCAUAAGUAGUGCCUCUUUCUCAUGUUAAAUAAUGUGUGUUUGGAUAGAGUAUCAUUUGAAAUAUUAUUUGGAAUAAUUAUUAUAGCACUUAUUAUAAUGUGAUGUAUGUGAGAUAAAAAGGUAUUUGAAAAUAUAAAAAGGUGGGUUGGAAAAUGUGGUUAUGAUGCAAGCAAAAUAUUAUGUGGAAAAAUUUAGCUAUCCAAACACUAUUAUAUUGUUUCUUGGCGGGCAAUAAAGCGAGCAAUCUAUCAGUAUCUUCACCAAGAAUUUAUUUUGUUAAUCCUCUUUUCAUACCUUUAUGGUAAUUAAAUGUUAGUCUUUGGGAUACCUUGCAAUCGUGUUCUUUCUUUUCUCUAUCAACAUUAUCUGAUUGUAGCUUGGGAUACCUGAAUUUAUUUUCUUUUUUGAAUUGUGUUUCUUUAACUUUGGAUAAGCUACAAGAUGAAGUUAUAGUCUCAGAUUCUGAGAGAUUGCGAAUAACACAGAGCAAUGUAAAAAUGGUACUCUCUUGUUCUCUUGGUUUGAUAUACCAAACUUGUGGUUAGUGUACUAGGUUUGUUAACCUGCCUUUAUGCAGCUUCAAAGGCAUUUCCAAGCAGACACUUUUCCUUGGAUUCGGAGGAUGCAACAAAAGGAGCAGAGUCUCCAGAGGCGCCUCUUAAGGGUGAGAUGUCUGGCAUUAUACUUCAUUUUUAUCAUAUUGUCCAAGAUGCUAGUGUUUUGAUCUGAUAGUUAAGCAUUUUCUGCUGCAAUACAAGUAGUAAUAUAAAUGAUUAGGAGAUUUAAUUUUGUUAUAAUCCUGUAAUAUUCACUCAUGUCUCUUUGUUUUAGAAGAAACAAUUAAGGAAUACCAUCUAGAUGAAGUUUUAGACCCCAAAGUACCCAUGUCGACAUGCCAUGACACUGGUGCUGGUAUGGGAUAUGUGUCCAAUGAAAAAUUUUUGGACACUUUUGACUUUUGUGAGGUCUGAUGUCGAAGCAAGAGGAGAAGAACUGGGUGAGAAAACUCAUAGAUGCAGAAGACUUGUUGCAUUGGAGUCCUACUGGAAUCCUUUUGAGCUAUGGCUUGUUGGUUACUUUAGAAUUCUCCAAUCCUUAGUGAGCUACGACUUGUAUGUUGGCUGUACUGUAUAAUUCUUAUUUUUACUUGAAAUUUUGCUGUACCCACGUUCUCUUGUCUGAGUCUUUAGAAGUGUCCCUGUAUCCUAAUUUUAGAAGGUUGACGAAUCAGACACUUAGACACAUACUCGAAUCCGACACCUAUACCCGAGUCCGAGUAACAUAGGAAAACAGAAUGUUCAAUACACUAGCUAUGUACACUGGACUUUGCUAUGCAACAGAUAAAGAAUAUAGUCUCAUAUGAUACACAGGUAAUGCGAAUUAUAGAGGCAUUGGAAGGCAAAGGGUGUCGAUCACCUUUGAUGAAGGGAGAAGCUGAAUUGGCGGAGAAGUUGGCUUCAUUAACUCGACAGGUACUUGAUCCAGGUCUUUUGAUCUGUGUAAGAUUUUUAUGAUGUGGCUUGUAAUGGAGCUUGUAUUUACUAGUAAAUUCUGACAGUUAAAAGGAUCAGGAGCAGAACUUUCUAGAAGGGUUCAAAAUCUACUGACUCUAUCUCGUGUUCAAGCCAAUGGCCUUGGUGGUAGAUCUAUGUAUAUACCUGGAUCAACUAAAAUACAUGAGCAAAGUCUUUUGGACAUGCAGGAGGUAUUGUCAAAUCUCAUUUUAAUCAGCAUUGCUGACAUGGAGGUGGUACAUCACUUUCAUUGAUAUGCGUGUUUAAAUGAUGGAAUAACCCAAUAAAAUGCAGGAAAAAGAAUGAUCAGUGUAUCAUUUGAAGCUUUGUCCUUCAUUGCACCCCCAGAUAUUUAUUGCAAAUUUUAUAUGCUCACCCUUGUGGCUCACGUACUUUUGGACACAAUUACAUGAAGCAAGCAAAAAUAUGUCUGAAUGCACGCCCAGCCUAAAACAAGUCAUAUAACUCAUGGUGAAGAAUGAUUCAAUGUAAAUUAUGCUAAAAUUGUAAAGAGGCUACUUUUGUCCUUUCUGGACACAGGUCUUGCAACAGCAGACGGAGGCUAUUGCUAGGCUUGGCAAUGUUUUAAAGAGAGAUAUGAGGGAUGUGGAGAUCAUCAUGGCUGAGGAAACAGAGAUGUCAGAAGACUAGCCAUACAUUUAAGGUGUUCGCUGUUCAUUUUCAGUUUGUUGGUUUAAAAGCUUUUGCUCCUGUUAGGAUAAAUUUUGUUGGCAACAAUGAGCAAGUUAUGGGAAUUCCUACUGCCACAUCUCUUCUACCUUGCUUUUUGACCUGGAAAUUUAGAUGGAUCAGAGGCUAGAAUCUUAAUCACCUCUAUCUUGAUUGCUGUUGGAAAAUAUCCCUCCCGUGAGACUUCAUUUGAUGAUUUUAUGCUUCAUAGAUCAGGUCAAUUUAUGCUCACAAAGAUCAGCGGCCGGAAGUUUGAUUUUUGUGCUCUGGAUAUGCAUGUCAUUUUCAUCAAGGUCAGCAAACUACGGUAACAGAAUUCGUUCUCGACACCAAAGGUUUGUUGUACAACUCGACAAGCAAACUGUGCUUGUUGGAUGGCAAAUUGUAUCAUGUAAAGUACGAGAUUGAGAACCAAGCAUACCUUCACUCUGUGAGAUUAUGGGAAUUUGUCUAUUCACUUUGAGAUUGUACGCAGUAUCUCAGUAAUGGAUGUAGGUUAGAACAUGCCUAUAGUACCAGGAUUUUGUAGUCGCUAUCGUGAAGUACUGCAGUCAGUGAAGUUCAAAUAGACUACACUGAAAAACAAUCGUUCUAAAACUAAUUUUAAUAUAUAUUUGAUGUAGUGGUUUAUAUUGUGAACUAUAUACGAACGAAACAACAAAAUAUAGAAGAAAGUGGAGUAGAGAAAAGUAGGUAAACAGUAAGGAGAAUUAUAUUUUCAUUCACUCAAUUGUUGAUAGGUUACGAGAGACGUUGGAUGAUCUUUAUUUACAGAUAAAACAAACUUAAUGAUACAUGAGCUAUCUUUAAUGCUUGUGCAUAAACUGAGUUGUUCCAUAAAAUGUACCACAUGCUCUUAGGAGAGAUACAUGUACCGACCUUCUAAGAGAAGGAAAUGGACAUCCAUAUCAAUUCAUUUAGUUGUUUCAUAACAAUAAUAUUUUUAUUAACCCUAUUUUCCCAAUCUACGAGAGUUUUUUUGGCACAGAUGGUAAUAAUACAAAUGCAACAGUCUGCAGUUUUGUCGCUACAUCUUUUGUAGCCAAAAUUGCAAAUUUAGCUAUUACAUAACAAUGGAUAGGACCUUAGCUGGCUUUCCUCUUUGGCUUUCUUUUGAACCUUGAACAACAAUGAAAACUCCCCACCAAGAAGCUGCCCUUCCAGUUAUUGAACCACAGAUAAUACUUGAUGAUCCUUCAGGUGACACUGUUUUGGGUUUUCGUAUUAAUUUGUUUUUUGUUUUUUGGUUUUCACAUUAAUGCAAUUAUGAAUAUUCUCAACAUUCAUUGUAUUUUUCUGCCAUGAUCAAUACCACCAAAGAUGUCCAACCAGUGAACACGCGUGCACCUUUUCCCUUUCCCUUCUGCUGAUCAUACUGCUCCCACAAGUAACCAGUCUGAUGGUAGUUUUUAACCACAUUCCUAGGAUAAAAAGGAGAGCUCGAAAUCACUGUAAGCAUAUACUAUAUGUGGCAAAAUCAUCUUUAAAAAGAAAAAAAUUAGAACAGAACUUUCUGCCACAGAAAAAUUGGUUACGUGAUGAUAGAAAAGUAUCUUUUGCAAUCUGCGCAUUUGGAUGUGCGAGUGCCUAAAUGCCUAAUCACACACCAUACCUGAUCAAGUUGUUCCUCAAAUCAUCAUAUAUCGCCUUGGCACGUUGUCUGUAUGGUCCAUCCUCUAUAAUGAUCAAACCAAGGCAGCAUCAACUUUAUAAGAAAGAGUUUCAGAAGAAAAUGUUAAUUUCUCAUUUAUUUGUACCUCUGGAGUAGUAGUGAAGUGCAGAGAGAAUCCUAUAAUUCAUGUUCAUCCAUAUAGGCCCCCUCCAAUAUGGUGGAUCAUGCUCGGUAUUUCGUUUCAUGUAAAUUGAGCUGUGGCAGAUUAUUUGUAUUUCAAUUAAUGUUGUACAAUUUUCUCAAUAUAAUCACUUUGCCGAUGAGUUGAAAAAUAUGUACCUCGUUGCAUGAAAACCAGUGACUGUUAAACUAAUAGGUGAGAAUCCCCUCCUUACCUCGUUUUCGAAAGAGACCUCAGCCCGAAGUUUGUCCAUAAAGUGCUUCUGUUUGAAAUGAGGUCAAGUUGUUUUUCUAGUAUCCAGGAUCCCUGCUUGCAAUUGAGUAUAUCAUUUGAUCCCAGAUAACACAAAAAGGCUGACCAAGUGUGAAGAGAAUGGUAACAAGAAAUAUUUUAAAGUACAAGUUGUUGCAAAGAGGAAGGUCAUAGUAACUUACAGGUGGAAUAAGCCUUUCCAUCAGUGGGAAAAGGCUGACAUAGCCAACAUGAGGAACCAGUCUCAACACGGGUUUCUCUAAAACUUCUCGAAUAAGCUCUCUACUUGGGUGACCGUUAACUGUCUCCACAACUUGCCAACUUAAUCGAACCUGGAAGGGCAAUUCCUUACUAGUUUCUUAUAAUGCAUCAGUAACAGAAUAUUCCUUUUCAACAUUAAGUCAACAGGUAGCCUUUUGGAAGCAAUUUGGUUUCAUAAGAAUCCCCCUCUUACACGCUUUCAACAUUUAUUGACAUGAAGCAUGUAGACAACUCAUCCAACCACCCCACCAACCCCCCCCCCCCCUCCAAAAAAAAAGAAAAAAGAAAUAAAGGAAAAGAUAAAUAAAGCAUCAGUAACUUUAUGCAAGAAAAAGUUGCUGUCAUCACUCCACAAAACCGUAAGAUAGCUUACGUUUUCUGUAUGAUUCCCGUAAUCAAAAUAAGCUCCAUAUGCAUCAUCAAAGUGCAUCUGGACAGAACGUAGACAAACCUUAGAUCCAAAACCUAGAUAAACGCAAUAGUUUUUUGAUGGAUAGACCAAAAUGAGAUUAAUAUCCAGUUACAAGGAAACAUGUCUGUAGUAAAAAUUAGAGCUGACCUCAUUUAAAAGCUGAAAAUCAGAAAGCAGCUUAGCUGUGGACCUAUACUCCUGUUUCAGUUCAUCAUAGACUUUGAAUUAUGUUACAGAGAAAUCUUUGCAUACAAAAAUAGUAUUAUGGUGUAUUUUGUACCUUUCCAUGUUCAUUUUCCUUCUCAAGAAAUUCUAAAAUCGAAUGCAAGCAAUCUGCAGCAAGAUGCAUCCAACAUCUAAUAUCCAAGUGGCGUUCAUCUUCACUUGGGUGUGAUGCACGGGGAUAAUCAUCUAGUCCAGAAGAUAGAGUCUGGAAAUGCAAAGAAACAUCUAAUUAUUCUGGUGUAACAGGUAAAACAAUUUUCAAUUAUUCUAACAAGGACGUUCAUGAAUGGAACAAGUGGAUCUGAGAAUAAACAGCAGAGUAACAGCAAAAACUUUACUCCAGAAUAAGCAUAGAUUGUUUAUGUGAAGCUCCAUUUGAAAUUGAAGCCCCUUUAAUCUCUUUCAAAAUCACAAUAUGUAUUAAAAAUACAAUGCAGUUAGAAUUGUGUCUUUCUUCCAAAUUAUUGCGCUGAUACUGUAUUUGUAUUUUACAACCUUUUAGGUAUUUAUUUCAAACUCAUUAAGAUGUGGAAUAAGCAGCCAGACGUCAUAUAACUUCACGUGUUUGCAGUAAUAUGUGUCUUAGGAUGUCCAUGAAGCAAUAUUCAAGUACAUUAAGCAACUAAGCGUGCAUAUCCAGAUACAGUUAAGCCGUUUAAUAAUGAAUCAGGCACAAAACCUUUGGAUUUAAUUCACGAAUAGUUUUAUUGUCUCUUCCAUGCCAAAAAUAGCUGCUCACAGCCUUUCCUGCAAAUACAGCAGGUAGAACUUCUCAUAAGAUGCUUAAACAUGAUAGAAGCUACCAAUUACAUUAAAGCUAUGGAAGUUUAGAAAUUGAUUUCAGACUCGUACAAUGCUUAGGUAACUAACAAACUAAGCCUUAAAUAGCCAAUUUCAGCUUAACAUGCAUUCAUUUUUGACAUAGAAAUGCAUACCUAAUACCAGUAUUCAAUCUUUUUGAGUUAGAGGAACAAAGUAACUAAAUUAUCCACCAAGAUAUUUAGACUCCAAGGUUGCUGUGCAAACUAACCACCAAGAUCUUUAGACUCCAAGGUUGCUGUGUAAACUAAGCAAUACAUUAUCUCACAGUUUAAAUGAUGGGAAUCAAGGAAGAUAAUGGUAUUUACCCGAUUGUGUGGUAUUGAACCAUUUAAACCAUCCUUCAAGACGGACAAAUGCUUGAUCAAAGAAGAUUGAUAUCUCUUUCCUCUCACCAGCAGCAAACUUCUUGGCCUUAAUGCUGCAAAUAAGGUCUGCAUAAAGCAAGCCAAGCCUUCAUACAUAAACAUUAAAAUCAUGCUUCUGGCACAUAUGAUGAUCUAUUAAAAGAUUAAUCUGUAACACAACAUGGAAUAAAUCAUAAGUUUUUCUUUGCUUAUCACUGAACCAGAUCCACGAUGAUCUACAAACAUCACCUUCUUUUAACUCCAUUCAGUGAAAAAAAUUUCCGUUUAUUGUAAAUAGACCAUUCAAAAAAUAUAUGCAAGCACUAUAACUUUGCUCAAUGUGAUUGUAUUCUGACCAAAAUUCAGCACAAACCAAAUAAGCAAACUGAGCAGCCCAAUUCUUAAAGCACUUAAAAAGACUAGAAAUUAUUGAAAGAUAAGUUUACCGCGUAAAACUAGGAACAAUGUUGGAGGAUUCCCAUUUGUUGGAUGCUGGGUAACAAAUUCCUCUGGGACCUUACUGCCAAUUCAAAUAAAUAGCUUGUCAAAGAGAGAUCAACAGUAUAUGAGAUCUGAAAUGAUAACUAAGCAUAUCAGAAGAAGACUGUAUUUAUCACCUUAAAGCUUCAGCACCUAAAAUUUGCUCACGUGGAAUCCAUCCAUCAAUAUUCAUUAGGUCUAGCCAGUGUCCGAUAAUAUCCAAGCAAAUAUGGAUAUCCCAACGCCUGAUCAUUGUUAAGAAGAAAUGAAAUAUUAGAAUACCAAAAACUAUACUGAUCUUCUAAACUAUGCUGACCUUCUAAACUAAAUAAGGAUCCAUCUGACUAAAGACAGAACUAACUUAAAGCUGCAGAAAACCACCUACCAGAUCAGUAGCUGAUGGAAACCCUCAUCCCACAAAAAUCCCCUGGGGAAAAAGGGACGACUUGGAACUGCUGUAUAGAGCUCAGCUGGCCAAUAUGAAAUAACGUCAUCACCAUGCUUUUUCUGCAUCAGAACAUAGCCCACCGUUACUUUGUCAAAAGCCCCAGUGGUAAUAAUUUACCACAGAAAUGCUAAACAUUUCAGUCAAACUCCAAAACUUAAAAUAACAACCCAAAUGCAUAGCACAUAUGAUUUAACUACAAAAUAAAAAUUUUUGGAUGGAAAUCUAGAAUAAGAGCACAUCAAAAUAGUAUCUAGUAUUUCAUUUGCUUUUGUUUCUUUUCUUUCUAAUACUUUAAGUGACUGUUUGUAGUAAUUCUAACAGUCCAUGCACUAGAUGCAUCAAAGUACAAUGGGUAGUCACAAAACUCAUGUCUUACAUUAGAUGAUUGUCCAUCUAUGCUGUUAUUAGCAAAAUACAAGACAGAAUCACGCUAUGCUAGUCUGUCUUACAUUAUGGUGGUUUAAAACUGACUCUUCCAGAAAUUUUCAGAUGCAUACAGCAUGACAUUGACAACAAUCAAAUUCAGUGGAACAAAUUAAUGCUUGUGUAGAUUUACUGGCAGUGGAACAAGUUAAUGAUUGUGUAGAUUUACUGGUGAUCAAACAAAGAGAGCAUACAAGUGAGACUAGAGAAUAUAAUUGCUUCUGGAUGCAAUAGGUUUUUACAAAGCAGAGAAGAAGAAAACAAACAUGUAUACCCCUAACCACUGCCCCAUCAAGCUUAGUGCAAAUUCACUUUUACAGGAUCUCACAGUUCACAUGGAUUGCAGCAAGUACUCAGCAACUAUAUUUAGCUACCGGCAAGAAUUAUUUGAUCCAUCCAAAAUGGAUUAUGCAUAAUUCAAAAAGUUGAAGAUGUAAUCUCAUUAAUUUGAACCUUCCUUGAGUCAUAAACCCUUUUUUCCCCCUUUGGAGUUGUAAACUUGUCAAGUCAUAAAAUGUGAAGCAAGCAUGAGAAACGAUGCAAACUAGUGUUUAAAUCAAAUAAAUGGUAAAGAGUGAACAGAAUUAGACAUAUACAUUGAUUUCAGCAAAUCUUGUUAAGCAACCAGAGGCAGUUAGAGUAAAAUUUCUGUAUAAAAUUUCUAUUUUUUAAGAUCCAUGAGCAGAAUAUAUAAAAUUUCUAUUUUUUACUUUACAGUAAGCAGAGCUUGUAAGCAGUACAAUACUCACAAAGACAAUAAGAUUCACAAUAAUGUAAAGCCUCAAAAGGACAUCGGAACCACAUUAAGGAUAAUAAAUAGAGCAACUUACAUCAGGGCGAUUUGGGAGUGCAAUUUGUGACUGCCCGUAAAAGUACCCUAUACCACCAAGCAGAUUGGCAAGUGCAGCCUUACCCACUGUCACAGAUCCAGAAUCAAGCUGAGGAGACCAAAUGAAAGUUUCAGAAACACUUCAAGAAAUGCAUUAUUGCUUUCAAACUGAAAAAGGACAACAUGAAGGAUGACUCAUUUCAACUGCAAAAAUAGUCACAUAGAGCCAAUAAUCCUUUGGCGUAGACAAUCUUAGCACCCAAAAUGAUUUGUGAACUUACAAUUUUCUUAGUUGAAAUGGCUCAGAUGAAUUUGUUGUAUCACACUGCACACUGGCUGUACAAUCAUCCAAUAACUACAUUGAUGGCCUUGGAAGCAUGAUUUGAACAUUGAUAUACACAUGCAUAUAAUUUGGCAUCAAUAAACUCUGUGGAAGAGAAUACAGCCAAUGACUUCGCAUUUUAUUGAAUGAAUCUCUAUGAAAUGAUAGUUCACAUCCUACAUCAUCUGUAUUUUAUUUCUAAAAGAUGAUUACAGUGAUUGACAUGCCAAAGCACAAGUUUUAUCUAACCCCACUAGCUAGCAACUCUAAGUAAUCCUGCAGCAUACAUUUCAUGUAAUGCAUAGAAUAAUCUAAGAUGAGAAGUCAAGGAUAGAAUAUGUAGGAUAGGGCCGUUGUAGCCCACAUUAUCAUGCUUGGAAACUGGUCUAAAAGAGAUUAAGUACUCAUCUAAGUUCAAAAGAUUAUGAAGCCCAAGGAUAAACUGGUCGUUACCUCAUCACCAAGAUUGAAGCACCUUUCGAAUUUGUCAGCAUAGUCUUUUUGCUUCUCACUCAAUUUAUUGGUCAAUGAGGCACCUACAAAGAGUAAGGAAGGAGUCGGCAAAGAUUUAAAUGUUCAGGUUAAGCUAAGCUUAACAACCACCCUGAACAGGGAGAGGACAUAAAGCAUCUAAAGUUUGUGUUGUUAACCAGAUUUAAGUUAACAAACUUAAGAACAGUAAAUAAUUGCUCAAGAUCAAAUUCAUCAGUUUUGCCUGAAUACCUUCCUUGAAGGUAUCCCAUACUUCACUCAGAUUAUGCAAAUUUCAGCACCAUAUUUUUUCUAUAUAUUAUCCAAGAACACUUCUUUUUCUUUUGAAGUGCAGAUAAUAAAAGGUCGACAGCGGAAGGCACCUGCAAGACUGAUGGCACGCUCUUUUUGCGCAAGAGUUCCAGACUGGAAAAUGAUAUCUGCCUUGAAAGGUAUCCUACCAGAGAGCUGAAUACACAAAAGUCGUUACUAAAAUUGCAAAUACAAAGAGAGACUUGAGCUGAAGUCUUAUUUGACAGACUGAAGAAGCAGGAGCUCAUGAGAUUGCUGAAAUAAACCUGAAACACUAAGAUGUUUGAUGACCCUUCUGAUGUAUCUGAAAGCUGCAAGCGACCCACCUUCCUUGCCUGAAAAGUAGACAAAAACAACUUUAAGAAAGGCAGAGGAGUUACAUAUCAUACUCAACAGCGGUGCAAAAGCCACCAAAUGCUGUAAAAGUCACUACAAGCAUUCUUGCAUCAAAGCUAUUAACAAGGCCGAGACAGAAAACUAGGGAGGACAAACUCAUGUACUUGGAUCCCAAGAUUUGAUUGGACAAGAUCAGAUAAAUUAUGGACAAAAGGUGUCUUGAACCCAGAAUAGUGAAAUUCAAAUUCAUCCUGCAAAAAAAACAAAAAAAAAAGCGAACAAACACACUCACAGUGAGAUACAGAAAUCCUGGACACAACUGAAAAACUAUCCCAUAGCUUCAAUAAAAUUUAUGUGCACUGUAAUCCUCCUAUUCUGGACACCAGCAAACAUUCCAUGUGGCAUCAUACUGUAACUUAAAAGAUGUGAAAAUACUAGAAGUUUUUUAUCAAUUAAGAUUUAUAUUAAUUUUUCAGUAUCAUACCUCAGUACUUAAAAGUAGCUGCCAAUUGCCAACAUCACUCCGAUAUCCAGAUGCUAGGAUAGAUUCAUCAUCUACAUCUGUGGCUCUGCUACCCAAAUUUAGUGCAUUUCCACUUUCAUCAUCCAUAUAGAAGAACAGAUGCACAGUUUUUGACAUUUCCUCACUAAGGUUUACUCUGUCAACAAUUUCAAAGCUGUUAGAGAAGAAAGAAAUCACAGGACAUGAAAGAUGAGCAUAGCAUCUAAGAUGCUAUAGCUUAUUAGCAAUGAGAAGUAAUUUCAGCAAGUUUUGUUUUCUGAGGUCUAGAGCAUGUCCUUGACAAAUGUGAUAACCUCCAAAAGAAAGUUUUGCACUAAGUAGUUUCAUGCUCAACAUUCCAGAUGCACCCACUAUAUUAUAUGUUCCUCAGCAUCAAAGUUAAGCAUGCAUCCAACAAGCAAAGACAUUCUCACAUAAAUAUUAACAAUAUAACUGGUUCAGCAGUUGCUUAAUGAGAGAAAGGAGACUCGCAAAAACGCAAUCAGACGAAUUCAAGAUUUUACAUGAUAACAAUAAAAUAUUGAUCAAAGAGUGUACAGAGAAAUUACUAGACAAUUAAGUGACACAUUCACGUCAAUAAAAUUCCAUCCAAUACUUACUUUUGAAAGAAUAGCAUUUGGGAAGACUUUCAGUUUCUAGGCUUAUACACUAAAAGCAACCAACUGCCUUUUGGUUUUAAGAAAGUGGCCAUAAAAUUUAAGUUAACGGGGAUUACUCAUCAUUUUCCACUUCAAUUCGGACAGCCCAGUCUCCACCAUAGCUGCUCCCAUGCUCCUUGGACUUGAGGAAACUUGUUUUCAAGGUCAUAUCUUGGUCAACCAAAAUUUGAUGUCCAUAAUCCCGUCCAUUAUGCUCUGUCCAUCCAUAUGUCCUAAGCUCAUCUGAAUCUUGGCAGAUGUGUCGCAUGGCAUACCUUCCAUUCGUAAUACCAAUCCACAUCAAACCAGCAAUCAAAGACUGUGGGGUCCUACCAAUAAACACCAAAAAGUACAUGAUUAUGUCAAUCCCAGUCCACACUGUGCAUGUUUCAUAAAGCAUCAUAAGGCACACUAGAAUUCCAUCAGAAAAACUAUACAACAUAUUGGGGAGUCCUUCUGGUUCCAUUGAGGCUGAAAGAUGAACCAAGAUACUCAAUAUAUGAACUAAGCCCAGCUCGAUAAGUGCUCACUGAGACUAAAACAUCGAAGGAUCAAACCAAGUCUGCAGUGUUCUUUUUAAGGUCUAGAACUCAGCUUGAGCUCAGUUCCAUGAGUCAACUAGACGUUAUACAUAUUAAUAAAUGAAGGUAAUCAAGCUGGCCUUCGAAAACAACAGCAUUUGGCUCGAUUAGAUUCCUUUAGACCCUACUUUUCAUUCUACCACAUAAAAUUGCACGCCAAAAGCAGCAAUUUUUCUUGACAUUCCAGAGCAGAAUGUGAGAAGGAGUCGAUACCGUGCACGAAUCCCAAAAUAAACGUUAGGUCUAUAGGUUCCCCAAUACAAGCUCUCCUUGUGCUCCCCUUGAAACUGCCAGGAAAAAGGAAAAAUCAUCCUCGUAGCUGAAUUUAAUUUAUUAGGAUACAUAAAACAAAGUGGAAAACUGAAAUUAUACUAAAUUAAAGAACAAAUAUUCACCAUGGGAAGUUCCAUGAGUUUGGGAGCGGGAAAUGGCGUGAUAACCCUGGGCUUUUCCGGCUCUUCAUUAGUAUUUACCAAUCGGAAAAUGAAAAAGAGGGCGAUCGAGGAGAACAGGAUUCCAAACCCAAGGAAAACUUUGCUGCUCACGUUUGUAAUUCGAAUGAGGCUUUGGUCUCUGCCUCUAUAACUUCGAGGUCUAGCGUUCGUACUUACUCUGUGGACUGACUCAUCACCAACGGCGUCUGCGGAGGGCUUGCCUCUACUCCGAGUGCUGCUUCGCGUUGAACUGCCGGCCAUUUUCCGGUGUGGGUUUAUUGCUGAUUCUGAUUUCUGGGGAGGUUUUGCGCAGAGUGCGCCUGCGACUGAUGCACAAGAAGCAGGACGGUGGACUUGGACUGGGACAAGGCCCGUAGUGUUAUUGAAAAUCUGGGUUGAUGUAUCUUAAAGUCCAUAUCUGAAACCUAUAAACCUGCCUUGAUCCUGGGCUAUAGCUAUGAAAAUCCUCAAACUUUGGGCCACGGAUGUUAAAGACCAGGACAGUAGACUUGGACUGGGCCGAGCUGUCUCAGGUGAUCUCUCAGUUUUUUUUUUUUUUGGUGGUAUAAUUGUUACUAAAAAACAUAUAGGGUCUGUUUCGAUUGGGCAGUUUUUUGACUAGUUGAAAAAUUGUAGUAAAAAACUACUAGUAGUAUAUGUAGUCAAAAAACAACUCGUUAGUCAACGCAUUGUUUUGAAAUGUCUACAGUGGUGGUUUUGGGGUACGAUAUUAUUGUUUUGGCUCGGAAGUAAGAAAACCAUUGCUGUUUCUACGGAACUCUUCAUUCCUUUUCCUCAAACCGAAUUUCAACUUGCAGGUGCUCAUAUGUGGAACCUACCUGUCGACAUCUGAAAGCUUUUCUUCCCGAGCAAAUUCGUCCUACUUUUUUCGUUCCAAAGCUGCUUGUGGUAAUUUUGGGCAGCUGCCAUUAAAAAACUUGCCCGAAGCUUACUCUCGUUAGCUUCAACGGAGACACCUUCAGUGAGCUGUUCUGUUCCAGGUAGCUACAAGAAAAUCGGACACACGGCUUGCGCAGGGGGCAGGUGGUCUUCUUCCUCUCGCUGUGCUUCCAAUAAGCUCAUUUAAUUGGCUUUGUGCUAUAGAAAUUGGCAGAGAGGUGCGCUUUGUUUAGCAGAUCCCCAUUUUUUUUAUUGGAGGUAAAUAAUGAAU
rnacentral:lncRNA from 1 species